rnacentral:lncRNA from 1 species
AGAGUAUGAGGUAUAUAAUUAAAUGUUGAAUAUGAGGGAAAUGUUUUGAUUGAGUUCGAAAUUUGUACUUGGUGUUUUUGCAUUUGAAAAGGAGUAGCAUUCUGAUUUGCCUGUAUGUGUAAGGUGUUUCUCUUGAUGCACAAUUGCUCUUCAGGCUUGUGAAUUUUAUACUAGUUUCUUUAGUUAUUUAAACUUUUUGUUAGUUUCUUCCAUACAAUACUGAGAAUAAUGAUUAAUGCCAUAGAUGAUGUAUUAGAUGUUAAUUCUGCCCUGCAGGAAGCGAGAUAUCUUUCUUCAAGAAUGCAGUAUGUCAAGGCACCGCCUUAAAGGAUUUUUAUGACUGUCAUUGUUUCCCAGCUGCUUCAGUGUAUGCUCUUCCAAACUAACCUAAUUGCUGUGUCAAGUUUAAAUUUGGACUUGAUUUUGAACUUUUCCAGAGGACUUUGGCGGACGCAUAGUGCCAAGACCUGUGAUCGAAGAUCCAUAGCCUUGAUGUCAGAGUUGAAAAUGGUCUGUCCAGCAAAGAAAAAUUAGCUAUAAAAUCUUAUUGAAUUCUGACUAAAAUAUGCGGAAGUGAAAGAUGGUUUAAGAUUGAAGGUCUUGUAACUUGAUGAUGGGUAAAUCUCUCUUUUAAGACUGGUGGUGUGCUGCCAACUUGACUUCUUGAGAUCAUUCAUAUAAUUAUUCUUUAAUAAAAUAACAGCAAUGAGUAUUAAUCAAUUUCCUGAAUUUCCUGUUGUUAAACUCUAUAGCUCGUCUGGAUGGCUUUCAGAUGUUAAUUUCUUUCAUUUUUGGCGAAGAUUGAGGAAGAUCAUUUUAGAUCAUUAGGAAUCUCUUGGUUGUUCUUUGUUUUCUGAGGAGAGUUUUUUGUCCUUCUAUGCGGUUUCUCUUGCUAAUAUGAUACUAUUUUAUAAAGAAUUUUUUAAAUUUGUCUUUUUAUUAUUUUUUAAUGCUGAUGUGAAUGCGAUAUUAAUUUUUGUGUCAUGUCAAUAAUGAGCAGAUUUGUUGGUUUAUGAGUCAAAGAGAGGGAGAAAAGGAAGAGUGAAGAGAAGUAGGAGCAACAAUUCUACUAGCUUGGUUUUGUGUUCUUCAUUCAAGAUGAGAGUGGUUUGGGGUUAAUUUCUCUGGUUGGAUUUUAUGUAAUACAGACUUCCUUUCUGAUGACAGGUAGUGCUUGGGGUCCAUGCAGAAUGUGUCCCAUGCUUUAAAGUGAUAAAAGAGCAAGGUACUAAAAUUGUGGAAGCUGCUGAAAUAGUCAAUUAAGCUUGAGGUAUGCAUUGAUGUCAGAUAUUUUCUAUAUUUGUAAUGAGAAUCUUUAGAAAGAUAUGUGGCUUCAUUGUUAAAUGUAGUCUAUGAUUCUCGAAUUAUGAGUAUGUCUGAAAUGAUUCCAUGUCCUCUGUCCUUGACUAUUGUUGUUUGUGUAAAUGCUGGUUCAAUAAUUCAGCUUAGGGUUUAUGCCUUGCUUGGUUGUGGCAGAGAGAGGGGUGGAGUAGAAAUGCCUGAAAAUAUGUUUUUUUUUUUAUUGAUUUGUUGGGCUAUACCUUCCACGUCAAACUAUUAUGAAUGCCAUCACAUGUCAAUUUGAACUUCAUAGUCUUAGACAUGUAGCUUCAUAGACAUCAAGUUAUCAUAGGACUCCUCUCCCAGUGAUUUGGGGGUUGUAUGUUUGCAAGCCUGAAAAAUUGCGACGGCCUAGUUGUGGUAGCUAGAGAUCAGUGUAUGCGACCUGUCAUGGAAAUUGCCACAGUUUCAGCUGGAAAUAGCAUUGUUCUCAAAACUGGAAAAACUGACAAGUUUGUAUCCUGUUAACCAAGGUUUGUGCGGCUGAUACUGUAAGGUGUUCAGUGCAAAAGGAAAAAUGGAAUGAAUUCACUUUGUAGUAUAGGGUUGACAGUUCAAAAUUGGCAUAUACCCAAGCUUCAGAAGUGACCUUUGAAACAUAUAAACAUCUUCACUGGCCGAACAACAUACCAAGUUUCAUCUCAAUUGAGAACAACUGUUGAUUGACCAAGUAAUAUAAAUGAUUUGAUUUGACAACUUAACAAUUGCUGAGUUGUAUGGUCUACUGUUUGGAAGAUGAGUUUUUUGGGAGUUUGUCUAAAACUUUACUGUAGCUUACUGUAGAAGUUUUUUAAAAAAAUUUUGAAAUGUGUAGAUUUUUGAAUAUUUUGAAGUGUAUAGUUUAAAAAUUUUUAGAAAUUUUUUGAGAUUACUGUAACUAAAGUUUUUAAAAAACUUGUAGCAGACAAACUUGGCAAAAAACUUGGGUUCCAAACAAGGUUCUAGAAUAGUAAAACAUUUAGGUGAUUUUGAGAUUGGAUGCUUUUAAGGAACACCAAUAUUGAUUGUAUUGCUUAGAAGGUGCCAAUGAAGGUUGGGUCAUCAAAUGUGAUACUAUUGAAAUCAUUUUAAGACUAACGAUAGAAUUUUGUCUAAAAUUGGGCCAUAAAAUGUGAUUCUAUUGAAUCGCAAUGUGGUUGGCAUUCUUCUUCUUGUACGCAUUGGUCAAAUAAUCUGGACACUGAACUUUCCAGCUUGACCAACCAACAAUUUUUAAAUUACUCCUUACUCAUCUACUUCACUGCUUGAUACGUUUGUGGGUCAGAAACUGUAAUUUAACUUGUCGUUGAUUGCAUCUACAAUACAAGAAUUUACUUAGCAUUGGGGUUGAUGGUCAUCUGCCUAUAAAUGCACUUUUUGAAGCUGAUUUUCACCUCUGUUUUUAACUUCAUUUGAGCAGGCAAACUAUUAUCUUAAAAAGCGAUUGUCAAAAAAUUUAAGAUUGGGACAGUGAUUACUUCUUAAAUUAGGUUCCUCAAAAGUCAACUAAAUAAAAAAGCAAGAAGAAGUCCUUUACCUAAUGCCCUUUUUCGGAAUUAAAACUAAAUCGAUAUCAAUUGAUAGCCCUCCAUCCCAUUGAAAGUUCCCUGCUUGUCCAUUUCAGUUGUCCAAAUUUCAUCAUCUUAAAGAAGUCAAAGUUAACUUUGACCUUAACUCUUCUGGAUACUCCCCUGGGCACGAUUGGAAAGAAAAACACUGACAUCUAAUUAAUUUGCUAUUUCUGACAAGUUGGAUUAUAGAAGAGUGAUGAAAAAUUUGGGAUGGAGGACAGGAUAUGUGACCAACAAUACAAGAAUAUUAGUAAACUUUGAACAUGCAUGGACAAGAAUAUGCUGAAAACUUCACAUACUUUAGUAGUUUGUAACACCUUAAAUGGUGCAUAAAAUUUUUUAUCUCAAAUGGUGUAUAAGCAUAUACUUCUUUCAUGUUACCUAUCCAACUGGAAGACAAAAAGAAUGUCAGUUGGAGUGAAGUUUGUGUGAUUUUUUAAUCAUAUCGUAGGACAAGAUAUAGUCAAAGCUUCUGGUUUCAAUUAAUUGGAGAACUAAGACCUUCUUGAGAAGAUAAUGAAUGGAUGGUUUGGUGUCUCUUUGAUGGAAAAGGUAAUGGUGGUGUCUUCCUGAAUGAAGGCCUCUUGCUGAGAUGUUGCAGAGUUUUUUCCACAUAAAUUGUUUUGAUCAUGGGUAAAGCUUUCUCCCUCAACUUGAGAAUGAUGUAGAACAGCAUCCUGUAUGAUAUGGAUAUGGCUAGAACAACAGCCAAAUCCCACCACUUUGAAUGAUCUAGUGAAAAGCCAAGAAUUUUUGUGAUGAUGAAUUCUCCCUUUAAUUUUGGCUCUCCUGGCUGAAGAGGUUCAAAUUCAAGCCCAAUCAUGUCAUUCUUGUAAGCUCCCUGUUAUAUCCACCAAACAAAUAUUAUAUCAACAAGAUUUGCGGCUGCAUGACUUCUUGGAUUUGAUUAGCUUUAACCUAAUGAAAGGUGUGUUUUCUGUUUUCUUUCUUUAGAGUAGUGAACCAUUUACUACAUAUAAAUCUAUCCAGUAGUAAACAUGGGGAUAAAUGUGCUCUCAUCUUCUUUCUGGUUUUGGAAUAUCCAUGAAUUACACUUACAAAAAGUAAAAACAGGGUUAGCCAUAUCUAUGCUCCAUUUAUUGUUAAUGGCAUUUGACUUGCUUCAUAUGUUCUCUUAAAAAAAAAUAAUUUGGAAAGGGAAUGGAGUGCCAGUAACAAUAAAUGGAUUGCUAAUAUCAUCACUUAAUUAAACUGCAAUAACUAAGAGAAAUCUGCAUGUGCCAAGUAAUGCCUAUUCUCACUCAAACUAGUGCCUUGUCAACAAAAGCUACUUCUAAUAUGUAUUGAAUGGGUACUACUUGUAUAAGAACAAGUACUAUUUGGCACAUGGCGAUUUUAUACACUAGAAGCAUUUUCCACUGGGUAAGAUUUACAUUUUAGUCUUGUUUUAAAGUAGAAAACAUAUUACUGUGACAAACUUCCAGAGUGUAAUUCCAAAACUUGUUACCUGUAGACCCCAUGCCAUAUAGUUGAUAUAGGACAUUGGGUAGCGCCAGAAAGGCUUUGGAAGUUCAGUCAGAGGGCAGAAAAAGCCAGCCGUAGCCAUCAUAAUUCCCUGCAAUUAACACGAGAAAAGAUUAGAAAGGGGGUUGAGAGAAACCAUGGUGAAAAGUUUCUGAUGUUUGAUCAUGAACAAGUUAGUGUUCUUACAAUAAAUCCUGCCCCAACAAUGAGUCCCAUCAAGAAAUUUGGAACCAGAGAAGCCACAACCAUCAUGCAGCCCUCUACAACAGAAAUGGAGAGCAGUAGGUCUAUGGCUGCAUACAGAAAACGGAAGAAGCCGGACCGGAAUUUCGCCGUGAAGUAGGUGAUGGCUGAUGAACUGAAAGCCAUUGUUGUCAAGAAUGGUAGUGAAGAGAUGAAGUUUGCAAGAAUAAACACUCCAACUCCAUAGUGCCCAUUGAGUCUUUCUUUGUAAAAUAUCUGCUUCAAACAUCAAAUGGCAAAUCUUAAGCAGUUUGUUUGUUAAUCUGCUAAUCAAUUUAACUUUUCCUAUAUUUAACAUAUUUGCUAAAGUGAAACACAAGACUUUUUCCUGUAAAAAAGCUAAUACAUGCUAAUUGAGGUGAAGAAACAAAAAUUAGGGUAAGCGCUACUUAAAUGUAAUUAAUCCUUGUUUUAAAGUAAGGGUUAUAUACUUCAAAAGGUUUUGAAAUGAAAGGAAAAUCUCAAUGUUCCAAUUUCUUCACAAGUAAAAAUCAGAACCAAUGCUGUAAAUUGUUACCAAUGUGUUAGUGGGAGGAAAAGAAAAUGUUUAAAUUUAGCAUGAUUUUAUCAUAAUUAAUUCAACUAAUGAGAUCAUUUACCUUCAUUUCUUCAAUGAAGCAUGGGAAGCCUCCUAUGGACAUGAAUGUCAUGAAACCUGAUAUGAAUCCACCACAAGCCCCUCUUGCCAAGAUUGCAGAAUAGUUUGUGCCAACAUUAAGAAAAACAGUACCAACACAAAUUGAUACCACUAUGUAUACUAUUAUUCUUAACCAAUAAUAACCAAAAUCCCUAGACAUGUUUAUGAAUGAUCUUCUUGUUAACGUUGAAAAUUGCUUGAUCCAUCCGGCCUGGCUUCCUCCCCUUUUUUCAAUCUCUAGGCCUUCCUGUGAUACCUGUAUCAGUCGCAAUUCCAUUCCAUCAUUUGCAAUAUCCAAUACUAUUUACUGAGAACUUAAAUUUGGCCUAAUCAAUGAACUAGAGUUUCCUCUUGGAUUGAUUUAUCAUUUGAACACGUUAAAUCAAAUUAAGAUGGACCAUUUGGGCAAUUGGGACCCCAAAAAAAGAAAAGGAAAAAACAGUACUUUGGAGGUUUUAGUGAAUGUGAAAGCUUACAAUAAUUAAAAUUUCUUGAACUCUAGAUUUCACUAUUGCUGCAUACUUUGAGCAUUUGUAUUUCUGGAUGAGCUUUUCCUUGAUCUCUGUUGUUGCCAUAUCCAAUAAAAGACCACUUGGCUUGUAAUUUUCCUGGAAAAAAAAGGGUAUAAGGAGAGUGGAUAAUACAAUUCUUUUUAACUUGUACAAUUGUUAAUGGUAGUAUUCAUGGGAAAAUUGGAUAGCAGAAAAUAACGGGAGUAAAGUCGCUACCAUUUACGUACACUUAUACGACGAGAACCCAUCAGUCUAGCAUUGACAUCGUCAAAGUCUGAAUUUGUACAACGAAGAAAAUGAUCAGAUGGAUUCCUUCUACUUGGACAAUCAAACCCUGAAUCAGCAAAGAACUGAAAAGGGGGAAAAAAAAAAAAGCAAUUGAGUAUCAAUGAAAAAAAGCUGGAUUCCUAGAUGAUCUUUCACUAAAAACAAGCAAAAUAAUAAAAAUAAUAAUAAUAUUUUUGUUGUUUUGAUAAUCUUUUCGUGUUUACUCCAUGUGCAAAUGGACAAUUUACACGUCCAAUAAGGGCUACAUGAUGCCGUUAGGUACGAUAACAUUCAUAGCAGUGUGUACAUAUGUAUAUGUGUGUAUAUUUAUUUAUUUGUAUAUGUAAAUAUGUGGGUAUGUAUAUAUGUGUAUGUCUGUAUAUACACACACAUACAUAAACUUCUUUUUUUUUGCUAUCUGUUAUUGAAUUAAUGAUUAAAUAUGUUUAAAAAAUUUUAGUGGUCUCCUAGCCCGAGUCCUAACUUUGUCACUGUUCGUGUGGUACCUUUAGAAUUUUCCUAUGUUACUAUUUUGAAUUCAAAGAAGGAACAGAUUAAAAGAAAGAAAGAAAAAAAAGAAGAAGAAAGGAAUUGGGGUAUAACAAAGAUAAAGGAUAUUAUACCUCGACAGCCAUCUUUGCUUCACCAAAAUAAAUGGUUUCACCACCAGAUAACAGAAAAAGAUAAUCAAAAAGUGUAAAAACUUCACUGCUUGGCUGGUGAAUGGAAGCAAUUACUGUUUUCCCUCCACAGGCAACAUUCUUGAGCACUUGAGUCACAAAAAAAGCUGCGGCACUGUCCAGCCCACUUGUGGGUUCAUCAAGAAAUAAUAGUUGUGGUUGCGUAAGAAUUUCUAAGGCAAUGCUUAGCCUCUUUUUCUCUCCUCCACUUAUACCUCUUAAAUGCCAGUUACCAAUGAGAUUAUCAGCACAAUCUUGGAGACCCAUCUCCAUGAUUGUUUUUUCAAUGAUAUCAUUUGCUUCAUCUUUGUUUAUGUUGCUUGGAAGCCUCAGUUGUGCUGAGUAUUUGAUGGUUUCUCUGAUAGUUAGGGUUCCCAAGAAUGUAUCCUGCUGUGUCACAUAAGCCUGACGACAGUCCAAAAAUAGGCAUUAGAUUAAAGAGCAUAAUAAUGCAAUAUUUUCACUACAUCCAUUUGUAAAAUUUGAAAAAAAUAAACUCUUUGUGAAGUGCGUUUGGAUUGAAAAUUAUCUAGACAAAUUUUAAAUAGUUACUGAUUGUAACAAUUCUUGUAAUGUGAUAUAUUGGUAGAAUAAAAUGGUGAUUGGAAAGAUAACGUGGCAGUUGACAAAUGUGUUUAAAAAACAUAGAAAUGUGCAAAAUAGUCUUUUUCUUUUCAUUUACACAAAAAUAGAUCGAGGUAAAGGGGCUAGAAUAAUAAUUCGUCAACACAUUUCUUGUUAGGUCCACAGUCGUCUGUUGACACCUCAGUAAAAAUGUUUUUUUUUUUUUUUUUUAAAGAAGAAUUUAAAGAACAAGAAAUAGGCAGAAAUUGAUGGACAAUUUUUUCAACCAGUUGGCCCAAAGUUCAAGAUUUGUAACGGGCAUAACACAUGCUAUGUCUACGUGUAGUUGAAAGUUUUUAAUGCUGUUAUCAAAGGUUGUAUAGAAUGGGAAACUGGGAUGGCAGAAAGGAAUUAAUGUCUUAAAUCUUUUAGAUUUGAUUAAAGACAUCUAUUUGCUUUUAUUUUAGUUUUUGAGGGAUUUUUGUCAUCAGCUAUUAUUGUUACUUUUUUCAUGUUACAUUGUUACUUUUUUUAUGUUAUUGUAGUUGUCUCUUAUUCAUUUCUUAACCAUGUGGGCAGUAUGGGAGGUGGCUUAUUCUUCUGCAAAAGACUGUUCUCUUUGUAUAUAUGAGACAAAUUGAAUACUUUCUGAACUCUUUUUGUUUUAUCAUCUCAUCAGGUCGAAGUUGAAUUUAUGCCAACGAGGUUGGAUUUUUUUAAAAAAAAAAUAGAAAAAAAGAAAGAUCUUUAUACGGGAAUUAUGAUAAAAAUUCAGGUAAAAUCUUCAUGAUUCAGUCUUUUUAUUUUUCCAGGAAAGUAAAAAAAGAAAUAAGAAGUUAUCAAAAAUUUUUUAAAAAAAAAAUUUUGUCUAUCAAAUUUUCUAUUAAAAUUUUCGAUUUAGUGGGAUGGCAAGUUGAUGGUAAAACAAAGAACUUAUUUUGUAAUUUCCCACUAUUACUUACAACUCCACCAUAGUCAAGCCUCCUUUUCCUUCCAUUCAGAAGAAUAUUUCCAGUCAUAACAAGAUUUCCGGAGAGCCUACCUGCAUUAGGAACACCCAUUAAUUAGCUUCAGAAAAAAAUAAAAUAAAAUGUAUCCUCAAACCAUAUUAGUAUAAACAUAUAUAGUUAAUUAGGAACACACACACAAGCAUGCACAUACAUAUAAAUUACAUAUGGCCUCUUAAAAUUUAAUUAGUUCCAUUUAAGAGUAGCAGUAGAUGUUAAUUGUUUUUGAAAAAAUUGAAGUUGAAUAAGUAAAAUAUCUAAAUGCAAGAGAAAAUAGAAUGUCAUAGACUUAAAAGAAACGAAUGUAACACCCAAUUUUGGCAUAAAUUGUGCGUACUAACAAGUGGUCAUAGAAAAUCCGUCAAAAAACCCUAUACAAGUGUGAGUAGAAGGCUGAAUUCAAAAUUUCGCACUUAUUUUUCACCUGAACAACCUAACUCAACCCCUCAAAUAGAAAUAAUGAAUUAAUUACUUUAAACGACGUAGUACCUUAUUUGCAUUCUCCAGCAUUAAUUUAGUACACAUGUAAACGGAAAGGUAAUAAGCACACAUAUAAAUGCACUGCAUGCCCUGGUCAUCUAUGCCCACCCCCCUUCAAGACUCUAAUUUUAAUUGCACUUUUAAUUUUGUUGUUCAGUGGACCCUGCCUCUGUUGCCCUUUAAUUUGGGAUAUCACCUCAACUGUCCGCCGUUGAUUCAUUAUUGUUUCUUUAAGAUUUUUAUCGGACCAUUUCAUUGUAUAAAAGUAGCAUGGCUUCAAAAGGUUGGAUAGUUAAGCUGCAUGUGCAGGAGUUAAAGCCUAUGCUUCAUAGUUCAUACACAGAAUGAAUGAGGGUUUCCAUUCUUGAGUUGAGGCAGAUCUCUUCUCUAAUUUGUGGUAACCCAUCUAGAAGAUCUCAAGGCAGUUUUCCUAUUGCUUUAUAGCUAAGAAUUUUAUUUUAUUUUCCUUUUAAAAAACUUUCAUGUAAAAUGGAAAUAAAUGUUCUGCCAAAAGAGAGUAAAAUUAAAAUAUGACUUAGAAAAUACUAGGUAUUUUGUUCUUCUGAUUUCCAAAAAUGUGUAUCCUAUAUGCCAAAUGCACUAACUAUACCUAUAUAAAAAAAAUAAGUUCAAGAGAUGUUACAAUACUUCAUCCAAAGCAUAACAAAAAACCACUACAUUUUUUUCUACAGGAUUUGGUAUAUAUGUUGAGCAUUUAUUCUAGAUUGCUUUUCAUUGAUAGUUUAUACUGUGGAGGAAAAUUGGUCGGUGACUAAAGUUUUAUAUUCCAGCUGAGAUACUUUAUGAAUAACAGUACUUGGUAAGAUGUUCUAUUAAUUAGUUGCAAUUAAAAAAAAAAGAAUUAGUUGUAGUUUCUAUUUUUUUUCUCUUCUGUCUAUGACUAAAAAUAAAAUUGUAAUCAUUAAAGAGCAGGUCUGCAUUUUUGCACUGGGAAAAGUUCCAAACAUGGGGUCGUCUUCAACCCAUUGUAGAUUUUUCAACCCUUUAUCCCAUGAAUUAGCUGGAUCACAAAAAUUGAUACAAUUUUUUUCUCCUCGAAUGUAACUUUUACGUACAGAAAAAUGAUAAACUGAAGGUUAAAGUAGAAUGAUUGGGAUCCAGGAUUUUAUCUUUUGUUUUUCUCAUUAGGUAGAAGGGAUCUUCUUUACCUCACCUUACCAUCUAGAUAAAUACAAAAAAAAAAAAAAAAAAAAAAAAAAAGAAAGAAAAAAUCCUUACCAUCUAGGAGCCAUGCUUUGGGUACAACUGAAUUCUUGCAUCUUAAAGACAGCAUGUCAAACCAAAAACAGUAUUAUAUACAUCAGAGCAAGAACAGCAGCCUUUUCAGAAUAUGUGAAACCACAUCUUUUCAAGUAUUUGAAGUAGAAAAACGGGAGAUGAAGUAGAUGAACUUGCCAAAUGAAAAGCAAAAAAGAUGACCAGACAGGUGUUCUAUUAUACACAGUAAAAGAACAACUGUGUGCAUGAACAACUGUGAAGAUGUGACCUGCUAAAUGCACCCCAUUUACGCACACAAACUCUGCACAGAGAGAGAGAGAGAGAGAGAGAGAGAGAGAGAGAGAGAGAGAGAGAGAGAGGGAGGGACCUGCUAAUGAAUCAAGAAGGGUGGACUUGCCGGAACCAGAAGGACCCAUAAUAGCCAUGAUUCUACCAGGUUGAGCAUAGCCAUUGAGGCCAUUGAGUAACCUUCUAGUAGGGCCGUUCCCAAAGUUUGGCAACAGAACACUGAGAUCUUGCCAUACCAAAUAUGCUGCACUUUUAUCUCCAUCAUGCUCUGAUGAAACCCCUUUCUCAAGAUCUGCAUUGCUAACCCUAGCUGCAGUUGCUGUUUCAAUCUCCAUAUGUUUACAACUCUUUUUUGGGGGCCUCAAGGCAUGAAAGUAAUACUGAGGAAGAACAACUCUCAUGGUUAUAUAGAACGUAGAAAGUGAUGGCCAGUACACAUGAUAAAAGCCACCUCAUUUUUGGUCCCCGAGCAAUGUUGCUGUCGAAUAAGAAUUAAUACUGGUACCAAACAUCUAAUCCAUUCAAUGCUGUGAUAAAGCUUGUGUAGUGGAGAUUGGAGAAGAUGUGACGAGAAAAAUUUGCUUUUAUUACUUGCAGAUGGUUUGAAGUCUAGUGAUGCCUCGUAAUGCUAACAAAACAAACUUGUUUUUUUUUUGUCACAACGAUAAUAUUUGUAUAAUCCAUUCUAGUCUAAUGUAAGACAAGAUUAACAGAUUUGGUCAAUCUAGCCUAGUCCAAUGCUAUGUUUUCAGAACCGGACCGGAUAUCGACUCGGCCGAGGUCAGGGGUCAGGGGUCAAUGGGUUCGACCGGGGGUCGAUAGGGGUCGAACCGGAUGACGUCAUAAAUAAAAAUUAUUUAAAAAUUAAAUUAUUGUAUAUAAAAUAUCCAAUAACAUAUUGAUAUUAAUAAAGGUAUAUUCAUAUAUAUUUGAUGUUUCAAAUAUAUUUAACAAGAAAAUACAAAGAAAUUAGAACAAUCAAGUAACAAUUUAUAUUAUUUAAUAAACAUUAACAAGUUUAAAAUUAAAAUUAUGGAUUUAAUUGAAAAAUAACAUCAAAUUUUAGGACAAUAUUUAUAAAGUAUGAAAUAUUUGAGGUAUAUUAAUAAGUUUUCACAAUUUAGGGGGCUAAAAUAUAAUAUUAAAAAAGUUUGAACUUUUUUUACAAAAGCUCCUGUUGGACCGGUUUUUCCGGUUCUGUACCGAUCAAACCCGGAGUUGACCGGGUUUUGAAUCUUCCGGUUUUGAUGAUCAACUCGGACCGGACACUCGACCGGUUCCCGGUUUAACCGGUCGGACCGGCCGGUCCGGUCCGAGUUUGAAAACACAGGUCCAAUGUGGGGGUUAAUGAGUUUGGUCGGUUGGACCGGAGUAAAAUAGAAAAGGUUAACAGAUUUGACUGGUUGGAUCGAGAUUCAAAAUAUUAGAAAACCAACUAAUGGCAUCACAAAACAUUGAGUUUGUCUGGAUAAGAGUUUAUUUGGAUGAUUUAUUUGAGAUAAUUACUGUAAUACUUUUUGUAAUAUGAUAUAUGUGAGAUAAAAAGGUAAUUGAAAUUUGUAAAGCAAAUUAUUUUAUCUCAGAUCAUCUCAAUCCAAACACACUCAUUGUAAUACUAGUAAUAUAAAAUAAAAUAGCAGAGAAAAUAUAUACUGCAAUAUUUUUAAACUUUAAAUAAAGGUGGAUAGGUUUACAACGAAUACUAUUAACCAUAAUUGACAAAAGGGUUAAAUGCACUAAACCGCUGCAAAGUUUGGUCUAAUUCAUCCUUUUUCCCCUAACGCUACUUUUUAUUGCACUUUACCCCCUCUCUCUCUCUUUUUUUUUUUUUUGGCAAUCCCCAGAGCUGGGGUUGGGAUGCCAGUCCCAAUUUUAUUACUUUAAAUCAGUUCCUGAGGGGGGCAUAAACCUGACCUCAUCCAUACAAGCCCAAAAUAAGAAACUUACUUAAUGCGACGUCUUCGAAUAGAUGGGUAAGCCAAUUUAUCCAACCGAUAUUCGCCCCUGGCUAUCCCUGGGAGACUACUUAGAUGUUCAUAGAGACAGAUCGACUCAGACAGGGUACACCCGACAUUGGCCAGAAUGUCUGCCACCUAAUUGGCUUGUCGGUAACAAUGCUUGAAUUGUAUACUCCCCUUAGAAAGUGUGAAGCACUGCUCGACCUCACCACUAAUUGACCACGGGCAUUGGGAAUUAUUCGUCAGAAUCUUUAUUAACAACCUUGAAUCCGAUUCAAUAACCAGCUGCCUGACCAUCGUCCUCUGGACACACAGUUGCAACCCAAGCAAUAACGCUUUAGCUUCAGCUUGCAAGCUAGUCCCAUAGCCAAAGCAUCCUGCGAAGGCAAAGAUAAAGGAUCCCGAAACAUCCCUAAGGAUCCCCCCUCCACCACUCAGACCCGGAUUUUCUUUAGAACACCCAUCUAUAUUUAGCUUAAACGUUCCCAAGACUAGAGAUUGCCAAUGAACCAGACGAAUCCUAAACACUUCUGCUCGCCGCUCCACCAAUCCCAAGAACUGAGGCCAAGUCUUGACCUGAUUAAAUUCACCAAAUUGCAACCAGUAGGCAUCCUUCAAGUUUUGAAAAGCUGCUCCACAGAUAGAUCGGGCAUCCUUGGUAAUUCCUUCAAACACUGCUGAAUUCCUUGCCUUCCACAAAUUCCAACACACAAAAAUGGGCAAGAGUCGAAAGACAAACUUUAACCUCUCAGACUUAGUAGGUUUGUACCACCAAUUCGCCAAAUACACUCUUAAGUGGUCCUGACCAAAUGUAAUACCACAGAGAGAUCCGAAAAACUUCCAAAUCGCCCUUGCUACCUCACCAUCCAUGAACACAUGCUGUCGGGUUUCAACACUAGACUCCACACAGCAAAAACAUUUGGAUGGUAAGUGAAGAAAAAGCUUAGUUAAAAUAUCAUCCAACGGUAACCGUCCUCGCAACAACCGCAUCAUAAAGAAGGAAAUUUUUUGAGGUAGGUGCGGAUGCCAAACCUGCCUAUACAUGAAAGAGGAUGGCUUGGCCUCCCUCAACUCUUGGAAGGCCGAGGAUACUGAGAAACGUCCAGACGACGAAGCCGUCCAAACCAUUCUACCCACUGACAAAGAAUAAGGGACUGGCACCUUCAUCACAGCCUGGACUAUAUCAGAUGGUAAAACUUGAGCCAACAACUGCCUAUUCCAUAUACCAUCAGCUACAAAAUUUUGAAAGGACAAAUGUUCCUGCAUCUCCACUUUAAGGUAGAAAGCACCUGAGCUCGUCCAGUUAUCAAACCAGAAAUGACAAUUGCCAUUAUAAGGUCUCCACGUUAUGAAUAGCUUCGUAAAUCCCUAAUAUCCAACAUGCGACGCCACGUUGCAGAACUAGUAGAGACCAUGGACACUUGACAAGGAUGAGAAAAGUGACAGUAUUUGGCCCGCAAGAAUAAAGCCCAUAACGAGAUACCAUUCCUAAAGUUCCACCACAGUUUGCAUGAAAAGGCCCGAUAAGUGUCAUAAAUCGACCGAAAUCCAACACCACCCUCAUCUGGAGGAUAGCAUAGAUCUCUCCACCUAAUCCAGUGAAACUUAUUUGAGUCUUUAGUCGUUCCCCACAAGAAAUUAGCACAGACUCGUUCAAUCAUGCGGAAGGAGCAUUUUGGAAGUAUCGCUGACGCCAACAGGUGAAGGGGAAUGCUCGACAGCACGUGCUUGAUCAAAAUGAUCUUACCACCAGAUGAUAAAAGACGGUUCUUCCAGGAGAGCACCUUAGCAACAAUUUGCUGGCACAAAUCCGCAAAAUACACUCUCUUGCACCGACCAGUAAACAAUGAAGAACCCAAAUAACGGACCGGAAAUUCUUUUUUAGAAAACUUAGUAAUCCGUUCAAUGACGCUUUUUCGAGCCAGUGACAUGCUGGGAUGAAUCAAACAACCACUCUUACUAGUAUUCACCAAUUGGCCAGAUGCACAUUGAUACAAUUCCAACACUCGCAUAAUUUUCCUUAGCGAAGAAGCCAACCCAUUGGCAAACACUAUAACGUCAUCUGCAAAAGCCAAGUGAGAAAUAGCAGGGCAGUGUCGCGGCAAUUUGUAUGCCACAAAUUUUGAUUGCGAGUAAAGCAAAUUCAACCCUCUAGACAAAACCUCAGCUCCAAUGAUAAAAAGCGCCGGUGAUAGAGGAUCUCCCUGCUGAAGUCCCCGGAAGGACUUAAAAAAACCAUGUGAAACACCAUUAACAAUUACCGAAAACCAUACGUUUGAUAGCAAUCGCCACACCAUAUCAAUAAAUCUUUUCCCAAAUCCAAAUUGACGCAAUACCUUAAGAACAAACACCUAGGACAUCCUAUCAUAUGCCUUGGCCAUGUCAAGUUUAAGCACCACAUUCCGACCCCUGCAUUUCUUCCCGAUGUCUGAUAUCAACUCCUGAGCUAGGAGAUAAUUAUCAGACAUACUUCGACCCGGCACAAACCCACUCUGCUGAGGAGAGAUAAUACGAGGUAGAAUAGGAGUUAACCGUGAUACCAAAACUCGAGAAAUAACUUUAUUCAAAAAGUUACACACACUAAUAGAACGAUAUUGAGAGAAAGAGUGAGGAUUCAGGACCUUUGGAAUAAGAAUAAUUGAGGUGGCUAUAAUAAAUCGAGGAAGUUCUGCUCCACAAAAGAAACUUAGAAUCGCUUGGUAGACAUCAAGACCUAUCACCUCCCAGGCAAAAGUAAAGAAUUUUCCUGUGAAACCAUCCGAUCCUGCUGUACUAUCACCAUCCAUAGAAAAGACCACACUCUUAACCUCGUCUAGAGACGGGGCCUCUUCUAGACAAAUAUUAUCAAUUUCGGAGCUCAAGUUGGGAAUAACAUGGAUCAAUCGGGGAUCCGAACUAGAAUCCUCCGAGAACAAUUCUUCAAAAUACCUCACUGCUUCCAGUCCGAUGGAGUCAUCAUCUGUAAGCCAAGUGCCAUGCGAAUCUCGAAUCUUGUGAAUAGUUGCAUGAUACCUCCGCUGCUUCACCACCGAGUGAAAGAACUUAGAAUUUUUAUCCCCCUGCUGAAGCCACUUAACCCUGGCCUUUUGUUGCCAGAAUUGCUCCUCAAGAGCUAGUACCCUCCUCAGCUCGGCUCUUAACCGUUGCAAUUCGACAACGUUUUCAUCCAAGCUAUCUGAUUGCAGCUGAAGCUCGGCAUGAGCCACCGCUGCCUCAACCCUCCUCACGACGAGAAACACAUCACCAAACGUCUCCUUGUUCCAAAGUUGAAUGGCUCGGGAGACCCUCCGCAAUUUGGUCCAUACCCGAAAAAAAGGCGAGCCACUAUCUUCGACUUGCCAAGCCACCUUAAUCACAUCCAGCAGGCUUGCAUUAGAUGUCCACAUAUUGAGAAAUCUAAAGGUGCGAGGUUUAUUGUCCAAUCGGGUAGAGAAGGAUAUGAGAAGCAGGGCAUGAUCGGAAGGCUCCCGGACCAAGUGGGAAACAGUCAACGAGGCCGAAGCAUUUAAGCAGGCCAUGUUAAUUAAUACCCGAUCUAGACGCUUCCAGAUUCUUGCUCGCCCAGAUCUAUUAUUACACCAAGUGAAACUGGACCUAGAAAAACCUGUAUCAAACACACCAGCCUCAUCUAUGAAAUGGGAUAGCUCCGAUCCCUGAGAUGGCUGGAAAGGCCGGCCACCCCUUUUCUCAUUCGUAGACAGAAUAAGAUUGAAAUCUCCCACAAUAUACCACGGCUCUUGGCAAGGCUUGUCACUUAACAAAGCAUGCCAUAAUCGCCUCCUUUCCACAGCAGUACACUUAGCAUGAACGAAGGAAACAGUAAAAGGACACGAGCAUUGUGGAUGACCAAACGAAAUGGAUAAGUGUUGAUCCGAAUCCCCAACGACCACAGAGAAGAAAGGUAAGCUAAAGAAGACCCACAUAUCCCCUGAUAGGUUAGACACCACAUGAUCAAAAUUCAAACGAAUACGAAUUGACUCAAUGUCAUAUGUCGAAAGUUUAGGCUCACAAAUUCCAACCACCGACAGCUUAUGCAUCACAAUUAAUUUUCUCAAUCUUUGAAAAUUUGGGGAUUUAGAAAUCCCACGAAUGUUCCAGAAAAGUGCAUUAAUCAUUAGAUAAGCAGUGAAAAGAAUUUUGAGAAUUUUGUUUUACCGACCUGAGCUCUCUAUCUGAAGGGAACUUAGCCCGUAUAGCACGACUCCUAGUUGGUUGAAUAUCCUGCUCAAGCACUGCUAAUUGAUCAAUAUUCAUAGGCUCAAGCAAAGAUUGGGAGCAACCAGGUACACCCGCGUGUGACCCUGGGAACCGAGGAGAGAGACAACCCGCGCUACUGGGUAAGUCGGCCGCAAUAUCAUGAUCUUCACCUUCUGACUCAUCAUUCCCCUCUUCCGUUGAUGAAGAUUCUUCCUCCACUACCCGACCAGCUAAGUCGUGAAUGAUACCAGUAGCCACCGCCUGAAUACCAUCAUCAACCAACGAAGGCAAGCUCAUAGGUACAGGAAGCACUACCUCCUAGCUCGCAACCCGGUCAGUAACAACCACAGCUGUGUCAGUAGUGAUCGCUGGUUCUACAAGCGGCUGCGUUCCCAACCCCUUACUCACAAAGGUAGCAGAUGAAGUUGUAACAGUAGCCACAGAAGUAUCACCUUUAGCCUCGGACGAAAUCAAAUUAGGGCAUGCCAAGACCUGUUCCUGACCUGGAGACCUUGAUAAGGAAGCCAACAACUCCGAAGAACUAGCUAACGCAACCUCUGCAGCAGUAACGCAACCACUUUACCCCCUCUCUCAAGUGCAGGUUUGAUCGUAAAAAAAUGUUCAAAGUUCCAAGUUUGCCCUGUUUUCCAUUUUUCUCCUAUUUUCUUCUCAUCACCCAAACUUCUCCUAUCACCCAAUUUUGGCACUGAUUUUUUCCGUUUUCCUUUUGGAAAAUCAUGAACUAUAUUGCCAAAAUGUUCACUUCCAUUGAAGAAAAAUAGAUCACAGUUGAAAUGAGAAGAUGAGGUGCAAAUGUGCUAAAAUCUUCUAUGCACAUGUUGUUGACAUGUACACACACACAUCCAAAAUUUCUUACUUACAAUUCCUCUCAUCUCGUCACCCAACAUAACCCUACUCCCACAAUUACAUAAUAUUCUUUUUUGGCAAUUAUUUAUUUUUUUUAACAUGAAAUUAUUAUAUAGUUACAUUUUCGAGUAAAUUCCAGAGGUAUGUGGUUCUUUCAAGUGCUGAGAUCAUAUUUUAAAGAAAUUUUUUUCUCAAAAUGAAAACAAAUCAUAUUUUUUUCGAGUAUUACCUCCACUGAUAGGCUAAUAUGAGGGCAUUAAUGUCUUUUUCUAAAUCAUUGGUAUUGAACGCUAGUCAAGAGAAGAAAAUGUAACAAAAAUAAUUUUAAGGGAGAAAAUACAAAUUGUAUGAAAUGUUAAGGGUACUAAAUGCAUUUAAAACUUGAAAAAAUAUUGAAAUUAAAAUUGUAAGUGAAACUAGAAAAUAAAAGUGCAUGAGAGAUUUUUUAGUUGUCUAAAUUAUCUAGAGGCAAAAAAUAAAUAGUAUAUUUUAACUAUCAAACUCAAGCUAAGAGAAUCUAAAGAAAAUUUAAAAACAAAAAAACAAAAAGGUACAAUAUAAGAAAAAAUAAAUAAUUUUUUUUUUCAAUUUUUUUAGAUUAAGCUCAAGGUCUCUACCAUCCUAAAUUUUUUUUAAUUUGACCAAGGUCUCUACCAUCCUAAAUUUUCAAAAAAGUCAGAAUGAACAACAAAUUGAUUCCUAAAUCAAUUGACUGAACCAGCCAACCUAAUCCGAUUUUAAGGACACAACAAUUCAGUAAAAGAUUUAAAGUAAGUGCUCUUUGGUGGCAUGAAAAAGUUUUGAUAUUUAAUAUUGUUCCCUUAAUCUAGCUAGAAACCAAUUAGAAAUAGUUAACAGAUUUAAAAAGUUCUGAUAUACAAGUGGAUUUAUAUCGAUUUGGAAUGAAGUUCUAAAAUUUACUUGUGUCCAUGAACAAUAGGAGUGAAUAUGUUUAACAAAUAAAAAGGAUUAAAAAAAUUCCUAUUAUAACAUGCACAUUUUUUCCUUAAGUCGUAAAAAAAUUUGCUCAAAUACUAAUUCGGUGAAACUUAUUCGUGUUAGGUUCAUGAAUAGGGAAUUGUCAUUGGCUUGAAAGAUGAAGAAAGAACUCUUAAUAUAUAAGUAAAGGUCUGAGACCAAAUAACUUUUUAUGUCAAAGUUGGGUUUUGACUUAUAUAUCGGACUCUUUUGAUGAAUUCUCUUGAGUUUUUUUUCUGUAACAAGUAGUAUCAGAGCUUAUGUUUGGGUUCUAGCUAACUGUUUGAAAUUAAGUGAUUGGUGACAAUACCAUAGCGUUUAGAAAUAUACAAUUUUCAAUUUUACUGUUUAAUGGAAUUACAAGUUUCACACUGUUUAAUGGAACUACAUGUUUCACCGGAUGUUCUAGUUCAAUAGAGUUUCAAACUUGGGUUUAAUCUGAAGGGCUACUCAUGAAGAGAGAGAUUGUUAGGUGUUAGGUUUACGAGUAGAAAAUUAUGUCCCACAUUGGUUCAAGAAAUGAAAAAAAGACACUUAAUAUGUAAGUAAUGGUUCGAAAUCCAAUAGAUUAAAUUUUAGAGUCAAAAUUGGGGUCCUGACUUAGAUACUGAGUCUUUUUUCGUGGAUUUUCUCAAGUUUUUCUUCCUAAUAAUUUGUUGUCCUAUAUUUUUGUAUAUAUUAUCAUAUGCACGAUAAUAAAUCAGCUAAUAGGCUAAUUUUACCAACUGCUAUACUUAAUAAAGUAUUCUCUAACAAGUGUUGAAAUUUGCAUCAGCUAGUAGUUUAUAGUAUGUUACAAGAAAUGGUAUGUUCCAGGAUGAUCUUGGUAUGAUCCAUUUGCUUAAUAGUUUUCCGAAUUAACGUAAGUUGUUGGAGAAUGGCAACAUGUUCGAUAUUGUACGUGCGAUUAAUUUUUCAAUCAAAAGGGCACUUCUUAUGCAUGAUAUCCAAUAUAGAUUAGUAUUUUGAAAUUUAGACUGGACAAUGACUCAAACGAGGUUAGGUUCAAGUAUCAAAGGUUGAAUUGAUCAAAUCACUACAAAAAAUCAGAUAAUGUCAGCAAACUUGAUACAAAUUUGAUAAGAGGCAAAAAAAUGAGAAGAAAGUGAGUGGGUGUGACAUUUAAUAAUUUGUCUUUAGGGUUAUGGAAAACCUAUUCGUUUUUUUCUUUUAAUUUUUUUUCAAUUUAAUAAACAAAAAUAAAAAAAUUGUUGGUUCAACGGUUCAAUCCAAUUUGUACAGUUCGUACCGAUUUUUAAGUCUAACCAACCCAAAGUAUCAACCAGACCGAAGCUAUGAACAGUUCGUGGUCCAACGAUCGAACCAGUCAAUCCGAUCCGAUUUUCAAAACAAUGCGUUUUGGUACAAGAUCUAUGAUUAAAUUUUGUUUAAGAAACUAAUGUGAGGUUGGUUUUGAUGGAAUCGAGGCUGGCUGACUGAAGAGGAAGAAGUGGGCGUGAAAGAAAUGGGUUUGCAAGGGAUGAAAUCUCGGUAGGGUAAAGGAAAUUUGUUUUUUGAAACAAAAAAGCAGCAAGAAGGAGAAAUGAAAAAAGCCAAUUCUUACCUGUUUUACUAAAUCAUACUUUAACCAGAUUUUUUAUCGGGUUUGACCGAAUUAGUUUUAAGCAAAUGGGUUUGCAAGGGAUGAAAUCUCGGUAGGGUAAAGGAAAUUUGUUUUUUGAAACAAAAAAGCAGCAAGAAGGAAAAAUGAAAAAAGCCAAUUCUUACCUGUUUUACUAAAUCAUACUUUAACCAGAUUUUUUAUCGGGUAUGACCGAAUUAGUUUUAAGCAAAUGGGUUUGCAAGGGAUGAAAUCUCGGUAGGGUAAAGGAAAUUUGUUUUUUGAAACAAAAAAGCAGCAAGAAGGAAAAAUGAAAAAAGCCAAUUCUUACCUGUUUUACUAAAUCAUACUUUAACCAGAUUUUUUAUCGGGUAUGACCGAAUUAGUUUUAAGCAACUUUUAAGGAGGACUCAGACCGAAUACUUAUUCGGUUCUCGGUUCAACUUGUCAAACUAACUAAUUUAAUCCAAGUUUAAAAAUAUAGAUUUAGAUCUGUAUGUGACAUUUCAAUUCCAUAUGUAAUUCCUAUAUUUAAAAAUAUAGAAUUUCUUUAAGUGCUGUCACAUGUCAACAGUGUAUGUUUCAAUUAUGGUAUCAGGAAAAUAAUUGGUGGGUAUUACAAAAAAUGAGAUCGGUUCUUUUAGGUAAAUGCUGAAUUCGGAACCGAAGAGCACUAUCCUUUCGUAAUCUCCCUUAAUAUCUUUUCUUUCUAGAAAUUUUCAGUGAUUAGUUGUUUUAAGAUUGCCAUUUGCUUGCAGAAGAAAUGAGUUGGAUGAUUCAAAAAGAGAGAAUAUAAGUGAAAAAUCUCAGAUUCGAGACCUCCCACUACUUACACUUAAAGGAAAAAAAAAAAAAGAUUGCCGUUUGCUUUUUAUCUAUAUGGAAGUCUUAGAGAAGGUCCCUCUUGUGGUUAGAUCUGCCAAUAGGUAUUGCAUCAAUGUCUUCGUUUUUCUCUAAAGGUUCAUUUGUUAAAGUAGCCAAGUGAUGGGUAGCAAUUUGUCAUGCCCCAAAUAAGGACAUAACAACCAUCACACACCCUCGCCAAUACUAUUCAAGUGUGUAAGGCUAACCAUUUAUCUACACAACCAAAAACUUGGAAUAGAGCAUCUAUACUCCAAUAAAAUAACCCUUCUUGUCCAAUAGCUGAAAAAAUUUAUUCACCAAAUUAUAUGUAAAAGUGUGUCUAGAAUAUUAUCCAACUUCUAAAGGAAACAUCAAUUCCCGAAUGUUUCAACCAAAUAAUUCAACUUAGUCUAAUAAUCAAAUAAAAAGAUAUUGUUUCCUUUAACAAAAGGAAAUACAUUUAUUCAACCACUAUCACUAUGAAUAAAUGAAAAAAAAAAAUGCUUCUACGUUGCUCCACUCUACUCCAAUGCCGCCAAUGGAAUAUCCCUGAGGAUUUAAAAAAAAAAAAAAAAAAGUGAAAGCAUGGGGUGAGUUCACGGUUUAGUAAGCAACCAAGCUCCUAAUCAAUUGGAUCAAUUAGUAUACACAUUAUAUAUACUAAGAUAGUAUACAGAAUAAAGUUUUACAACUCAAUAAACGAGUACAACAUUAAUCAACUAAGAGCACAACAAAAGUCCCAUUAAUUAUUUACUCAACAACAACUACUGGCAACUUGGGUCAGGAGUCAAGCUUAACCCUCUGAAUUUGGGUCAUAGGUUAGACUUCACUCUUCCAAGUUCCAACCCCAAUAUAGCUUGGUUGCCAUAGCCAAUUUUGAAAAAGUCUAAUUCAACUUAAUCAACAUUUGCGGCUCAACAAUCAUCAAUUUAUCAACCAACCACAGAAUAUAGGUUACAGCAAAUCCACGAGAAUUAACGCCUCCAAACAAGUCACACAAUUAACAAUUACAUACAUGAUCCAUUUUCUGGAGUACAUGAACAAUCAAAGUUCCCGAUAACAGCUUUAGUCGAAAUGAAUUUAUACAUUUAAGAAAACACUGGUUAGGAACAGGCCACUUACCUCAAAUUCUUUGCACUAGAAAAACCAUGAAGUCAACCCAAUGAAAAAUUGGAACCUAAGUUUAAAGACUGCUUAGAAGUACUGACCACCCUACUGGUUACCUUUCACCUUCACUUUCACCAUGAUACUGCUCAAUCCUAGCUUACCUAAGAGGAUGACUAAUCACCCCCAAUCAUGUUAGCACACAUGCAAUGCAAUUUCGCUUCUUCCAGCUUUAACAGUGGUACACAUUUGGUAGAAAUUUCCAAAGAGAACUAAGAUGAAUGUGAAGUGAUUGACUAAUAAAUUAAUACCACCCAACCUAACUAAGCACGUGAAGACCACAAUCCAUCCUCAGAAUAACCCAUGAAUGCGGAUACAGUAACCUAUUUGCCUCAAUUCCUUUAUAAUCAAUUGAAUGGCAAUUUAAUCGAUAAGGGGUGUUAGGUUACUCAAGCAAUGUUGCAUUAAAUUAUUGCGACUGUGGAUGCCUAACAUAUGAAUGAGACUCGCUAAUAACUUUGUACCCAAAACUGCAGUGAAAGUAGAAACGCUUUCUUGAAAAAUUUAUCAGUGGAACUUUUUGCUUUCUUCUUGAUAGUCCGCUCUUUCGCCAAAUCCUGUCCUUCUUCGUCACUUUGAACUGAAAGAAUUAGGCGUGCUUUUCUCUUUUUAUUCAAGAGAGAGAGAAGAUGAAAAACGCAGGUUUAUUCUUCGCUUAUGAUUAGGGCUUGAUCAAAAUUAUCAUAUAAUCCUCACCCUACUACCAAAAAUUAUCCUUAAGUCCCUCGGGUAAAAUUUUCUUCAUUUAAUUGCUUGACCUGCACUUAUCUAAUUUUUUUCAUUACAUCGGGUAAAAACUGUGUGCGCGCGCAAGCGUGUGUAUUUUUUCAAGUCUUACACAAUUGCUCAUAGCGUUGCUGUUGAAGUUUUUUUUUUUUUUUUUGGUAACCCGACAUAAUGUUUUCUGCAAUGAAGUUAGAUACUACAUCCUUUUAUUUUUAAAUUAAUUUCACUUUAUAAGAACCUUAAAUAGACACAUACAUAUCUUAUGUAUAGGCAUGUGCGCGCAUGCAUUCCCACAUACACAUACAUGCACAGUUGCACACCCUUGUAGUCCGAUUUGCUUUCUAACAAUAUUAUUAUUUGUUAUAGAGGACUGAUUUUGACAAUUCAAUAGAUAUGGUGUUAGGCACUUGACAUAUGUUCUUUUCUCAUACACACCAUUGCAGUACGAUUUGUUUUCUAAUAAUAGCAUUUGCUAUAGAGGACUGAUUUUGACAAUUCACUAAAUAUAGUGUUAGGCACUUGACUUAUAUUCUCUUCUAAUUAACUUGAUAAACAUACUAAUAGGCUACAUUUUUUUUUAACCCUCCCAACCCCCCACUCCCCAAUUGUCCUUCCUACCUUCACGUGCCAAGCAUAGAAUUUGAACCAUGAAACUUAAAGACUCUAAGACUCUUUUUUUGACCACCGAACUAAAUAGACUAUAUUCAAUGGCACUGGUUAUAUAUGUGUUCAAUUCUGUCUCUCUCUUUUUUUUCGGUGGAAGUCUUGCUUAGCUAUUAAAGGCUUAUAUCUUUUUCCAUUGUACAUUCUUAGUAUCAAAGUCACCAAAAUUAGAAGGUUCAUGUUGUCACUGCACUCGUGGUUUGGAAUACAUACAACUAUUAUAAAGUGAGCUUUCUUCUUGGUUUUUAGCAAUUUGUUUACUCAUUUUAUUGUAGUUCUUAAGGAAUUUUAAUUAACCUGAAUUGAGCGCAAUAGCAUCUGGUUCUGUUGUUAAUGUUUUGUUUCUAUUGAUUAAAUGAGUAAACAUAGAAAAUCGUUUGUUCGAUUAAACAUGUAAUUGAGUUUGCGUCCUGCUUAGAGAUUAAAAUUGGAUCUGCAUUAAAAGUUUUUUAUUGAAAUUAUAGCUCGCACUAUUUGUAUUGAGGUAUAUGCGACAUUCAACAAAAGUCAGUAACACUACUCAGACAUCUUGUUAUUGUUCAAGGUGUUCUUUCACAUAUUUGAACAUUAAUAAAAGGAGGUGAGGCGCAAACGUAGUAAAAUCUUCCAUAUGUUAUACAUAAUUUAUCAUGUGAAUGCAGAUAUUAGCAUUUAAUUUUUUUUUUACAUUUAGAUACUUUUCCAAAUUUAAUUUAACUUACCAAAAAACUAACAUUUGAAACUAUCUCAACAAGUGUUUGUUAGAAGAUAAGAUUAAGAUCUUCAACCCUGACUUACAAAUCAUGAAUAAAGAGAAUUAUGACAUACCAUUGAAUAUGUAUCUACUUGGAGUUGUAUAGUUUUAAGUCUUGAUCUCCCCCUGCUACUUUCUCUUAUGUAUGCUCUAGUGAUGGGAUAAUUCUCACAGACAAAAAUUGAGUGGAGAGAGGGACCAAGAGCCUAUUUAUAAAUGCACAAGUGACCCAUCCCCUUAUUGAUUAUUAAUAAGACUCAUUAAUUUUUCCUACUUGAUAAGAUAAAUCUUAUCAUUAAUCACUUGUUUCAAGGAUAUAUAUACACGGUCACAAAUAUAUAUACAUUCAUUUAUGUGAAGUUUCAUAAAUAUAUGGAUAAAUUCAUUUAUCACUUAAGUUAGAUUCAUGGCUUUGGUCAUUGAAUUUUGUGACAUAAUAAUUAGGUACAUGACUUUGGUCAUGAUACCUUGAUCCUAUCGAUACAAGUAGUUGUUCUUUCACGUAUGUGGCACUUUAUUAUUUAUACAUUUAUGUUGUCAUGUAGGGCACAAUAAGUAAUUAAUCUAACAUUCUCCCACUUGGACAAAUGAUCACAUAAAUGUUAUAAAGACAAGCAAAUGGUGGCCACCACAAAAAAAAUAAUUUUAUUCUACAUAAUUAUUGUAAUGGAUCAUGGCAGUCACGUAUAAAUAUUACAAUACAAUUCCUUCCAUGUAUCACAAUUUCAAUAACUGUAUGUAGAUAAAUUCAAUGAGGAAGAAAUGGAGGAUUAAACAUUCAAAGUCCAUUGAUGGUCCAAAUUAUUCCUAUUUAAUUUACCAUAUUAUACACAAAACCUUUUCUUAUACAAAAAUAAGUGCUAGAAUUACGUGUCCAAAUUACACAAAUUGAGUACGACCCAUGGAAUUAGUAUAUUCCUUAAACUUAUUUGGUGUCAAUGCUUUCGUUAAAGGGUCUGCAAGCAUCAUAUCUGUCUACAUAUGCUCAAUGGACACCUUUUGUUGCUAAAUUCUUUCACGGACAACAUGAUACUUCAAUUCAAUGUGCUUGGACUUAUUGGAGCACUUGUUAUUCUUUUAAAAGAAAAUAGUAGCGGAAUUGUCACAGUAAAGCAUUAUGGGUUGAGAUAUAAAAUCUAGAGGUGGAUUUCAUACUGUCAAGGCAACCAUGAAAUAUGAAUAUGAUUAUCUGAUAACUUCUAGAUGAUCUCUGUGCCUAUAGGUGAGCAUCAGAUCCUCAAUACAUUGAAGAUAUUGUAUCGCCUUUUUAGCGGCCUUCCAAUGAUCUAUACUUGGAUUACUUUGAUAUCUGCCAUGCAUUCCAACUGUAAAACUAAUAUUGGGCUGCAUGCAAGUUUGGGCAUACAUUGGACUACCAACAGCAGAAGCAUAUGGAAUAUGGGACAUUUGUGGUCUCUUAAUAUCAUUAUGAAGACAUUGAUUUUGACUAAGUUUAUCACCUUUAAUGAUUGGAGAUGGAGUAGUUGAACGAUUUUGCAUGUGAAACCUUUUAAGAACUUUAUUUAUAUAAGUCCACUGAGUUGAACCAAGAAUUCUCUUAGACCUAUCUCUAUGGAUGUUGAUAUCAAGUAUAGAGGAUGCAUUAUUUAUAUCCUUCAUUUUAAAGUUCUUAGAAAGAAAUUCUUUAGUUUCUUGCAAUAAAUUUAAAAUAUUAGUAGCCAGCAAAAUAUUAUCAACAUACAAGAUAAAAAAUAUGAACUUACUCCCACUGACUUUCAAAUAUAUACAUUCAUCAAGUUUGUUUUAUUAAAAUCCGAAGGACGUGAUUGUAUCAUGAAACUUAAAAUACCAUUCCCAAGAGGCUUGCUUAAAUCCAUAUAUAGAUCUUUUAAAUUUGCAAACUAACUGUUCUCUUCCUUGCUUCUCAAAAUCCUUCGGUUGUUUCAUAUAUAUUUUCUCAUCCAAAUUCCUAUUUAAAAAAAUUUGUUUUACAUCCAUUUGUUGUAACUUCAAAUCAAAAUGAGCUACUAAGGCCAUAAUGACAAAUGAGUCUUUCUUGGAUACAGGAGAGAAAAUCUCAUUAUAAUCAAUACCUUCUCUUUAAGCGAAUCCUUUUGCUACAACUCUGGCCAUAUAUCGGUUAAUAUUACCCUUAGAGUCUCGUUUAGUUUUAAAUACCUAUUUACAUUAAAUAGGUACAAAUCCUUUAUGUAAUUUGACCAAUUCUCAGACAUCGUUAGCUUUCAUAGAUGCCAUUUCAUCUUUCAUAGCAUCCAACCAUUUAUUGGAUUCACUACUAUUUAUGGUUUGAAAAAACGUUUUCGGAUCUUCAUCAAUGCCAAUAUCGCUAAAUUCUUGUAGGUACACUCAAUAACCAUCCAAAAUUACACUUUUCUUUUGUCUUUUUGACCUUCGUAAAGUGUUUGAAUGAUUAUUAGUGCUUUCAAUAGUGGGAUCUGAGAUGCCACGAUUUGACUCAUUAUGUGGCAGAUUAAGUUCUUUUUCACUCUUUUCUAUUUCUAUAAUGAGUGAAUUAUUGGAUUCCUUUAUCUUAGGAAUCAAUUUCACUUCCCUUACAUCAUGACUCCUACUAGAAAUUUCACUUUCAAAAAACUUAGCAGUAUUUGUUUCCAUUAUUCUAUUAUGAUGAUUAGCACAAUAAUAUCGAUAUCCUUUGGACCUUUCGGGAUAACCGAUGAAAAAAUAACUAACAGUUCUUGAAUUCAACUUCUUUUCAUGUGAAUUGUAAAACCUUGUUUCAGCAGGACAGCCUGGCUUUGUGAGGAGUGGUCUUCCUUCCAUGGAUUUCAUGUUUUUGUUUAAUAAAGUUUCUUCUAAAUUUUUUUUAGUGAGAGUUCUUUGUUUCUCCCAUAAAUUUUUAGUGAGAAUUUUUGUGUUGUUUUCUUCUUUUUUUAUUUUAUUUUGUUGUUAGAUCUAAAUUUAUUUUAGAUCUAGUUGUCAAUUUUGAUAUCUUUUUAGAUGUUGGGUCUAUCUUGAUAGAUCUCAUCAUCAUUAUUGAAAUCUAAAGCCAUUGGUUAGCAAAUCUGAUGAUUGCAACAUGGAUAAAAGUGAGUUGUAGCGAUUUAUCUUGUCAGAAGAAAUUUUUAAAUUUUUUAAAAUUUUUCAAAUAUGUUCAUAAUUUUUCAGAUCUAUUGUAUAUGUUAAAUUAUAAAUAUGUUCUGGUAUAUAUUUAACCUACAAUGAUAUAAAUCACACAUCGUGUUGGAUGAUCUCCAACAUCUAUUGAUGAAUUUUUUUAAAAAAAGAAAAGAAAAAAACGGCAACUAUAGCACAAAUUAACGAAAACAUCUUUCAUAAACCAAAGUUGGGUGCCGAGCACUUUUUAGCACCUAAUAUAUUUUCGUAGGGAAUAUGGAUGUGACUUCCAAUUAACCUAUCUUAAAAAUUUUAAUAAACCAACAAUAAUUCUAAACCAAAUAAUUCCAAGUUCAAUAGACUAAUACCCACCCAAAAAAAUUGGCAGGUGUAUGGGGUGACAAAUGACUAGGUUGUGAGAGAUGUCAAUGAUACAGUUGUUGUAUCCUUCAUAAAAUGCAAAAUAUGCACUCAGUUUGUUUGUUAAAUUAUAGAACUUCAUUUUUUGUUCAAUGGGAGACUCCAAACCUCACAAGAAUGAGAAAAGAGAAGGAUUUGAGGGACGACUAUGGAUUUCACAGUCAUUCAACUAAUGUGGCUUCAAUUCUUGGUGGGAUGGGAGAUUAAGAAUUCAAACCUUGAACCUUGCCUCCCAUCAUUGUGCCAUCAUAUGUGGCUUCUCCAAAAAUUCAUAUAAGUACGUGAUGUCUGGUCCAGUGGUGAUUCAGUUUUCGUCAAUUUUCCCAAUUGGAUCAGUUAAGCCUCCCCCUUCCCCCAAAAAUAGGCUAGAAUAGGAGUAGAAAUAGAAGUAAAGUAGAUAUUGUCAUUUGACCAAAAAAAAAAAAAACUAAUGUCCUUACUAAUUAAUGUUCCUUACUAAGUAAGUUGAGUCUUGACUUCAAUUAUAGAACUUCACAUGUCCAGUAAUAAGUCAAUAUUGGUUAGAGGGGGGUUAUUGCCUUGUCGGCUUUAACAUUCCACAAAAAAGAUACCAAACAGAUCAACUGAGUUAAAAAGGCCGUCCCUUGGGCUUGGGUGACCAGAACUAUUCCUGUUUCUUUAAUGGGUCAGUCGGCCGCAUUGAACCCAAUGUUGUGGCAAACUUGUCAGGAGGCGUGUAUGUAACCGACAAUUCGCAUUAAAGUAUUCCCCUACUUUUGAUCUUUCUGAGGAUUUAGAAUUAGAAUGAUCUUCCCAGUGAGAAGGGUUUCUCAGCAAUUGCUAGAGGCGAUCACUUAAAACAAUACAUAGCGAAAAUCUCCCAGUUUUUGUACAUCAAGUACAUAAAUAUAAUUUUGACAAGAAAAAAAGUACGUAAAUAUAAUUAAUUAAAUGGAUAUUUUAUUCAAAAUUUUUCAAAUAUUUUAUCUGUUAAUUUGCAACCUGUUAUUUCUAGUGCAUGUUUAUCCUAACAUUAAUGUUGAUUUCUAUGAUACAAAUCAAACCAUGCCUGACAAUUUCCAGUAAUUUCAUUCAUGAAAUUGGGUUUUUUUUUUAAUAAAAAAAUGGAUAUUUUGUUAACAAGCCAAGAUUUUGAUCUGGUGAUAAAGAUUCUUGCAUAUUUGGAAGGAAAUGCUAGGUUUUGGCUUUAGCAAAAAGCAUUUAAUUGGGACACAAAUAAAGAUCCACAGGGUCGUCAAAGCUAAGCCAAGCUUGUAGGUAGGCCAAGCUGAGGGCUAAAUGGAUUUGAUAGGACUGUUAAUGAGGUCAGGCCAAUUCGAGCUCGACCUGUUCGGUCUGAAUAAAAGGUUACUAAGCCUAAGUUUUAAUUGGGUCAGAUAGAGUUUGUGAGUCGAACUUGGGCAAUACUAGACUUAGCCCUGACUAAAACUUGGCUCAUAUAUGAGUGUAAUUAUAUAUGUAAAAAAUAUAUAAUAAUAUCUAUAAUUUACAAUUAUUUAUACUACAUAUAAAGGGAGAGGAGGGGGUUUGGGGUAAACAAAAAUCUGUCACUUUAUAUACUUCUUAAACCACCCUUGAUAAUGAUGGAACUUUUGGUAUAAAUAAAAGUCUACUUAUCUUUGAUAACUACCUAUUACUAGUAUGAUUUUUUACCAAGUAAUAUGUAUUUUCUUCACAUUCAAUUUUUCAAUUUAUUUAGUAAAUCUUAAUUUUAAUUAGCAACUACCAAUUAUGGUAAUGAAUAACUACCAAAUAACCACUUUUUAUAACUCUUUUUUGGUUAAUAUUUUACAUAUGUAUUUUCAAAAUAUAAAACCAAAUUUCUUGAAAAUGAUUUCAAUGAAUUUAUUCAAAAUGUUUCACAAAUAUUUUUUCUAUAGUUGCACAUACAUUAGUGUGUACCUUGAAUACUAGUACAUAUUAUGACAUAAAAUGUUGAUAAUUGAUAUGUAAAUUUGUAUUAAUUCAUAAUUAUAAAAAAUAAAUUAUAUAUAUGAUUAUGAGUUUGGGUCAAAUCCGUUUUGAUCGUGAAACUCAUAUAAUAGUGUGAGUUGAGAUUAAAUCUUUUUAAUAUGAGCCCGAAGACUGAAAGUCUAAAAUCCAAAAAUUCAUAUAACUUGUGAGUCGAGUUUGAACUUGCUAAAAUCCGACUCAUAAAAACCCGACUGGCACCCCUAAGAUUUGACUUAUUUUGGUGCUUAUCCAAUCAAAUUAUUAGAAACUCAGUUUGGGCUUAAUGAUCAGUUUGUCGGGGAGAACGACUUAACCUAUGAGCGAUGUCGGGCUCAAUUAUGGACACGAAAAACUAUUGAGUCAUUUAAUCAGACAGAGUUCAUGGUUUGACCAGUCCAGCAAAUGCUCAUAUAAGUCUAAACUCGGGCGAAUGUGGUCAAAUUAGAAAAGGAAUUUGUCUAAAUCCAUAUUUCUCCUUUAUCUACUCAUUCAGGUGUGCUAUAUUUAUAUUCAUAUUCUCUUGCCUUGGUAUAACUUUGCGGGUUGAAACUUGUUUCGUCUUUUCAAUAUCGGUCUUGUCAUGGUUUCAUUGAAACAUUGUUGGUUAUGUUUUGUUUGUUUAUGUUGCUUUGUUUUAUUUGACUAAUACCACUUUGUGGAUUAGUUUUAUUGUAAUGAUUGUAACGUACAUUUUGCUACGUUGAAAUAAAUUUUAGCUCACAAAACAAAAAAUCGAAGUUAAUAAGUUUAUUGGAUUGGCUCAACACAAUAGAUGGAGUUCUCAAUUUCAAAAAAAUGUAACCAAAUUGUUAACAGGUGAAGCAUGCUUAAAUUUCAAAAACAUGCUUAAAUUUGGAGACCAUCUCUAAAGAAGCAACUAAUUUGUGAGGGUGAAGGUAUUAUUAUCUUUUAGAAAAAGAUAAAAAAGGCAUUAAAGAAUAACUUCUUUGGUAGAAAAUCACCACUCAAAUGUUUUGCUUAUUUCAUAAAUUCAAAAAAUUAUAUGAGAGUACAUGCUGAAUUCAAGAAAUCUCUUAAUGCAUGGCGAGGUUUAUAAAUCAGAGAAUCAAGCCAUUGCUCGCUAACUUCGUAGGCUAGAAUGUAAAAUUUGUACAAGGGUUUUUAUUUUUUAUUUUAAAAUUUGUACAAGGGUAUGACUUAUGAGCAAGUAAAAGUUACAAUCUGAUGACACCUUUGUAUACUAUUUUUAAUAAACAAAAUAAUUAAUGUGCUGCAAGUGUUUCUUGAGAUGAUAAUGACAAAAUAUAAUAAAUAAAGCAAAAUUUGGGUAUAGAGCUUGUUGUCCAAGUUGUACGUCAUCCACAUAAAUAACAAUAUAAGAUUGAUUCAUUCUUGAUGUAUCAUCCACCUGAUUCUUAUUGUCUGUGGGGUGAAAAUUUUGUGCACAAGCUGGAGGUACAACAGCUAAAUAAUAGAAACAAAAUGCCUGAGUUGACUAUUGGUACGGAGAUUAUAGAAUAACAAGGCCUGCAGCUAUCGUUUGAAGAAGCUAAAUUCAUUUACAACCAUAUGUUACAAACUUAAUCCCUUGUAACAAAAGCAUACUGUACGAGAUAUAUACUUAGUGAACACCAUGUCUGUCCAAUAGUCUUUUUUUUUUUUUUUUUUUUGUCAACACAGGGGUGUCCGGGUCAAGACCCGAAGGCGGCUCGACUAAUCCCCUGCGCCCAAGUACACCGCCACCCCAAGCGCACCGGGAGUUAAGUGGGAUUCGACCACUUGACCUUGAAGUUCCAGAAGAAGCCCAAGAUCAGAUGGUCUAGCCCCGGGGGCUCUGUCCAAUAGUCAAUGCUGCAUUUGUAGCGAUUGUCUUGCAUAUCACCAUUUGGAUUUACUAGUUGGCGACUCCACUGGGGACUUCCUAAAUGGGUCCAAGCAUUUGAUUUAGCUAUUCUUUUCCUUUUUCUACCCUUUUUAUGCGUAGCAUUUGGAUAUUAGGGUUGCAUUUUCCAUUUUUAGGACUUUUUACCUCGCACGCGUAUCAAGCUAUUCCUUCGCUCACGUAUGUAUGAUUGGUUGUUUGGAUGUAUAUUGUACUUGUUUUAUCUCGCGCUUUGCAUUGCAUUUGGGUGGGAGACAUACCCUAGAGCCUCGCGUUGGUUCUUGAUCCCUCCCCUCCAAACGAGCACUAGCAUACGUGCAUACGCUUUAAUUUUUUCACCCCUUAUUUAUUUUCUUUUAGUGGCUUGUCACGCCACUCCACCCUAUUAGGAUUUUUAGGCGACUCACUUGGACUGGUGAUCGCGACACGAUGUGUGCGUAGCUUGAUCCGAGGGGUCACUCAAUCUUCCAUUUUAAGCUUUGGGUUCAUAGCCUUUAGCUUUUAGUCGAAGGUUGAGGAUUUUUGAUAGAUUCACUCAUGACAUGUAGCCGUGACACGAUGUGUGCGUAGCAAUGUCUGGGGAAUCGCUCAAGCCACCGACAAGGAACCUUGGAAUUGAUGACCCUCGGUUUCCAAGUCGAAGGCUCGGGGACCUAAAGCCUAUCGAGUCUAGAUGCAUUAGUGAGCCAAUACCUCAUGCAUCCAUGAUAGUUUACCUAGGGUAGAGUCUGCCUUAUCCUGGUAGGGACACUAUUCACGAGGGGAGGGAUCCAACCCCUUUUUCCUUUUUAUUGCUUUAUUUCUUCGUAUUGAUUUUAUUGCUUUAUCGUUGCUACAAUGUGUUAUGUGUAUUUAUCUGGCUGAACUAACUUUCUUGGUUUUGUCCUCAUUGCAUUCACAAACCCUAGCAAAUAAGAGGUCUGGCAUGACCUUCUUUUAUAACCUACCCUUGUAGAUAGGCUAUUGCACGUUUAAAGAUGUUGGUAUAUUGCAUUCAUAGAUUAAUAAUUGCACAUCAUUCUAGGCCUACCUUGGCAUAAAGGGUCCUUUAGGUCAUGAUAUCAUUUAAAUUGUAUGUUUUAUCGCUUUAAUAAACUGGCAUCAUGCAUAAACCCUAGAAAGGGAAUGCCAUUUAGGCGAUCCCGUGCUAGGAAUAAACCACCCUGUGUCUCGGAUAUAUAAUCCAAUGAGACUUGCACGUUUAUAUUUCCUGUACCAUCCAAAGGGGUAGUGCACAAGGUAAGGUGGGAUCCGAUCAUUUCCAUGCGACGAUCUUUGGAAUAUGAGCGUCUAACAAUCACUUCUUGGCCACUUUAUCAAAAUUGAAGAGGACAUUAAUUUGAAGAAAUUCACAAAUAAUUCCUCGCUAUUGAGACGAUAAAUAAAUUGAGGCCAAAAUUUGAUUUUAGAAGGCUCAUAGACUAAUGCAUCGCAAUAAUUUUUUGAAACUACCAAUAAGCCGUCAAUUCCAUUCAAUCCAUUGGACCGUUUUGUUCAUCCAUUUCAUCCAGUCCAUUUUAUCAAUUUGUUCAAUUUUAGGGCAACUUAGUCGUUUUUGAAUUCAUUUGACUAGUUUACCUAUUUUUUAAGGCAAUUUAGCCGAUUUUUGAAUAGAUCAUUAAUUUCGCUCAAUUCAUGUGAUUAGUUCACCCAUUCUUAGGGCAAUCUUAUCGAUUUUAAAUAAAUUAUCGGUUUCAUCCGAUCCAUUUGAUGAUUUAGGGUUUCGGUGCCAGAUUUUAUAAUUAUAAUGGCUAAUUGUUUUGAGGAAAUCAUCAAAGUGCAUUCAUUCGGCUUGGAUAGGUUAAGAUUUUGAUCCAUGUUAAGAAAUUUCCAAAUUUUCCAAUAGCAAGCUCCUCAAAGUUAAAUCAAUUUGUACUAAUUCUUGUGCCAACCAAAACCAAUCAUUCAUUCGGAUUUGUCCUCAUUUUGUUUAAAGGUCUCCCAAUAUUCAAUUGAUCAAAAAUUUUUGAAUUACUUUUCGAAUCAAAUGUUACUAAGUUGAUCGGAUCCAUCAGGUAUGGUAUCGUGCCUACCUCAGAGGAUUACAUCAUUCUAGGCCUACCCUUGGCACAAAAAGGGCUCCCCCAUAGGACAUGCAUCUGAAUUUUUUGAAUGUUUACUAACUCUUGUCUUUUUCUUUUCCUUUUCUUUAUUUUUAUUGGAAUAGCUGAGCGAGGGCUAAAUCUAAAGGCAAUUCCUUUCAAAAUUCUCAGGUAAUAUUUAAACAUAGCUUCUUGUCGAAACCCCAUCAUAACGCGAUCCCGUAGUCGAGCCCAGAGGAGUUGUGUAAACAUGAGUUCACAACCGGAACAAUCAGAUAGGUCUGCUACUACCGCCCAGCCUGAGACUACGAGUUUGGGGGUUCAGCUAACCGAAUUGCUUACUAAGUUUGGUGAGAUGGCUAUCGAGAUGGCGGCCCAAAAGAAAUUAAUCGACGAGCUAAUUAGCAACGGAGUUCAACCCGAGCCCGUACCCGUCAGGCAGCCUGAGUCAGAGCCAUUUGUCAUCCCUCCGACUCAAACCACCGUUACUCCAUCCUUCCCUAUUCCACCCGAAGGAACUUUCACCUAUCCCACCAUAAAUUUGCCAUACACUUACCCUCCUAAUCCUUCAUUUUUUCCUAUUCACAUGCAAGGCCCACAACCCCAAGCUACUUCAAACAUACCACCUGAGCCACAUACCUUUUAUCACAUGCUACCGCAGAGCCCUUACUGCCAGACCAUACUGUCCAAGCUAAACCAGAGGUAGGAGAAUCUUCUGCUCUUGUUGAUAUGAAAUUGCUCAAGCGCCUAGACCGUUUCGACGAAUUUAUGAGGAAAAGUCAAGGGCUAAACAAGCAAGGAGUGCUGGACUAUGAUGAACUUUGUCUCUUCCCAAAUGUGCAGUUGCCUGUGGGGUUCAAGACCCCAAAAUUUAACAAGUACGAUGGAACGGGCAACCCUAAGACACACCUCCGACUGUUUGCUAGCAAGUUGGGAAGGCCCAUCGAUGACGAGAAUCUGCCUCUAAGGCUGUUCCCAGAAAGUCUGGAGGGGGAUGCACUCGACUGGUAUUCCAAUCUAAAACCCGAGAAAGUAAAGACUUGGCUUGACUUGUCCAAUGCUUUUGUGAGGCAGUACGAGUACUGUAGACACCAAAUUUUUGGUGUUUUAUUAUUUAUUUAUUUAUUUACUAUUCGUUUUUAUUUGUUCUAUUUUUAUUUGUAUUUACUUUUAGUUUUAGUUAUUUUAUCCAUUUUUAGCUAGAAUUUCUCAAAGGGAAAAGAAAAGUGUUCAAAAAAAUAUGUUUUAGUUGUUUAGGAUUUAGUUUCAUUAUUUAAAGGAAAAAGGAAAAAUGGAAAAUGAAAAGAUGAUGAAUUGGAAUUUGCACUUUCUUGUUUCUAGUUUAUUUUUCAUCCAAUGUUAAUUAAAUUGUUUUUGUUAUUUGUUUUUACUAUUAUCAAUGUUAAUUAUUUAAAAAAAAAAAGGGGAAUACGCGAUGGCAAGCUGCGUUUUUACGCAGCUUGCAAGUAAGGGCUCGGGCAGCCCUUGGCUGCAAUUUUAGAGGAGACAAUGGGAGUUUUAGGGUUGGGGUGGCCCCAUAUAAAUAGAAGAUGCAGCAGCAGCCGCAGGAGGGGGAGAGGGCAUCGAGCAAAAGAAGAAAAAAAAAGAAAAAACCAGGGAGCUUCAUCGGGGGAGAGGAUCGACGGGCAGAGAGUGUGGAGUGAAAUCUGGAACGGCGGCUAGGGGCUUGAGGGAGUGAAUGAAAGGAGGACAUACGAGAGAGAGGUGACAGCCGAAACUUAGAAAAACAAAGAGAGAAAGCUAGAAGGGAAAAGACAGAGAGUGUGCGGCUGAAGAAAGCAGAAAAUCAGCGACUGAGAAAGAGUGAUAAAAGAGUGAGGAAGAUUUACGGCGGAUUAAGAGAAAAGCAGUGAGUUUUAGAGGUGUUGGUUCAGGAAACUUUGGGCAGCAAGAAGGUUUUGGAUUCGUUGAAGCAAGGCAAAGAAUCAGGAAGCGCAUCUGCGGGAGAGACGAAGAAGCAAAGAUUUCGUCUUCUGGAAUACAUCAAGCUUUCGGUCAAGGUUUAAAGGUAACAUUUUUUUUACUUUGGAUUUGUUUGUAAGUUGCUGAGUUAUGUUUGUAUGCUGAAAGUCUUAGUCUUUGCACUGGAUUGCAUUCUUCAUGCGAGUUUCUAUCCGUGAAUCUGGUUUGUUCUUGGAGGAGAAGGGAUUUGCGUUUAGCUGUGUUCGUUUCUAGUGUUCAUGGCUGUUUUCUUUUGGUGAUUUUUAUGCACAAUCUGGGUUGGAAAUUUCUGGGAGAUGCAUGAUUUAUGGCUGGAUUUUUGAUGAUAGGAUGCAUAAGAUCGUAUUUGUUUUGGGUUCGAAGAGGUUGCCGCUGGCUGCAAAUUUUGUUGGCUAUGUAUGUCUUGGAUAAUAUAGUGGGAAGUUGCGUUUUUUUACUUCCAGAUUUGCAUGUUUAUUUUGAGUCUUUGUAUUGAAAAUGAAUGGCAAGUUUGGUGUUUGAUAUUUUGAUUCCAGUCUGUCUUUUGUUUUGCUUGGAAUGCUAAUUGUUGCCUUUUGAAAGGAGGACCGCAUUACAUAAGAUUUCAAUGUUGCAGAAAAUUUGUAAACUUUGCUUGAAGUUGCUUGAAUCAUUUGGAUUUUGCAUGCUUGUUGCCCGGCUUUUGGUGUCUAAAUCUGAAAGUUUUCAUGAUGUAAAGUAAGAGGUUUGCAUAGUUGUAUUUAGUUUUGAUUGAGCAUGGAGACUGAUUCUUGCAAAGUGCCGAAUUACAAAAGGUUUUGCUGCAUUUUCGUUCCUUCUACGGCUGUUAGUUUUUUUCCCCCCCCUAAUGGUCAACUCUAUUUCUUUGUGCCAACCCUUCAGUGAAGUUGCGUGUUUAAUUGAGGAUGAAUGAGUAGAAACUUGCUGUUUCAUGAACUUAUUUGCAUGAUAGAAUGGAUAGAAGCAAUACCAGAAAAUUUUUCAGAACAUUGUAUGCUUCCAUUUAUCCGUUUUUCUUUUUCUCCUUCGGCUGGUUUUGGGCGUUGAUUGUUGUGUUUUGCUGUUUUGGAAUCAAGGCAUUUGAUGUUAGGAUAAAAAUACUAAUUUGGUCUGGAUGAAAAUGGCAUUAAAAUGAACAUAAGAAUGGCAGGAGACAUGGCUGGAAAAUUUGCAGAAAGCUUCAAAUGCAGAAAUCUUCAAAGUGCCGAAUCAUUCUUGUGUAUUUUUCCAGAAUGUUUGCAUGAUCUUUCCCUAUGUUUUUGGGUUGUUUGACUGCCAAGUUUAUGCUUUGUUGUUUGGUUUGAAGUUUGGAAUGUUAGAUCAAGAAAAGUUUUGGCUAAAUCUGAAUCACGAUAUUGGAAAGGGAAGCAAAGAAUGCAGCAGUCUUAUUGAUCUCAUUGCAGAAAAUUUUCCUACGUGAUUGCAUGCUUUGCAUGAAGAAAUAAACCUGGAAAAUUGCAGAUCAACCCCUUGGCUUCUAACUAAAGGCAUUAGGACCCAAUCAAUUAAAUAAUUUCAUCAAUUUGGUCCUUGGUAAUUUUAAUUUGUGCAACUUCAUUGUUUGUUUGCUUCAAUUAACUACCAUGCUUUGUUUCAAUUGCGCUUAAGUCAUGACUUUAGGAACUUUAUGAUCAAAUGAACUUUGUUUUGCACAUUUCUUUUAAUUUUUUUUAAAUAAAGUGGUACCUUGACCCUUUUAUUAUUUUGGAGGGUAAGUUAGUAAUUUCACUACGUUAGGGCGUCGCUUCAAGGGAGGUACACUCUAUCCUUCAUUUGCACUUCAUUUGACCCUACGUGCUCCUACGUGUUAUGUGAAUACGCAUGCCUACUCCGCUUUCCUUACCUCUUUGCGUGCAUUUACUUGCUUUUACUUCUAUUUAAGUUUUAUGGGGUAUGUGUACACCUCUUGGCUUGUAAUAGAUAGUGCUCGGAGAGCAUCUGGUCCAUUCACCCUUUCCCUUUUAUGCUUUUAUGGGGUAUGUGUACACCUCUUGGCUUGUAAUAGAUAGUGCUCGGAGAGCAUCUGGUCCAUUCACCCUUUCCCUUUUAUGCUUUUAUGGGGUAUGUGUACACCUCUUGGCUUGUAAUAGAUAGCGCUCGGAGAGCAUCUGGUCCAUUUCCCCUUCCCCUUGGUUGCUUGUUUUUGUUGCUACAUGUUUAAUUGCUUUAGUAGGCUCUUGCAUCUAGUCGAGCAUGCUAAGUGCUACGUGCUACGUGUUUACGAGCGUUUUGGCAUGUCUACUUGCUUUCAUAACCAUGAAUGAAUGGAAUGGAUGAAUGUACGCCACCACACUAGUCCAAUGCUAGUUGUGGCUCAUUAGGCCAUCCCUUUUUGUUAGUGCAUAUUUGCAUGUUCACUACAUGUCAUGCAUUUUUCUUAGUUUUAUCAUUUGGCAUGCUCCUCGAGCCCCUUUUCCCUCAUUUUAGGAUUUUUUGCAUCUCAUGCUAGUUAGGGUACAUUUGCGUGAGAGUCCCCUUAAAUAUGGGAUAUAGAUGAGUGUGGCUUUUUCUAAGCCUUAGCACGCUUAUAUUCCCUCUAUCAAAGGAAAAAUCAAGUCACGAUUUAGGUCUCCCCGUACCCGUCUUGCUUGCAUUCCCUAGGCUCAUGCAUUCUCAAUCCACUCUAUCAUUACACUUUCACUUUCGUCUCAUUUGCACACAUGCACCUUUUUAUCACCUUCACUUGCACACGAACACUUUUUUUGUCUCCACUUGCACACGAACCCUUUUAUCUUCACUUGCACACGAGCAUUUUAUCUUCACUCGCACACGAGUACUUUCAUCUACAUUUGCACACCUUCACUCUUAUCUUAUUACUUUUAUCAUUUUUCUCACUUCACACAAACUCACACUUUCACAUGGCAUGCAUUCCACUCAUUUUUCACGUCAUUUAGGUUUAGGUGUGACCUCUCCAAAAGGAUCAUUAUUGGGCUUCACAAUUAAUGUGAUUGGCACCACUCAACCUUUGAAGAGAAAUUUCCCCCAAUCCCCCUAGGUCUAGGUUUUUGCAUUCAUAUAGACAUAUCCAAUACGCGAUACAUACCUUGGGUAGAAAAAUUAGGAAAAAUUGGUUUGAGUCGCGCAACUAGCCUUGGCUAGGUCAAAGGGGUGCCUUGGAUUCUAUCCUUGCCUUCCCCUUUGUCAAACGUGACCCCCGAACCUUUUUCUUUGGCUUACGUGGACUAGGAGUCGUUUUAAAAAGGGUUUUACUACUUUGUCUUUAAAAAACACUUUUUGGGUGACUUGGUACACCCCAAAUCUAUACCAAGUGGCGACUCCGUUUUCAUAUUUAAAAAAACCCUUUUUAAAAUUUCAUUUGGCCAAAUCGUCGCUUUCCAAAGUCCCAUGGCCUUUUACUUUUUAUUUUGCACACGUUCACACCACACAUUCAUCACACCGAUCGAAAAGUGGGGCGCGACAGUUGGCGACUCCACUGGGGACUUCCUAAGUGGGUCCAAGCAUUUGACUUAGCCAUUCGUUUCCUUUUUCUACCCUUUUUAUGCAUUGCAUUUGGAUAUUAAGGUUGCAUUUUCUAUUUUAAGGCCUUUUGCCUCGCGCGCGUAUCCAACUAUUCCCUCACUCACGUACGUGUGAUUGGUUGAUUGGAUGUAUGUUUACUUGUUUAUCUCGCGCUUGCAUUGCAUUUGGGGGGGUGUGUCACCUUUAGAGCCUCGCGUGGUUCUCACCCCUUCCCUCAAAAUAGGGGAACACUUCAUACGUGCACGUUUACUUGCUUUAUCCCAUUUUAUUUUUAUUUUUCGUGGGCGCCAUCCCACACCGCCCUGUAGGAUUAGGAUCGAUUGCCUUGGGUAGGCGGCUGGUGUGCUCUGCGCCCAUAGCGCUACCUAAGGGAUCACUCGAGCCACCGAUCAAAGGCCCUGGGAGUGAUGACCCUUCGCCUUUAGGUCUGAAGGCUUGGGAGCCGAGACUUAUCGAGUCUAGUUGCAUUAGUGAGCCCCAGCCUCAUGCAUCCAUGUUAGAGUUUGCCUAGGUUAGAGUCAACCUCACCCUUUUAAGCACAUUAGGCACGAGGGAAGGGGUUCCACCCCUUUUACUUGCUUUUAUUGUAUUUCUUUUCUUAAUUGCUCCCAAUGUGUUAUGUGUACUAUCAAUUGCACUAACCAUUCUUUUGUUUUCUUGGCUUGCAUUCAUGAGCCAUAGCAAUAAGAGGCCUCUUUGGCACUCUUUUAGUGACUCACCCACUAGAUAACUCACAUGUUUAAAUUUCAGUCAUUAUAUUUAAUAAAUGCAUUUCAUGUUUAGACCUUUUCCCCCGUUGCAUUAUUUAUAUCCUUUAGGCCAUCUUUGUCACAUAUUUACAUCGCUUUAAUAAAUGGCAUCAUGCAUAAACCCUAGAAAGGGAAUGCCAUUUAGGGGAUCCCGCGUUAGGAAUAAGCCACCUUGUGUCUCGGAUACUUAAUCCAAAGAGACUUGCACGUUUACAUUUGGUACCAUCCAAAGGGGUAGUGCACAAGGUAAGGUAAAGAUCCGAACAUUUUCAUGAAGCAAUUUUUGGAAUAUGAGCAUCUAAUAAUCACUUUUUGGCCAUUUUCUCAAAAUUGGUAAAAUUCCCUUGCGUAAAAGGAUAUUAAUUCGAAGAAAAUUCACAAAUGAUUCCUCAUUGUUGAGACGAUAAAUGUAGAGGCCAAAUUUUGAUUUUAGAGGCUCAUAGACCAAGGCAUUGUAAUGAUUUCUUGAAACCACCCGGUGGGCGAAUAAUUCAAUCGAUUUUUGAACAAAUCAUCCAUCUUAUCCAAUCCAUUUUUUUUUCCAAUUCAUUCAAUCUAAUCAUUUUUGAAUAAAUUCAUUUCAUCCAAUUCAUUUGACCAAUUUACCCUUUUUAGGGUCAUCCGGUCGAUUUUUGAAAAAUCAUUCAAUUCCUUUGACCAAUUUACCCUUUUAGAGUGAUUUGGUCGAUUUUUGCAUAAAUCAUCAAUCUCUCUUUCAUUCAUUUGGCCAGUCCACCCCUUUUUAGGGCAAUCGAAUCGAUUUUGAAUAAAUCAAGCUUCAUUCAUUUGACCAAUCUACCCUUUUUAGGGUGAUUCGAUCAAUUUUUGAAUAAAUCAAAUUUCAUUUAAUUCAUUUGACCAGUUUGCCUAUUUUUAGGGCAAUUUGGUCAUUUUUAAAUAAAUCAUCAAUUUUGUCCAAUCUAUUUGACCCGUUUUUUCCCUUUUUAGGGUUUAAGUCUAAGGGUCACCGAAUAAAUUAAUUGAGACAUUGCAAUCUCUUUUACACAUUAUUCCAUGCAUCGAUCAAAGUAGCAAUCCAUUCGGACUUUUCCCUCAUUUUAGGACAAAUGUCUCUUUUCACUUCAAUUGGCCAAAUUUUUCCAAAUCAUUUUUCACUCUAGCGGUUGAUCGGAUUCAUCAGGUAUUGUAUGGUGCCUACCCUAGAGGAUUGCAUUUUCAUGCUAGGCUUACCCUUGGCAUAAAAGGGUUCCACCAUAGGGCAUGCAUCCGAAUUUUAUGGUUUUGAUUACUAACUUUGGGUAUUUUUCUUUUGUUUUCCCCCCUUCCCUGCAUUCAUAAAAAUACUUCAAUAAAGGGAAAAUAUUUUUCUAUAUCUGAUGGCACUUUCGAUCUAAUAAAGUGUCAAAACUGCAAGUGUUAUUUGAUUCUUGGGCAGAUCCUACAACGGAAACAUAAAUGAUUUAUCUGGAAGCUCUACGCCAAGCCUCUGAGAGAUGUUGUAAUUGUUUUCCAAAGGAAAAUUUUGUAUAUUUGAUUUGUUAAUACAUUUUGUUCCCAAAAGAAAAGAGACAAAAAGUGUAUAUGUGGAGCUCUUUACAAGUCUCUCUUCUCAUUUGUACCAUAAUUGAAUGAGAAAUUUUGUUUCAAACUUUUUCAGCAAUAAAGUUUUGGACAAUUAUUGUUUUGUGUAAAUUUAUGUACAUUUCAUUCUUUAUUCUUAUUCAUUGGAGCUUUUAUGAUGAAUUUUGAGAAAUAAGACCAAAAUGAAGAUUUCCUCAACCUCCGGCCUGAAAAUUCAUAAGUGUAUGCUUUCUAAAAUCCUUACGUACACUAGAUUGGCAAACUAUACAAUAAGAGUGGUCAGAAAGGAAAAGGAUGAGCGAUCACUCAAAAGGCCCAAUGAGAUAUCUUUCAACCCCAAAAAAAAAAAAAUCAGUCACAUUGAUUGAUGAAUUGCAAGUUGGGGCAAUCUUUGCUUGAGAAAUUUUCACUGUGUCUAAUUAUAUUCAACUCACAUCUAAGUGAAAGCAAAAAUGUGCAUUAUUCUUAUUUGUUUGGGAAAUUUGGAAUGAUACUUCAAGCAUUCGUUUCAUUACCUAUACAGAUUUUUAUCAUUUGCUCUCCCAUUUGAGCUUCUAAAAGAAUAAUUUCGUUUCAAAUAAGGGUCUUAAUGAUCACUACCCUUCAUUGAAAAAUUUUCAAAUAUCAAAAGAAGAAUGGAUUUUCAAUGACCAUUUCGCUACUUCGGUUGUCAUGAGGUAUAAGAAUGAUACUUUGGCCGUCAUUUCUACAACCUAAACACCAUUUAUCCCUUGCAUCCUCAUUUGAGCCAAAAAUUGGUGGUUUUUUCGAGUGCACAUAUGAUCGCACCCCACAUUGGGGAAGGAGAUUGGGGAAUUUUGAAAAAGAAAAAAGGAAAAAGAAAGGGAACCGCGAAUUGGGGAAAUUUGAUUCUACCAGGGUUUCAAUUUUUGAAAAGAAAAGAGAAAAGAAAAAAAAGACAAGUUCUAUCCGGUGGAUCACUUAUGCUUCAUAGAUAUGAAUGAGUAAGGGUCUUCCUCAGUCAGUUAAUUCAGAUACGUGCCAGAAAUUUCGCAUUAAUGAAAGUUUCCUUUCAGAGUUAUUGUAAGGAACGGAAUACAAGUCAGGCCAUCUUCUUUUCCAAUCAAACAUUCUAUCCCUAGUUAUCCCUUUUGAGCCAUCAGAAUAAAUUAUUUCGUUUGGCAACCCCUGAGAAUCGCAAACCCCACACUGGGGGUGAGUUUGAGUUGAAAAGAAAGUUUCAAGAAGUGAAAAGUGAAAAGCAACAAAAUCAAAAGCAAAAGAAGAAAAGAGAACCUCAGUUCAAAAUAAACUGGGGCAAAUUUUGUGAAGUUUCAAAGAAUGGCAACAGGCCGAAAAGUCAAAAAGAAAGAAAAUGAAAGUGAAAAAGCCUCAAGUGAAAAUAAACUGGGGCAAAUUCUGAUUUAACCCUAAAGUAGGGUUGGCACAACAAUGCGGUCUCAGAUUACUUAAAACAACUUUUGAAAUCUGCUUUCAAGCCUUAACUUUUCUAAGCACCUCACCUGACCCCAUUACGAAAGCCGGAAGCCCUGACUUCUGUUCUUUGCAAUGGCCCUGUCAAGAAAAUUUCUGAUGCCGAAAAUUUUAGCUGUAUUUCUGAAUUGCCUGGGUAUGGGGUUGACACUGCUCUUCAUGUGAAACUCCGCGAGGGCACUUUUGAGAAAAGGGAAAGAAAAAGGAAAAGUGAGCGAAAUGAAUGCAAAAGAAAAAUGUGAAAAGAUUUGAUGCUGAAAGUCCCUGGUGAAUGAUGAGAAGAAUGCAAACAAAUUCUGAGAUUUUGAGAAAAAUGCGAUUUUCGGUGCAAUGUCCUUGAAAAUUAUUUCUUUUAACUAUCGUUUCAAGCCACAUUACAAGCUAAUAAAGUCCAUCGUUGACUUAUUCUUUCAUGACAACCCAAAGUGACGAUUAUGCUCGUAAGAAAUCCAUCAAUCAUUUGUGAUCAUGGGAGUAUAACCAGUUUUCACAGGUUUAGCUAUCAUUUCUGCCCAAAAUUUUGCAAGCCCAUGAAACUUAUACGUUGACCAAGUUUUUUUAAGAAAUAAGGGUGACAAACUCUUUGCUUUCACUAAGAUGUGAUGUUGAAUGCAUUACAAUUUUGGGCACAAGAACCAGACAAAUUCUGACCUCCCAUUUCCUUAGCCAUUUCAAAAAUAAAGUCACUUGAUUGGUCCUGAAAGAUGAGCCAACCAGAAGUGGUGACCCGUUACCCUAAGCACCAAUGCUAAAAGUAAGGAAGAAAUCUUCUUCUUAAAUUUGGUGUUAUUUCGAGGAAUUCAUCAUGAAAUUUCUGCAUGAGUUCAAACUUGACGAUUAAAGUUUCUUCACAUUGUUGUAUGUGCACUCUUUUCUAAAUUUUAGAAAGUGCGGGUUUUCUUUGUUCAAGUAAAUGGGAAAUCAUCUAAACCAAUUUUUGCAAUCAAAUGGGCCCAAACUGGGGCAAAAUUUUUAUUUGCAAAAUUUCGCAAAAUAAGCCCACACAGGGGCAAAUAUUUUUGUAGUCCAAUUGAGGAUUUCGUCCAAGAAUCAAAAUAAUGCAUUUUUUUCAAAUCAGUCAUGCUCAUUUGAGUGCACGUAAGCCCUGUGCAGGUAUUCACAGUUGAAGUCGACGAAAAGCAUCUGGCGAUGUAGAAGGCCGAUGCCGAAGAAAGAGAAGAAAGAAAGAGAAGGCCCUACACUGGGGCAAAUUAUUUUUGGAAAAAAGAUUCUCUCGAAAAAUCAGAAAAAUUCAAAAAAUCAAAAAAUCAAGUUCAAAAUUUUGUUUCUUGGAAAAUCAAAUUUAAUUUCUUGUACUUUGACAAAUCAAAUUCAAUUUCUUCACCAAUUGGAUGGCAGGAUUGGGUCUUAUCCCGCUGACCAUUCACUUUAUCACGUUGGGCUUGGUUUCCGUGCCACCAACUUCACAAAAGUCACGUUGGGCCUGAGUUUCGUGCCGCCAACUUCACUUUAUCACGUUGGGCUUGGUUUUCGUGCCACCAACUUCACUCUAUCACGUUGGGCUUGGUUUUCGUGCCACCAACUUCACUUCAUCCCGUUGGGCUUGGUUUUCGUGCCACCAACUUCACAAAAGUCACGUUGGGCCUGAGUUUCGUGCCGCCAACUUCACUUCAUCCCGUUGGGCUUGGUUUUCGUGCCACCAACUUCACUUCAUCCCGUUGGGCCUGGAUUUGGUGCCGCCAACUUCGCUUUAUCACGUUGGGCCUGGACUUGGUGCCGCCAACAUCACUUCACCAUGUUGGGCCUGGACUUUGUGCCGCCAACUUCACAAAAUCACGUUGGGCCUGGACUUUGUGCCGAUGUUGGGCCUGGACUUGGUGCCGCCAACAUCUCAAAUGUCACGUUGGGCCUGAGUUUCGUGCCGCCAACAGUUCAAAUGUCAAGUUGGGCCUGAGUUUCGUGCCGCCAACAGUUCAUAUGUCACGUUGGGCCUGAGUUUCGUGCCGCCAACAGUUCAAAUGUCACGUUGGGCCUGAGUCUUGUGCCGCCAACAUUCCAAAGAUCCCGUGGGUCUAUCCCAGUUUUACAUUUCUGUCCGGGUCUAUCCCGUGGGUCUAUCCCAAUUUUACGUUUCUGUCCGGGUCUAUUCCGUGGGUCUAUCCCAAAUUUAAAUUUCUGUUCUGGUCUAUCCCAUUUUUUACAUUCAUGUUCGGGUCAGUCCCAUUUUUUUAGAAUUCUUGUUCGUUGGAAUCAUUUUGCAGCCGAAUAACACAGGUAAGUAUUUGGUGUCUACUUCUUUGUCUUAAGUUUUUUCAAAACUCAGACAAAGAGGGGCAAACUGUAGACACCAAAUUUUUGGUGUUUUAUUAUUUAUUUAUUUAUUUACUAUUCGUUUUUAUUUGUUCUAUUUUUAUUUGUAUUUACUUUUAGUUUUAGUUAUUUUAUCCAUUUUUAGCUAGAAUUUCUCAAAGGGAAAAGAAAAGUGUUCAAAAAAAUAUGUUUUAGUUGUUUAGGAUUUAGUUUCAUUAUUUAAAGGAAAAAGGAAAAAUGGAAAAUGAAAAGAUGAUGAAUUGGAAUUUGCACUUUCUUGUUUCUAGUUUAUUUUUCAUCCAAUGUUAAUUAAAUUGUUUUUGUUAUUUGUUUUUACUAUUAUCAAUGUUAAUUAUUUAAAAAAAAAAAGGGGAAUACGCGAUGGCAAGCUGCGUUUUUACGCAGCUUGCAAGUAAGGGCUCGGGCAGCCCUUGGCUGCAAUUUUAGAGGAGACAAUGGGAGUUUUAGGGUUGGGGUGGCCCCAUAUAAAUAGAAGAUGCAGCAGCAGCCGCAGGAGGGGGAGAGGGCAUCGAGCAAAAGAAGAAAAAAAAAAGAAAAAACCAGGGAGCUUCAUCGGGGGAGAGGAUCGACGGGCAGAGAGUGUGGAGUGAAAUCUGGAACGGCGGCUAGGGGCUUGAGGGAGUGAAUGAAAGGAGGACAUACGAGAGAGAGGUGACAGCCGAAACUUAGAAAAACAAAGAGAGAAAGCUAGAAGGGAAAAGACAGAGAGUGUGCGGCUGAAGAAAGCAGAAAAUCAGCGACUGAGAAAGAGUGAUAAAAGAGUGAGGAAGAUUUACGGCGGAUUAAGAGAAAAGCAGUGAGUUUUAGAGGUGUUGGUUCAGGAAACUUUGGGCAGCAAGAAGGUUUUGGAUUCGUUGAAGCAAGGCAAAGAAUCAGGAAGCGCAUCUGCGGGAGAGACGAAGAAGCAAAGAUUUCGUCUUCUGGAAUACAUCAAGCUUUCGGUCAAGGUUUAAAGGUAACAUUUUUUUUACUUUGGAUUUGUUUGUAAGUUGCUGAGUUAUGUUUGUAUGCUGAAAGUCUUAGUCUUUGCACUGGAUUGCAUUCUUCAUGCGAGUUUCUAUCCGUGAAUCUGGUUUGUUCUUGGAGGAGAAGGGAUUUGCGUUUAGCUGUGUUCGUUUCUAGUGUUCAUGGCUGUUUUCUUUUGGUGAUUUUUAUGCACAAUCUGGGUUGGAAAUUUCUGGGAGAUGCAUGAUUUAUGGCUGGAUUUUUGAUGAUAGGAUGCAUAAGAUCGUAUUUGUUUUGGGUUCGAAGAGGUUGCCGCUGGCUGCAAAUUUUGUUGGCUAUGUAUGUCUUGGAUAAUAUAGUGGGAAGUUGCGUUUUUUUACUUCCAGAUUUGCAUGUUUAUUUUGAGUCUUUGUAUUGAAAAUGAAUGGCAAGUCUGGUGUUUGAUAUUUUGAUUCCAGUCUGUCUUUUGUUUUGCUUGGAAUGCUAAUUGUUGCCUUUUGAAAGGAGGACCGCAUUACAUAAGAUUUCAAUGUUGCAGAAAAUUUGUAAACUUUGCUUGAAGUUGCUUGAAUCAUUUGGAUUUUGCAUGCUUGUUGCCCGGCUUUUGGUGUCUAAAUCUGAAAGUUUUCAUGAUGUAAAGUAAGAGGUUUGCAUAGUUGUAUUUAGUUUUGAUUGAGCAUGGAGACUGAUUCUUGCAAAGUGCCGAAUUACAAAAGGUUUUGCUGCAUUUUCGUUCCUUCUACGGCUGUUAGUUUUUUUUCCCCCCCUAAUGGUCAACUCUAUUUCUUUGUGCCAACCCUUCAGUGAAGUUGCGUGUUUAAUUGAGGAUGAAUGAGUAGAAACUUGCUGUUUCAUGAACUUAUUUGCAUGAUAGAAUGGAUAGAAGCAAUACCAGAAAAUUUUUCAGAACAUUGUAUGCUUCCAUUUAUCCGUUUUUCUUUUUCUCCUUCGGCUGGUUUUGGGCGUUGAUUGUUGUGUUUUGCUGUUUUGGAAUCAAGGCAUUUGAUGUUAGGAUAAAAAUACUAAUUUGGUCUGGAUGAAAAUGGCAUUAAAAUGAACAUAAGAAUGGCAGGAGACAUGGCUGGAAAAUUUGCAGAAAGCUUCAAAUGCAGAAAUCUUCAAAGUGCCGAAUCAUUCUUGUGUAUUUUUCCAGAAUGUUUGCAUGAUCUUUCCCUAUGUUUUUGGGUUGUUUGACUGCCAAGUUUAUGCUUUGUUGUUUGGUUUGAAGUUUGGAAUGUUAGAUCAAGAAAAGUUUUGGCUAAAUCUGAAUCACGAUAUUGGAAAGGGAAGCAAAGAAUGCAGCAGUCUUAUUGAUCUCAUUGCAGAAAAUUUUCCUACGUGAUUGCAUGCUUUGCAUGAAGAAAUAAACCUGGAAAAUUGCAGAUCAACCCCUUGGCUUCUAACUAAAGGCAUUAGGACCCAAUCAAUUAAAUAAUUUCAUCAAUUUGGUCCUUGGUAAUUUUAAUUUGUGCAACUUCAUUGUUUGUUUGCUUCAAUUAACUACCAUGCUUUGUUUCAAUUGCGCUUAAGUCAUGACUUUAGGAACUUUAUGAUCAAAUGAACUUUGUUUUGCACAUUUCUUUUAAUUUUUUUUUAAAUAAAGUGGUACCUUGACCCUUUUAUUAUUUUGGAGGGUAAGUUAGUAAUUUCACUACGUUAGGGCGUCGCUUCAAGGGAGGUACAUUCUAUCCUUCAUUUGCACUUCAUUUGACCCUACGUGCUCCUACGUGUUAUGUGAAUACGCAUGCCUACUCCGCUUUCCUUACCUCUUUGCGUGCAUUUACUUGCUUUUACUUCUAUUUAAGUUUUAUGGGGUAUGUGUACACCUCUUGGCUUGUAAUAGAUAGUGCUCGGAGAGCAUCUGGUCCAUUCACCCUUUCCCUUUUAUGCAUGUGUACACCUCUUGGCUUGUAAUAGAUAGUGCUCGGAGAGCAUCUGGUCCAUUCACCCUUUCCCUUUUAUGCUUUUAUGGGGUAUGUGUACACCUCUUGGCUUGUAAUAGAUAGCGCUCGGAGAGCAUCUGGUCCAUUUCCCCUUCCCCUUGGUUGCUUGUUUUUGUUGCUACAUGUUUAAUUGCUUUAGUAGGCUCUUGCAUCUAGUCGAGCAUGCUAAGUGCUACGUGCUACGUGUUUACGAGCGUUUUGGCAUGUCUACUUGCUUUCAUAACCAUGAAUGAAUGGAAUGGAUGAAUGUACGUCACCACACUAGUCCAAUGCUAGUUGUGGCUCAUUAGGCCAUCCCUUUUUGUUAGUGCAUAUUUGCAUGUUCACUACAUGUCAUGCAUUUUUCUUAGUUUUAUCAUUUGGCAUGCUCCUCGAGCCCCUUUUCCCUCAUUUUAGGAUUUUUUGCAUCUCAUGCUAGUUAGGGUACAUUUGCGUGAGAGUCCCCUUAAAUAUGGGAUAUAGAUGAGUGUGGCUUUUUCUAAGCCUUAGCACGCUUAUAUUCCCUCUAUCAAAGGAAAAAUCAAGUCACGAUUUAGGUCUCCCCGUACCCGUCUUGCUUGCAUUCCCUAGGCUCAUGCAUUCUCAAUCCACUCUAUCAUUACACUUUCACUUUCGUCUCAUUUGCACACAUGCACCUUUUUAUCACCUUCACUUGCACACGAACACUUUUUUUGUCUCCACUUGCACACGAACCCUUUUAUCUUCACUUGCACACGAGCAUUUUAUCUUCACUCGCACACGAGUACUUUCAUCUACAUUUGCACACCUUCACUCUUAUCUUAUUACUUUUAUCAUUUUUCUCACUUCACACAAACUCACACUUUCACAUGGCAUGCAUUCCACUCAUUUUUCACGUCAUUUAGGUUUAGGUGUGACCUCUCCAAAAGGAUCAUUAUUGGGCUUCACAAUUAAUGUGAUUGGCACCACUCAACUUUUGAAGAGAAAUUUCCCCCAAUCCCCCUAGGUCUAGGUUUUUGCAUUCAUAUAGACAUAUCCAAUACGCGAUACAUACCUUGGGUAGAAAAAUUAGGAAAAAUUGGUUUGAGUCGCGCAACUAGCCUUGGCUAGGUCAAAGGGGUGCCUUGGAUUCUAUCCUUGCCUUCCCCUUUGUCAAACGUGACCCCCGAACCUUUUUCUUUGGCUUACGUGGACUAGGAGUCGUUUUAAAAAGGGUUUUACUACUUUGUCUUUAAAAAACACUUUUUGGGUGACUUGGUACACCCCAAAUCUAUACCAAGUGGCGACUCCGUUUUCAUAUUUAAAAAACCCUUUUUAAAAUUUCAUUUGGCCAAAUCGUCGCUUUCCAAAGUCCCAUGGCCUUUUACUUUUCAUUUUGCACACGUUCACACCACACUUCACACACACAUCACUCACACACAUUCACACAUUAUCGAAAAGUGGGGCGCGACAAGUACAACUGUGAGCUAGCUCCGACACGAACCACGUUGGAAAGAACAAAGAGAAAACCCUCUGAGGACCACAAAACCUAUGCUAAGAGAUGGAGGAAAAUAGCUGCAAAGGUUGAGCCACCAAUGACUGAAGAUGAAAUUAUCCGCACUUUCAUUAAGGCACAUGAUCCGCCGUACUUUGAAGAAAUUUUCCGCAUGACUGGAUGUUCGUUUGCUGCUAUUGUCAAUAAGCUUGAAGAGUACGAUGACUUCGUAAGAGCUGGGAAGAUCGUUAAUGUCUCUGUCCUCAAAUCGCAGUUGGAUGCUUUGCAAGGACAAGGGAGCAGUGGGCAAAAAUCGCAGUUUCAAAAGAAAGAGGGGGAAGCUGCCUUCAUCGGGAAUCAAAAUCCUACACCAAGACCCAGAUUUCAAUACAAACCAACAUAUUCACCACCUUAUCCAGUUAUCCCUACUAUCCAAGUUCUCACCCUGUAUACAAUACCAAUAUCUCCCACCCCCGACCUCGCCUAAAUUACGCCAAACCGCCCACAAAUCCUUUUCAAAUAUCUCAACCAAAUUUUCAACAAACUCGUCCUCGACUUCCUUACAACCAGAGAUUUCCCCCACCAAACGGACCCACCUAUAACUAUCCCCAACCCACUGAAACCUACAAUCAAAGCCGUACCCGAACCUUCACCAACCUAGGCAGGCCUUUGGACCAAAUGUAUGAGCAGUUAAAGGAUGCCGGUAAAAUAGGUGUGAUUCCCCCUCCAACUUACCCUUAUGGCAUGCCUGCCAGAUACAAUCCACAGUCCACUUGUGCCUAUCAUUCGGGAGCACCUGGUCACUCAACCGCCGAUUGUAAAGCCCUUAAGCACAAAGUCCAAGACAUGAUCGAGGCAGGGGAAAUAGUGCUAAGGAAAAAUGGUGAACAAAGGCCGAGCAUAAGUACAAAUCCUUUUCCUGCACACAAGGACACCUUUGAGGCAUCCACCUCCAAUGAAGAAAUUUGAAAAUCUUGAAGGAGUUUUGCACAAUUGGAUUGCCGAGUAUCUUCCCUCUCAAAGGGAAUUUCGAUAAAAUCUGGGGGUUGUCAUUUGCUAAAGUUCAUAAAAAUUGUCACUGGUUUUGUGUAAAUAGUUUUGGCUAAAACAAUUUUCGCAUUAUCAAGCUCCUGUGUUGUUUUUGAAUUUUUCAACGGAGUGCAUAGUUAUAUCUUUUCAUUAUUCUUGUUUGUUUGAUACCAUUUUGUUUAUAUUGGUUGAUUGUGUAUUGUUUUUAAUUUCCUUUUACAUUCUUUCAGAUAGCUAAAAAUAAAAUUAUUUGACCUUUGGAUAUCACUAUUCUGGAAUUCGAUGACGGCCAUCUCGAUAUCACUCACGACUUUGACAUUAUGGAAUCUGAAAUUCAAAACGAGAGUGAUAAUGAGGAAGUAUCUGGUUUUUUCAAAAGGUCACGAACAAUAUGAAGAGAAAUCCAAACCGAACCUAGAAGAGAUAGAGAUUGUUAACAAUGGCACCGAAACUGAAGUCAAAGAGAUAAAGAUCAGUAGACAUUUGAAUGAAAAGCAAAAAAAGGAAGCUGUGCUGCCUGCCAAGAUUGAAAUCCCUUCAUUGCGUAUUCUAAAGGAAGCCAAGUUGGAAGAAACUGAUUGAUUAAAUCAACGUCAUGAACAAUUGACUCUGAUUGAUAAAAAGUGUCUGAAUGCUAUAUGUCACUGCCAAAGCUACAAAAAACGCAUGGCCCGUGUUUACAACAAAAAGGUCCAUCGACGAUCAUUUAAAGAAGAAGGGGACAAAGUGCUAAAGCGAAUUUUGCCAGUGCAAGAUGAGGCCAAAGGCAAAUUUGCUCCAAAUUGGCAAGGGCCAUUCAUUGUUCAAAAGGUAUUACCUGGCAAAGCACUCAUUUUGGCAGAGAUGGAUGGACAGACAUUCCCUCAACCUAUCAACUCAGACCUAUGUAAGAAGCUCUUUAUUUGAUUAUGCAAAUUUCUUUUAGAAGUCACGCAAGUGACGAGACAAAAGUCAGGCCAUCUUUCUUUCCAAUCAAACAUUUCAUCCCUAGUCAUCCCCUUUGAGCUAUCAGAAUAAUAAUUUUCGUUUGACAACCGCUGAGAAUUGCAAACCCCACACUGGGGCAAAUUUAUUUUGAAAAAAGAUGCUCAGAAAGAAAAGGAAAACUCCACACUGGGGCAAAUUUAUUUUGAAAGAGAGAUGAAAAAGAAGAAAGAACCCCACACUGGGGCAAAUUUAGUUUUUGAAGAAAAAUGCAAGAGUGAGAAAAAUGCAAUGAAAAAUGCAAAGAGAGAAAAAUUCAAUCAAACUGGGGCAAGUUUUCCUCGGUUUCAUUCAAAAAUUGGAGAUAAUCACAAAAUGAUGCAAUUUCAGGUUAUUUCACACCUCUCAUCAAAACAAAAAAAAAAAAAAUUUUGUUUUCAAGCCUCAACUUUUCUUGAAAAACACCCCACCUGACCUCAUUACAAAAGCUCAAAGUCCUGGCUUUCGUCACUUAUUGUAUUUCUAUUAGGAAGUUCGCUAAUCAAUUGGCAAGUGAUGUCCAUAAUGCCUUCGCCUAACCUUAUAGGGGAAGCGCAUUUUACUGAUGCUAGCAAUCUUUAACUCACAUGCCGGAGUUGAUCAUGGUCGAGAUUUUCUAUUGUUCCUUAGGUGAAAACUUGAAAGGACACCUCAAAAAAAAAAAAAGGGAAAAAAAAAGAAAAGAGAAAAGAAAAGGAAAAGAAAAAAAAACAAAAAACAAAAAGGGUGGGCGCAAUUUUGGUGAAAACCCGAAAAGGCGCCAAGGUAGGGUUCUGCAGUAAGCGAGCACGAGGAGAAACAGCUGGUGACUUUGGUUCAUUUGAAUUUCUCUUCGUUUUGUUAUACUUCUGCCAAUGUUGAAUUCCGGAACAAAGAUAUCCAGAGAUUCGAAUAUGACAUCCGUUGGCCAAAAACUGUGUCACGUUGUAAAAAUGUUCUUUUGCAAUACAUUCUUAUGAAACUCAUCUUUCCUCAAUUGCUUGUAUUCAUGGCAUUUUGUAGGCUUAAAGCCCAAUUAGUUGCAUUUGCAUUCUUUUGCAUAUCCAUUUAUGCAUGCUAGGUGAAAUUACCUUGCAUACUUCAUUUUUUUUUAUAUAUAUAAUUUUUUUUUAUAAUUUAUAAUUUUUUAUUUUAUUUUUAUUUUAUCAUUGAAUUUUGGUGAAUGACAAUCCCUAUGGUUUAUUCGAAGCAUACUUGGAUUCAGUCAUCUUUUGGAAAUGGUUGAGAUUCAGCAAAGCUGGCUACGCAGGUUUCACAAUAUGGCAAAAUGUAUGCCUGGUCAGUCUGGAAAAAUGCCACAGCAUAAGUGGACGAAGGCAUCAAAAGACUCAUGUUUACACAAUUCUCAAAGGGAAACGGAUCAAAUGAUGGUGGCAAUUUCUUUGUUCUUUCUCUUUUGCAGAAAAAUUUCAUGCAUAGAUGAAAACAAUCACAACUUGCACUGGAGUCGGUAUCGGAAAAGUUCUCCGGUGAACAAAGGCGGAUCGAAAAAUGUUUUAAGCAAAUUUGAUCAAAAGGUGCAACAACCUGGCAAUGCAAAAUCAACUAUUGGCUCAGAUGCAUAAACUUAACCUCUACUGGGGCAAAAUUUUAGGCUAUUUUCAGGUAAGUAUACCGGAAUUUUUCAUUUUAAAUUCUCGUUCGGGUCAGUCCCAUGUUUAAUUUCCUGUUCGGGUCAGUCCCAUGGUAAAUUCUCAUUCGGGUCAGUCCCAUGUUUAAUUUCUUGUUCGGGUCAGUCCCAUGUUUAAUUUCUCGUUCAGGUCAGUCCCAUGUUUAAAUUCUUGUUCGGGUCUCAGUCCCAUGUUUAAAUUCUCGUUCGGGUCAGUCCCAUGUUUAAUUUCUCGUUCGUGUCAGUCCCAUAUUUAAUUUCCUGUUCGGGUCAGUCCCAUGUUUAAUUUCCUGUUCGGGUCAGUCCCAUGGUAAAUUCUCGUUCGGGUCAGUCCCAUGGCAAAUUCCUGUUCGGGUCAGUCCCAUGUUUAAAUUCUCGUUCGAGUUAGUCCCAUGGCAAAUUCUCGUUCGGGUCAGUCCCAUGUUUAAUUUCCUGUUCGGGUCAGUCCCAUGGUAAAUUCUCAUUCGGGUCAGUCCCAUGUUUAAUUUCUUGUUCGGGUCAGUCUCAUGUUUAAAUUCUUGUUCGGAUCAGUCCCAUGUUUAAUUUCUCGUUCGGGUCAGUCCCAUGUUUAAUUUCCUGUUCGGGUCAAUCCCAUGGUAAAUUCUCGUUCGGGUCAGUCCCAUGUUUAAUUUCUCGUUCGGGUCAGUCCCAUGUUUAAAUUCUCAGUCGGGUCAGUUCCAUGUUUAAAUUCUCGUUCGGGUCAGUUCCAUGUUUAAAUUCUCGUUCGGGUCAGUCCCAUGUUUAAUUUUUCGUUCGGGUCAGUCCCAUGUUUAAAUUCUCGUUCGGGUCAGUCCCAUGUUUAAUUUCUCGUUCGGAUCAGUUUCAUGUUUAAUUUCCUGUUCGGGUCAGUCCCAUGUUUAAAUUCCCGGUCGGGUCAGUCCCAUGUUUAAAUUCUCGUUCGAGUCAGUCCCAUGGUAAAUUCUCGUUCGGAUUAGUCCCGUGUUUAAAUUUCUUAUUCGGGUUAGUCCCAUAUUUAAAAUUUCUCGUUUGGGCUAGUCCCAUGUUUAAAUUUUUGUUCGGGUCAGUCCAUUUUAAAAUUUUGGGGUCAGUCCUCAUUUCAAAAGCGUCAGUCGUUCGAAUAGCUUGCAUUCGAACUACGUUUGACCUGAUUCCCAUGGUGGGAUACGUAGGCAACUCUACAUGAGUUCGGUCACAUUUUCUGCAAUGUUAUUGCAUCAUUUUGUCCAAUAAUUUCAACCAAGUGUUAGCUUGUUUAUUUUAACUCAGGUGUAGCUAGAAGAGACUGGUAAGCAAUUUGGUGUCUACGUCUUUGUCUUGAGUUUCUUUGAAACUCUAGACAAAGAGGGGCAAGCUGUAGACACCAAAUUUUUGUCAAUUUUUAAUAUUUUCUUGAAUUUUUUCUAUUUAAUGAAUUAUUUAUUUUCUUACAUUUUAAUGUGUAUUUUUCUCAUUUUUGUAGAUUUGUUUUUGGAAAAGAAAAGAAAAACAAAACAAAACAAAAGAGAAAAAUCAAGAAAUCAAAAAUCAUUUCAUCAUUUUCCCUACCAAAACAACUAUUAACCCAUUCCACACUCAAUUGCCAGGCACCUUUCUUUUCAUUAGCUAAGAAACCAUCAUUUUGGGCAAUCCAACACACAAAACUCCCCACCUUUUACUUCCUCAAUCUCCUCUCUCGGCUCUCUCCCAGAGGACACAACAGGGAAGCCAAAAAGAAAAAAAGAAAAUCUCCAUCCUUCUCGGCUCUCUCCCUCACAGAACAAAAAGAAGAAAACACUCCCUCACUUUGCACACGGCUCACUCUCUCCCUCUCUCGGACUUGGGCAGAGGAAAGAAACAGAAAACACACAAGAAGAAGAAGAAAAAUCCCCCUCAAUCUCUCGGUUCUCCUUUCUCUUUCCCCUCUCAAUCUCACACACACCUACAUUGAGGUAAUUUUAGUUUUGUUUAGCACAUUAAGGCCAUGCUUCAUUGUUUAAUUUUCUUUUGCUUUUGCUGGUUUCCUUGUUGUUGUUGUAUUGUUAAAAAAUUGGGAAAUGGCAUGAACCAGAUUUAGGAAAAGGAAAGGUUUCUUGUGAAUGCAUGUUAAUUGUUUGAAAAAAUGCCAAAAAGAAUUUUAGGGACUGUUUUACCUUAAUGUAGUCUUUUGUUGUUGUUUUCUGGUUAGCUAAGAUUAUAGUUGUAAUGUAGAGAUUAUAAGGAGUAUUGUAAUAUAUUUUUUAUGAUUUUUGGUGGGGGUUUAAAGGUUUUAAAAAAAUAAAAACUGGACUGAUUUCUUGGCUUUUUGGCCACUUUAGGGCCAAUUUUUGUUAAAACUAAGCCCGAAAAUGGAAUCUACGCGAAAAAUCGAGUGAGGGGUGUAUUUUGAGAAAUUUUGGUGACCGGAGAGGUCGCCGGCGACCGCCGCCGCCGGCGGUGGCGCCACCAGCGGUCGCCAUGGCCACCAGCUGAAGCUGCCUCAGCUGGCCGAAGAAGAAGGAAAAAGAAACGGCUGAAGGUGGAGGAAAAAGAAAGGAAAGAAAAGAAGAAAAACAAAUGGUUUGGGCUAAUGUUUUAUUUCGGUUGGGCCAAGAGCUAGUUUUGGGUUGGGUUUUGAAAAUGGGUUUUGGUUUAUUUUCCUUUGGGUUUCGGUUGGGCUUAGGUAGUUUUUUGGCCCAGAAAUAUAUAAAUGAUGGCCCAAGGGCCUGUUUCCUUAAGAAGAUCUGCUAGCGAAUUCGCACUUUAGCCCCUGAUCUUUGGAGUAGUUUCACUGCGGCCCAGAACAUUUUAAAUUUCUUUCAUGUAGGUCCUUAAAUUAAUUUCACUUUGGUCCCUGAAUUUUAUCUUUCAUUUAAUUUUAACCCCUGAACUUUGGAAAAUAUAAUUUUAGUCCCCCAAAAGUUUUCAAUUUUUGCAAUUCAGUCCUUGGCAAAUUUUGGCUCUCUUUAUUAUGAUUGUUUCUUUUCUUCAAUGACUAAUUAUGUUACUUUUGAACAUAUUCAACUUGUAAUUUUUAGAUGUUUUAAAUUUCUUUAUGUUUGACAUAUUAGUGUGAGUUUAGUACUUUUAUUAUUAUUGUUUUUUCAAUUAAAUUGGUGCCAUGAUUCUUUUGUUCAUUGUGAGUAUAAAUAGGACAAUUUGACUCCAUUUAGUCACCACUUCAAACGGGAGGUACCCCUAUUUUUAUUAUUUCAAUAUCAAUUACGUGCUCUUAUGUGCUCUUAUGUGUUCCUCUGUGUUUAUAUUUUUAUACGCUUUAUUUAUUUGAUUUAAAUACUCAUUCAAAUUUUCUUAUAUAUGUUUUGGUUAAUUUUUACAAUGAUUCAAGAGGCAUUUAAAUACCUCAAAAAUGUAAUAGAUAGGAUAAUUAGAUUUGUUUUAUUAUAUUUUUCCCUUCUAGAUUGUAGUUAGGCGCUCCCCGAUGUAAUAGAUAGGUUGCGUGUUUAUGUGGCUUAUGUGUUAUGUGUUUUACCCGCUUUUCUUAGGAUUUUGGCAUCUAGAUAUUAUGUUUACGUGUUAUGUGCUACGUGCUCUUAUGUGUUUAUUUGUUUUAAUUUAUGUUUUAUUUGUUUCACCAUGAAUUGUUAAUGCAUGACGUCACCACACUAGUCCAACGCUAGUUGUGGUUACUCCCUCCGCUUACUUGCUAGUCCAACGCUAGUAAGGAUCUUUAGAAAUGGGCUAGUCCAACGCUAGACCCUUUAGGUCAUCUUGCGCUAGAUUCAUCUUUGUAUGCUAUUCACUACAUUUUCAUGCAUAUUUUCAUUUUUAUUUCGGUUGGGCUUAGGUAGUGUCCGGCCCAAGGAAAUAAAAUGAUGGCAUGGUGGCCCAUUUCUUAAGAAUAUCAGAAACCGAUUUUUGCAUUUUAGCCCCUGGUCUUUGGAGUAGUUUCACUGCGGCUCAGAACAUUUUAAAUUUCUUUCAUGUAGGUCCUUAAAUUAAUUUCACUUUGGUCCCUGAAUUUUAUCUUUCAUUUAAUUUUGACCCCUGAACUUUGGAAAAUAUAAUUUUUGUCCCCCAAAAGUUUUCAAUUUUUGCAAUUCAGUCUUUGGCAAAUUUUGGCUCUCUUUAUUAUGAUUGUUUCUUUUCUUCAAUAACUAAUUAUGUUACUUUUGAACAUAUUCAACUUGUAAUUUUUAGAUGUUUUAAAUUUCUUUAUGUUUGACAUAUUAGUGUGAGUUUAAUACUUAUUAUUAUUGUUUUUUUUCAAUUAAAUUGGUGCCAUGAUUCUUUUGUUCAUUGUUAGUAUAAAUAGGACAAUUUGACUCCAUUUAGUCACCACUUCAAACGGGAGGUACCCCUAUUUUUAUUAUUUCAAUGUCAAUUACGUGCUCUUAUGUGCUCUUAUGUGUUCCUAUGUGUUUAUAUUUUUAUAUGUUUUAUUUAUUUGAUUUAAAUAUUCAUUCAAAUUUUCUUAUAUAUGUUUUAGUUAAUUUUUAUAAUUAUUCGAGAGGCAUUUAAAUACCUCAAAAAUGUAAUAGAUAGGAUAAUUAGAUUUGUUUUAUUAUAUUUUUCCCUUCUAGAUUGUAGUUAGGCGUUCCCCGAUGUAAUAGAUAGGUUUGCGUGUUUAUGUGGCUUAUGUGUUAUAUGUUUUACCUGCUUUCCUUAGGAUUUUUGCAUCUAGAUAUUAUGCUUACGUGUUACGUGCUACGUGCUCUUAUGUGUUUAUUUGUUUUAAUUUAUGCUUUAUUUGUUUCACUAUGAAUUGUUAAUGCAUGACGUCACCACACUAGUCCAACGCUAGUUGUGGUUUCUCCCUCCGCUUACUUGCUAGUCCAACGCUAGUAAGGACUUUUAGAAAUGGGCUAGUCCAACGCUAGACCCUUUAGGUCAUCUUGCGCUAGAUUCAUCUUUGUAUGUUAUUCACUACAUUUUCAUGCAUAUUUUCAUUUUUAGGAUCUUUUCUCAUUUGCAUGAUAUUCCUUAUUAUAUUAUCCCCUACCCGCUAUAGGUGCUAAUCAUGUCAUUUAGAAUUGCAUCUCAUUUAAGCUAGUUCAUUUGCUUGUUCAUGUUAGGAUGAUUAUUUUUCAAACAUGGGAAAUGGGUGAUUAUAACUUUCUAGUUUAAGUACCCUAUUAAUCCAUGUAUAAGAAAAUUAUGUCACGAGUUUUGCCUCCCGUACCCUUUAUGUUGCAUUCUCCUUUUCUUUAAUCACUUAUAUAUAUGUAUAUAAUUUAAUUUCUUUUCUUUUCUUUUAAUUUCAUCAUUUGCAUAUUCGUGACACUUUCAAGGAAUCAUUUUGGCCUUCGCAAUUAAUGCGAUUGGUUCUAUUAAACCCCUUGAAUGAACAUUUUGUCCCUUUCGAUAUAUUUAGAUUUGCAUCCAUAUAGGAAACAUCCAAAUAUGAUAAAAUUAAGGGUUAGAUUAGGAAAAUUUUGACUAAACCUCGCAACUAGCUUAGACUAGGUUGAAAAGGUGCCUUAGGUUUGAGUCAAUUGAACCUUUGCCUUCCCUUUCUUCAACCGUGACUCCCGAACCCAUUUUCUCUUGUUUUCAAAGACCUGGAGUUGUCAAAAAGGGUUUUAUUUUAUUUUACUUUAUUUUUGGGUGACUUGGUACACCAAAACUCCAUACCAAGUGGCGACUCCUAUUUUUUCUUAAAAACCCUUUUAGACUAAAUUUUGGACCCAAAUUGUCGCAUUCUUUUAAGUCCCAUUCUAGGUCCUUUUUCAUUUAUUAUUAAUAAAUCACAUCUUUUUAUAAAACACUUUCUUUUCCAUCGCGAAAAAAUGGGACGCGACAGGUGUUUUUGCCAGGUGACAAGAAGUUUUAGAAUACUUGGGGACUUCUGAAGUUAGGCAAGUAAUGGGCAAUAAGUAUAUAUCCACAAACUUUUGAUGUUAACAAGCAUAUCUUCUUUCAAAAGUAAGACAAAACGAAAAAUAAAGUUUUAAAGAAUUUACUAACAUGGUAUGCUCCAAAUCAAGAUCAAUUACCCUUAGGGUAUGUUUGGUUCCCAUGGAAUUGGAGUGUAGAAUUGUGUGUGGGUACUAUCUUUCUUGUAGAAUUAGAAUGGGAAAAAUGCACUUUUCAUCCUCAAAGUUUGGGGGCUUGACCAAUUUUAUCCUCAAUGUUUAACCCCAAACACAUUUCAUCCUCAAUGUUCCGUAAUUUUGACCAAUUAAGGACAAUUGACGGGAAUUGGAGGACAAAUCAAAAAUUGGGACGGAACUUUGCACGUGAGAAGCACAAUUCGUUAGAUCCAACUUUAUACCCAAUAUAACCGGGUCAAACCGAAUGGAUCCAUUUUUUCUAACGGACAAAAAUGCACAAAAUAGCAAAACGAAAGGAAAAAAGCUUCUGUCUUCUCCUUCUUUCUUCUCCGUUGUCAGCCCUAAAAAUUUUUGUGCCAAUCUUUCCAUCCACUUUUCGAGCAUCUGCUAGCAAGAAGGAGGGCAUAGACGGCAUCCGUGGAGCAUUUUAGGUGAAGAAAAAUAUGACAUUGCGGAAGAAAGAGCUCCACAUUUGUCCACCCCCAAAUUACGGUAUUUAUACCCAAAAUCAACAACUACAUUGCAUAAAGAUAUGUGUUUUUUUGGAGAAGGAAACCUGAUAUGUGGUCCCAUGUGUUUGUACUGUUUCCCCACUACAAUUUACGGCUAUUUUUUUUCCAGAUUUGGCCAUUUGCAUGAGGUAUAAAUAAAUCAAAAAAUUUGUCUUGGUUUGAUUAUUAUAGUGUGAAUGUGGUCCCUUAUGUUUGAUGAUAGUUGCUGAUUGACUAUAAAUUUGUGGUGAGAGUGACUAAUAAACAAUAAUACUUGGUAUAUUUUGCCGGCCAUGUGUAUCUGGCCAUGUGUAUGGAAAAAGUGAAAGUGGUCCUUGUUUGGUAGUUUUUGUGUGGGUCAACAAUUUGUUAUGCUGAAAUGAUGAAGCAUUUUUUUUUUCCUGAAGAGUCUGAUCUAUAUUAUUUUCUUUUCUUUAACCAGAAACGGGCAGCACAUUUAUUACAUUAAGAUGUCACCAUGGAGGCCUCAUUUCAUAUACUCCUGAUCCCCAUUACGAAGGUGGAGAUUUGUGUGUGUUUGACUAUGUUGAGAGUAUAGGUCUAAGUGUUUUUGAAGUGGAUAGAUUAACUGAGAGUGCUGGUGUAUAUGGUCAUAAGGUGUACUAUGGUUGGGAAAAUAACACCUUUAGGAGGAUAGACAGCAGUAGGGAGUUAAAUGGUUAUGUUAAGGGGGAGGUUGGACCAACUAAGGAAGUUAACUUAUAUCUUGAAGUAUCUUUUCAUGAAAUUCUAGUGCAACAACUUGGUUAUGAUCCGUAUGAGGUAGAUGAGACAGAAAAUAAACUCCAAAAUGGUGAUGGUAACAAUAAUAUUAGGGAUGAAGGUCAAGGAAGGUGUGCUGCUAAUAAUUGUGAUAAUGAUUCUGACGCAAGUGAUGAGACUUUUUUUUCAGCUAUUGAUUCAGAUUAUGAAAUAGGUGAUGAUGCUGAUGAUGGUAUAUUUCAUGAUAAUGUUGACAAAAAUGCUGAAUGGUUGGGAGUAGAUAAUCACAGGAAAGAAAAUGUGGUUCCUGAUCCUUUGAAUGAAGCAGAGGUGGUUCCUGAUUCUGAUGAAACAGAACAGGUUCCUGAUUCUGAAUCUGAUUUUGAAAGCAUUCAUGAGUCUAAUGAUGAAGAGUCUAAAUUGAGGUCUCGUAGUUUUGAUCCUAAGCAUAUUGACAAUCCAAAAUUAGAGCUGUAUAUGUCCUUUACAAGUCUGAAACUUUUCAAGACUGCUGUACAUAAUUAUAGUGUGAAACAAGGCAGGCCUUGUAAGUUUGUGAAACAAGAUAGAGUGAGGGUGAGGGCUAGAUGCAGAAAUAGUGAAUGUAAUUGGGUUAUAUAUGCUAGAAAAUUAAGUGGGGAUGGAACUAUUCAAAUAAGAACCUUUGAAGAUAAUCACACAUGUGAUUUUACAUAUGAUAAUCCUCUUGUGCAUUCUGGAUGGGUAGCUAAGAAGUACUGUGAAGAGUUUAGGUGUAAUCCUAAAUUAGAUUUGGAGCAUUUUGGGAAGACAUUAAUGAAAGAAAAUAGGUGCUCCUUCACAAAAAAUCAAACAUAUAGGACAAGGAGAAAAGCAAUGAAAAUUGUUCAGGGCAGUGAAAAGGACCAGUACAGCAAAUUAGGAGUUUAUAUGCAUGAAAUUCUAAGAUCCAACCCUGGUAGCACUGUUAUAAUGAAAACUGUUGAUGGCUUUAGAGACUCAAAAACAGGGAAAGGCAGAUUUUAGAGGCUGUACAUUUGUUUUGCUGGAGUGAAGCAUGGUUUCUUAACUGGAUGUAGGCAAUUUAUUUGAGUAGAUGGUACUUUUUUGAAAGGAUCAGUAGGAGGAGUUUUGCUAGCAGCUGUUGGAGUUGAUGCUAAUAAUGGCAUUUUUCCAAUAGCAUAUGCUGCAGCAGAGGGUGAAAGUAAGGACUCAUGGUGCUGGUUCUUCAAACUAUUGAAAGAAGAUUUGAAGAUUGAAAAAGAUUAUGAGUGGACAAUAAUGAGUGACAAACAAAAAGGUCUAAUUGAAGCAUGUGAUAUGAUUUUUCCAAAUGCAGCCCACAGAUUUUGUGUGAAACACUUGCACAAUAACUUUUCAUCUGCUGGUUUCAAAGGAGAAGGUUUGAGGAGAGCGUUAUGGACUGUUGCCAAAGCAACAACACCAGCUCAAUUCAUUAGCAGAAUGGAAGCAAUGGCUCAAAUUGAUAUAGAGGCAGCCAGGUGGUUUGAUGGCAAACCACCAAGUCAAUGGAGCAGAGCUUAUUUUAGCACUCAUCCUAAAUGUGCUAUGUUAUUGAAUAAUAUCUGUGAGUGCUUCAACAGCAAAAUUCUUGAUGCUAGGGAGAAGCCAAUAAUUGAAAUGUUUGAAGCAAUACAGUUGUACAUGAUGCAGAGAAUGCAAAAAAAUAGGGAUCUGGCCAAAGAGAAGUGGCAGACUUAUCCUUAUUGCCCCAGAAUUCUUCACAUUAUGCAGAAAAAUGUAGAUAGAGCACCUGACUGUUUUCCAUUCAAGUCAAAUGAUGAUCUUUAUGAAGUCAGUUGCCCAUAUGGUGACCAAUAUGCAGUGAACAUCAAGGAGCAAACAUGCUCUUGCAGAAAAUGGGAAUUAACAGGUAUUCCCUGUCCCCAUGCCAUUGCUGCAUUGUGGAUGGCUAAAAAGGAUCCUCUGCUAUAUGUUUCAAAAUGGUAUACAGUGGAGACAUAUAUGAAGUGCUAUGAAGGAUCAGUGUGUCCCAUGAAUGGAGAAAGUGAAUGGGGGCUUACUGAUGUUGGUGAAGGUCCUUUACCACCCUUAUAUGGGAGAGCACCUGGAAGGCCUAAAAAGCUGAGAAGGAGAAGUGCAGAGGAGGUUCAACAAACCAAGGAAAAAACUAAGAAGAAGGUGACAAGAGUGGGACAGAUUAACAAGUGUAGAUACUGUCAUCAAAGGGGACAUAAUAUGAGGUCCUGCAAGCUUCUCAAAGAUGCUCAAGAUCCUGCAGUUGCAGAAACUGAUAUUAGUUCAAGCCAAGUUGCUGCUUCUACCAACAAUCCAGCUAGCCAAGAUGGAAAAAAAGUUGUAAGUUGUUUUGAUGACUUGUUACAGCUAUCUUUGCUAUUUGGUAUAUAAAUGACAUGUUUUCCUUUUAAACUGUAGGGAACAAAGAAAACCAAGAAGCCUGCUGCUGAGUCUUCAAAUAAAAGGGUAGAAAAACCUGCUACAUCUUUUGAUUUUUCUGUCUUUAUGCAAUUUGAUUUUUGCUACCUCACUGUUUUGUGCAGAAGAGACAUAGACAUACAAGAAGAGUUGCAGCUGCAGUUUGUAAUGAUGAUUCAAACAUUGAACAUCAACAGGAUGCUGAGCCACUGGUUGAGAUUGACAUAACAUCCUCUGCCCCAGAUCAAGUAGACCAGGAUAUGUUCGAAGUGUUUGGGCUGUCAAGGUCUCAAGUGAAAUAUAGCACCAAGGAACCCAGAACACAAACUAAAGAACAAGUACAGAUGCCCUUCAGGAUUAGAGAUGUUCAUAUGCAUGUUGCUGCUGCUGGCAAGGCAGAUUUAAGUGUUCCUAGUUCAUCUAGAUCGAAGGGAAAGGAGAAAGUACUGUGAUAGGAGAAACAACAUGCUGAAUUUUCUUCAAGCCAAGCUGCUUUUGUUCAAGCCAAGUUGCUGCUUUUGUAAUUAGUGAAUGACUUUUGUUGUUUCAACUUUUGCUUUGCCUAGUAAUUAUGGAAGUGCAAGCUGUAAUGUGAUAGCUGGCUUUAUUUCAUUUAUGGACCCAUGUUCAACAACAGAUCAUGUAGUUUGCUUUAUUUCAUUGAGAAUGCACUUUAAUUGUAUUGAAGUUAUGAUAUACAUAUAUGGCAGCUGUUUUCAUGUUCAUCUGUUUGUAUUAUUUGCAUUUAUAUUCCAACUUGGUUUAUCAGUACAUGUGGGACAAUCUUGGUUUAUCAGCUUAGUUGCCAGUUUGGUUUAUUUGCAUUUGUUUUCUAGCGUGGUUUAUUUGCAUCUGUUUGUAUUAUCAGUACAUGUGGUUUAUCAGUUCAUGGCCAUUUUAUAUUUAUGAUAUGAACAACACUUUGACAAGGACCAUUUUCUUACACUCAACGCAUAGCUUUACAAACAAAAUAAAUUACAGAGUUCAUAAAUUGCAUUGUUGCCAAAUACAUUUCCCUUCCUAAAUCCCACCUUUUACAUAAAUUGCAGAGUUCAUUUGGAACCUUUGUACAAACAAAAUAAGUCCCUUUCUAUACCCUGCAAUUGGAUAUUACUUCAUAGGAAAAAAUGCAACUCUCGUUCCAACAACAAACACAGCCAACUUCAAAAUGUUCUUUCUUCUGCAAUUUUACCAAAAUCACUCCAGUCUUAGCAGCAACUUGCCUCCCUUUACUUUUUCCUCGCCUUUACUGCUCCAACUCAGUACUAGCAAAACCACCAAAAGCACAAUUAUUAUAAUAAAAAAUUUCUCCCUCUUACGCAUUCUUUCAACUUGUUCUUCCAUUUUGUUAGUCUUUUUCAGCAAACCAGGAAUGAGAACUCUCCCUCUUGGACAAAUUGGCUCAUCAACCCAUUCAAAGUACCUGCAUCUCUCGGGUCUCUACCAUAACAAUAAUGACAUUUCUCAGAAAUUAGUUAGCUAAAUUAACACAUUGAAGGACCAACAUUUUUAGACAAAUAUUUCUUACCGGCCACAGAGAGCAACCAAGGAAUCUUCUUCCCGAAUUCUCGCCGCGCCAACAGGUGCUCAUUUUUGUUCUUAACCCACACUUGCAGAAUGGAGUUGAUGAACCACUGGAGACUUCAGAACUUCUGCUCCUCAUUUAGGCAAAAAUGAGAGCACAGGGAGCUCCACUGCCAGAUGCUCUGAGGAUGAAUGUUUAAAGCUGCAAAGAUUGGCAAGAAAAUUUUGGGGUUGAAGGGCAGAGGGAAAAAGGACAACAAUGGAGCUUUUCGUCCGUCCGUUGCAUUUUGUUCCUUUAAAGUUAGCUCCAUUCGGUUUUACCCAUUUUUUGUUGGGUAAAACCGUUGGUUGUAACGGUCAAUUGGAUAUUUCCCGUCAAUUGUCCUUAAUUGGUCAAAAUUACGGAACAUUGAGGAUGAAAUGUGUUUGGGGUUAAACAUUGAGGAUAAAAUUGGUCAAGCCCCCAAACUUUGAGGAUGAAAAGUGCAUUUUUCCCAAUUAGAAUCGAAUUGCAAUUCCAAAUCAAUCCAAUUCCAUGGUUCCAAUUCUUUGGCUGGACCAAAGAAUUCCAAUUCUACGGCCAGACUUCCAUUCGGGUCAACACGCGGACUUUAAAUGGGUAAAAACUCCAAAACGGGUCAACUAUAAAGCUGGAUUAAAAAAAAUAUACAAAGCUAGGCUUCUUUCUCUCUUCUCGUGAGCAAUCGCUCUAGCGUUUUCUGCCACCGCCGGUGCCGCCUCCUCUUCCCAACACCUCUACCGUAACCCCUUCAGGCCUUUCCUCCCUCUUCUCUCCACCCCAACAUCGUGUGGGUGAAAUCGCUAUAUCUAUUCUGCUAUAUCGUGGUAAGCUUUCGUUCCACUGUAUCCUCUCUCUUUCUAUGUGAUUCGCUUCUUCUCUAGAUUUCCAUGGUUAUUCUGCUAUAGAUACAGCCCAUAUGAUUGCUGAUGACCAUGUCGUAGAUGUCAAAAUCAUACAUAAAAAGUAACAGAGAAGGAAAAGAAAUUGUAAGAAUCAUCACGUUUCUUCAUAAAAGGAAAUAUGAAAAAAAAGAAAGAGAAGACAAAUUGCCAUUAUAUCUUUCUUCACUUUCUGAAAAACGAAGUUUAUGAUCUGUAGAUGUGGGUUUUCAAUGUGGCUAAAAGGACUCCAGGCAUAGUAGAAACUAGAAAGGGUACAGAAAUAAAGUAGACAAGAUGUUAAACGAGGACUUCUCGCAUGACAUUAGAAAUUAAAAAAGAAUUUACGACUUAAGCUAGUAUAGAAAACUUCAAUUUUUAGCACUGAUUAAUGCUAGAAUUUAUCAUGGGACCAGAUAUUUGAGAAUACGUUUUUCUAUUUCUUUUAGUGAGAAUACAUUUGUUAGACUUUUAGUGAGAAUGCAUUCUUAUAAAGUACCACGAAUUUGUGUUGCAAUAUUUUCUAUUUAUAUUGUCAUUGUUGGUUGUGGUUUUUGCCUGAAUGUAAAGAGCAAUAUACUUGGAUUUCCGGCUGGACUUUGCCCAAUUGUUGGAGUUGGUGGACAUAUAAGUGGUGGUGGCUACGGUUCACUGUUGCAAAGAUAUUGCCUGAUGGUGGAUAAUGUUCUUGAUGCUCAGAUUAUCGAUGUUAACAGCCAGGUUUUGGAUAGAAAAGCAAUGGGAGAAGAUCUGUUUGGGGCUAUUAGCGAUGGUGGUAGUGCUAGUUUUGGUGUUGGUUUUGCAUAUAGAAUCAAGUUAGUCAGAGUGCCUGAAAUUCACACUGUUUUUAAUGUGCAGAAGACUGAGGCAGAGAAUGCAAUAGAUGUUCUUUACAAAUGGCAAAAUAUUGCAGACAAAAUUGACAACGAUUUGUACAUUAGCAUUAUUGUGCAGCCAAUUACUGGAAAAGUAAAGGGUCAGAAAAUCAUUAGAUUGACAUUCAUGGGACAUUUCCUUGGAGAUGCAAAUAGGUUGAUUUCUGUUAUGAACACUGGAUUUCCUUAAUUGGGAUUGAAGAGAAGUGAUUGUUUGGAAACAAGUUGGAUUGAUACGAUGCUCUGGUGGUAUAACUACAAGAUUGGGACAGCAAAGGAAGUGCUAUUGAGAAGGGCUUAUGAUCAAUUGAUCUUCUUGAAGAGAAAAUCAGAUUAUGUACAGAACCCCAUUCCUAAAGAUGGAUUAGUAUCACUAUUCAAGAAAAUGGUUCAGCUUGGAAAAACAGGACUUGUUUUCAAUCCUUAUGGUGGAAGAAUGAGUGAAAUUCAUAAGAAUGAAACACCAUUUCCUCAUAGGGCGGGGAUCAUUUUCAACCUGCCAGAUUGAUGAAAGUGAAGGCUACCAUGGAUCCACAAAAUUUCUUCAGGAAUGAACAGAGCAUCCCCACUUUGAACCUUCAGACCUCUAAAGGGAGGAAGGGACGAAAGUAAAGAGCAACAAAUGAUAAUUGCUCAUAUAGUAAUGGUUAUCAAGUAGCAGAGGUGCCUUGUCCUAUUAAUGGCUUUAGCAUAAAAUGUAAUGUUAAUGAAUGGAUAUAGUGAGCAUUACUUUUGUAGUAUUGUAGUACCGAAUGGUUGGUUGUGCAUUAAAGAGGCAAAAGUCGUACAUUCAUGGAUUGAUUUCACUUAUUACAGACCUUAUUGUCUAUAUAAUCUUGUAAGAUGCAAAACUCAAACAUUUAUAAUAGGUACAAGCUAUGACUUUCCUCUCCAAUUCAUAUAAUAGAGUAGGCUUUUAAUUUUCUAAAUUUAAAGUUCUUAACUGUAAGAAAAAUAUCAAGGUUUUAACUUGAUGAAUAUUAACUACUUUUUAAGUUAGAAUAUAUAAUUAGUUUUUUAUUUAAUAUAAUUUAAUUAAGAAUAAAAGAAAUAAGAUUAAUAUUUUUUUUUGCAAAAAAAGAACUAAUUGGUUUUCUUUUUCUUUAAAGCUUUACUAACAAUUAGUUAAAUGCAAGAAAAAAACAAAUUAUUAAAGGCAUUAAUUGGUUUUUUCCUUGAAGCUUUAGUAAUAGUUAGUUAAAUAUUAAAAAAAUUAUUACAUAGGAAAAAGAAAAACAGAAAAUUUUUAUGUAAACAAAUGUUAGAUGGAAACAAUUCUAGUUCUUAAUGAAUUCUUCUCUCAUCCAAACAAAGAAUUUGGAAUUUUAAAUGAAUUCUGUAUCAAUUCUAUGCAUUUCCCAAACAAAAGAAUUCCAACAUUUUGGAAUUCCAAUUCCUGGAAUUUUAAUUCUAUAGAAUUCCAAUUCCAAUUCAAUUCCAAUUCUGUAGAACCAAACGCAGCCUUAAACUUUAUGUGUCUACAAACUUUUGAUAAUAGCAAACACAUAUUGUUGCAAACUAAGACAAUUGAUGUAAAUUUUAACCAAAUUGGUAAGAUGGAAAUUUUGAUUGAGGCUAAAUAGCUAUACUUCAAAUUAAGCUUUAUAACAUGAAUAUGAAUGCUGUCAAAUUGACAUGAGAUACAAUUGAUGUAUGGCGAUCCUCAUAGUUAUUGUAUUCCUGUUGCCUUUGUUAUGGUUAAUCACAGAUUGCCCCCGGAAUGUGGGAGUUACUUGUACUUUGUCCCCUUGAAUGUGAAUGUUACUUUACAUUGAGAAGAAAAUUUUGGACAAUCCUAUCCUUCCAAUAACUUCAAAGUGCUUUCACUUGCAUUGUUAUAAUGUGUUUUAUUUUGAGUAAUUUUUAUUUAAAUGUUAAAUUUUCUAGUCAUCAGUUUUUUCUUUCAUGCAUAUAUUAUAUCUCUUUUUUUUUUUCUUUGAGAUAUUAAGUUUUUCAUUCCUCACAUUCUUUUUCCUUCCUUUUAUACUACAAGUGUUUAUAUUUUUCAUGAUUUUCGUUUACAUGUUAAUUAUUUCUCUCAUCAAAGUUUUUUCCUUGCGUUCAUGUUGUGAAUCUUUCGAAUAAUGUUAAUUUUUAUUGAGAUAUUAAGUGUUUAGUUAUCAAAGAUUUUCUUUCAUUUUAAUAGUUCAAUUUUUUCAUUUUUCAUUUUAUUUAGAUUUGAAGUUUUUCUCUUCCCAAAUUAUUCCUUUCUUCUAUACUAUGAAUAUUCCUAAUUUGCGUGACUUUAAUUUACAUAUUAAAAUUUUCUCUUGUCAGGUUUUUUUUGCCUUGUAUUUUUACUAUAAGUAUGUUUAAUUUUCUUAAUUUUUUAGAUAUUAAAAUUUUCUCUCAUCAAAUUGUUUCCUCCUCUUUUUAAGCUAUUAGUAUUUUUAUAUUUCAUGAAUUUUUUAUAUAUUAUUUUUUCUCUCAUAAAUAUUUUCUUGCAUAAACUAUGAUUCAUUAUUUUCUUCAUAUUUUUUUGUGUAUAUUAAUUUUUCUCAAUUCUUUUAAUAUAUAAAUCAUUUUAUUUUUUCAAUUUUUUAAAAAUAUUAAGCUUUUGAGCUGAUCAAUUAUUUUCACUCCUUUUAUUCUACAAGUUUUUUCAUUUUUUAUGACUGUUAUUUCUAUGUUUUAUUUAUACUAUAAGUUUUCCAUUCAUCAUGUAGAUAUUAUGUUUUUCUCUUACGAAAGGAUACAUGAUCUAAUAGAUCUCAUUUGAAGGGUAAUUUAGUCAUUUCAUGUCAUUUUGGUCAAACAAAGAAUCUUUAAUCCAAAAUUAGAGAGGUAAAGUGUCCAUGUCUGAGUUCAAGGCGGCAAAACCUCCACAUUCGGGAGGGCAAACUAUAAUUAACCCUUCUCUUUAUUUAGAUUUCACCAGGAAACUAUGUUGAAGAGUAAUUCACAAUUGCAAAUUGCAGAUCGCAACGAUAGACUAUAUAAGCUUAUCAGUAGACACUUUAUAUCCUAAAGUAAGAAAUCCAUCUCACUGAAUUAUCAAAACUGGCGGAAUGAUAGGCAAGUGAUGCUCAAAGUUAAAGGAUUAAAGUGGGAUGGAUUUCAUAUUUUAGAGGGUAAAAAGUCCAAAAUUAAAGUUUAAGUAAUAAAGUGGGAAGGAUUUCAUAUUUUAGUAGGUAAAGUGCCCAAAUUAAGGUUUAAGGACUAAAGUAAAAGUGAAUUUAUAUUUUAGGGUCCAAAAUGGAAUUCAUUCCUUUCUAUAUUUAGACUUUGCCAAUAAACUAUGAUGAAGGGUAAUUCACAAUUGCAGACAAUAGAUAGCAAGUAUAGACUUGCUAGAUAAGCUUAUGAGUCUUUUGACUAUACAUUUUUUUUUUUUUCGACACAGGGGUGUCCGGGUCAAUUUUUACGAGGUCCGACUAAUCCCCUGCGACCCGGGAGAGGAGGCCCCACUCCACUCCGGACACGGUAACUCCAGGCAGACUCGAACCUUGGUUGCCCAAGGCCGGCCUGGGGGGGGGGGGGCUUAUGACUAUACAAAAGUAGUUAGUUUUUGUUAGAUCACUUGUACAUCAUCCAUCUAAUGUCAUGUUCAUCAGCUCAUUUGCAAUUCAAUAUUACACUUAUUUCAUUGGUGACUAUCUGGUAACUAAAGACAACGUGAUUACUCUUUUCAUCCUGUACCUAAACCAAAAAAAAAAAAAGGAAAAUCUUUGGUCCUGUUCUACAUUUAUUGAACUCUUUUUUGGCAUAUAGUUGGAUAAGCGCAGGUUUACUGGCUAUAUAAGACCUGUAAUCUGUGGUACAACGCCACCAAAAUACGGCAUUUAGCUGUUCUAGUGAGAAAACAUGGCAUUUCUUCUUUCAAGUUGGUCGUCCAAUCUAAAAUCUUUGCCAAAAAACUACGUUGUAGCUGUAGAGAAGCCUCAAUUAAGCAAGGGCAUACCAGUGGUUGAUCUAGGUGAAGAAGGUCAAGCCAAUAUAACUCAGAAAAUCAUGAAAGCUGGUCAAGAAUUUGGCCUAUUCCAGGUUUGCAGCUUUGAACUUUCAUGUUUUCGAAACAUGAAUUAUGUUGAUUUCAAUCAAAAGUUAAUUAGUACUUGUGUAUGAUUAUGUAACAGGUGAUCAACCACGGAGUAUCUGAAGAGUUGAUGACUGAUGCUGUGAAUGUGGGCAGAGAGUUCUUUUCGCUGCCUGCUGAGGAGAAAGCAAAGUUCGUUGAUCAAGAUGCACAAAAUGGAUGCAUGGUUAACACCACCUCUGGAAGUUAUAGAAAUGGUUUACACCAGCACCAUACCAGUAUAUGAUGAAUUUUGAUCUCCUAUUGAGCCAGCGAAUUUUAGGCAGAUUAUCUUGAUAUAUCAUGAUACCAUAUUGUUCUACUCCAGUAUCAAUUGAAGGAACCUGCAUUUCAGAUUCUUCUGUCUUUUCAAAACAAAAAAAAUCUGAUUUUCUAGCAAACAAUUACUUUUUCUUGGAUGGAUUUCAUACAUUGAUCGUAGCAUGCAGAUUAAUGUAUAUAAAGGAACAUGUGUACUGACUAAGAUGUGGGCUUUAUUUUUUUAUUUUUUGUGGUGAAUAGAAAGAUCAUCUCCUGACUUCUUUUAUUUACUGUUAUCUGCAGACCAUGAACUAAUAUUCCUUUACUCAUUAUUUCUGGACAAAAUAAAUACCAUUUCAAUUUGCAGAGAGAUCAUAGGACCAUAUACAACUGAUGUGAGAAAGUUGGGUAUCAGAGUAAUGUCAAGAUCACAUUGGCCUGACAAUCAACAUGGACAAGAAGCAAGGGAGGAACUAAGCUGUGUACACUGUACAGAAGGCUUAACAGGAAUGGUUGGAGUUCAAGGAAGCUGAGGAAGUAAAUGACAGAAAAUGCAUUGCUGAAACAACUCAACCUCAUGAGAACAGGAACUGGUACCCCCCUGAACAAGGAAUAAUUAGAGUCAACAAUGAUGCUGCUAUAGCCUUGCAAAUGAACAAAACAGGAAGAGGAAUAGUAGCAAGAGACUCCAAAGGGGAAUUGGUGAAGGCCUGCGCACUGCAAGAGCGAAAAAGGGGUGAGCCCCUCAUUGAAGAAGCUCUAGCAAUAAGGGAAGCAUUACUGAUAGGACAGGAAGCUGGAUGGAGAAGAAUUGAAGUUCAGUCUGACAGCAAAGGGCUAAUAGAGAAACAUCAGGUAACAGCAAGGACAGAAACAUUGAGAUGAUACUGGAAGACAUACUGGAGUUGAGAGAGCUGUUUGAUCAAUGCAAUUUCUCUUUUGUUCAUAGAUCAGGAAAUGAUGUUUGUCAUAGACUAGUUAAAUUUGCAACUAAACUAGUUAAUGAUGUAAAAUGGGACACUAGCUUCGCCGUGUGGAUCAAAAAUCUUGCACAAAAAGACUACAGGACAGUUGUUCCUUUGUGUAACUAAAACUUGUAUUAUCAAGUUUAAAGAUAUAAUACAAUGCCAUUUUGACAAAAAAAAAAGAGUAUUGCUAAUUAUCUCUGGGGGACUAGGAUUGACUAAGGAAGAUCCUGACAACUAUGAUAUGCUCCUAAUGGUUCACAGCUACCUUGAAUGUCCAGACCCGACUUCAGCCUUGGUAAUUGCUGGACACCAUGACGGUAACCUCAUAACCAUACUUCCACAGGAUAUUUAUGGACUGCAAGUAUUCAAGGAUGGACAUUGGCUUGGUGUGGAGCUUCUUCCAAAUGGAUUUGUCAUCAACAUAUGUUUUUUCUCUAGAGGUACACAUAAAUUACCUGACUGGAAAAGCAGAACCUUGCACGUAGUUGUAUGGUCGAACCUCCUUGGAUUUAUCUGAAAUGAGAAGCUCGUGGAAGGCGGGGCUCUCUCCCCCGGAAUACACUCUGAUGCUUGAGUUAGGAAAGUUCCAACAAAAAAAGGUAGUUUAAAGAUAGAUGUUCUAAAAUAAUAGUUACUUGUUUCCUUGGACAGUUCCCAGUUUUUAUUUACCUUUGCACAAUUUGCUAUAUAAUCACCGUUUCAUGUCAUGUGGAGAACUCGAGAUCGAGAUCUCAUAAUGAUGUGUCAAGUUGAGAUCUACUCAACAUUUUUUAUAAUGUGUUAAUGACUCAUCAGCCUUUUAAGUGACUUGUCAUCUUAUUAUUUCGAAUAUUAUGACACUUGUCAAGACACGAGUCACCUUUGCAUGAUCUCCACGUAUUCCAUUUUCUAUUUUUCCUUUUCAAUGACCUAUUUCUCCAACUAAUUAUGGCCACAACUCGCACUCACUCUGGAGAAUUAAUUGUUUGAACUGCAAAAAUCCAAGCUCAAGUAUAAUUAUUCGGCUUGAAAAGGAACAUUUAAGGAAAAAAAUAUAAGAAUUAUUGGACCAGUAAAGACAUUGGAAGAUGGAACACAUAAAAUUCUUAUUUGUCAGAUGGGACAAUUGUGAAAUUAAUAUCUGAGAAUUAUAGGUAUGAUUUGGAUCACCAUUGCAGGUAAUUACAAUGGAAAGCUAAGAAAUGCAGUGCAUCGAGUGGUUACAAAUUGAAACCUGUUCUAGGACAUCACUGGCUAACUCUGUGAACUUUGCUUCUCAUGGUAUAAUUGAACCUGCAAAAUCACUUGUUAGUCCAAGCAAUCCCCCAUUGUUUAGCGGGUUCCAUUGCAAAGAGUAUUUUGAGGUUCUUUUGAGCAACAACUCUGACACUGAAGCAACGGCUGAAUACUUCACAAUCAGAAGCCAAACCAUCAAAUAGUAAAAGGGUUGUUUCGUCAGUUCUAUAAUAUUCUGCAUUUUGUGGUACUUUUUUGUGUUUUUAACUAAUUGUUAAUCAUAUCUGACGGACGAGUUUGACUACCUAUUUUAUUAAUAAAAAAAAUGGAGCACAAAAAGAAGAGGGGAACAUAAAGUCUUUCCUCCACACUGAGAAAAUAAAAAAAAUACAUAACCUACAUUUUCUCUUAGACUUGCUGGAUUGAUCAAUACAUGCAUGCCUAAGAAUAUUGAUCAUGUUCUCUUAUCCUUCCUUUUUUUUUUUUUUCCCUUUUUUUUCCAUUUGCAUUUACAUUGAAACCUAAUUUUGUCCUCGUCUUAAGAAGUCAAGAUGGACUUUGAAACACUAAUUGGUGAUUUGCAAAUCUAAAUGCCUCCUACUUAAUCUAAACUAUUAAAAGAAUUUACGGAAAUUUCAAAUUUUUCCUCAGAUCUCUUAAUUCAAACGCAACCUAAAGAUAUUCUAGCAAUUGGUUUUCUUCUCUUAACGAGUUAGCCAAUUCUAUUUUUUGGUCAACGUUCUCGUGUUCAUAUUUAUUCUUUUUUAGAUGACUUAAAAGAAGAAAGAUGAAAUAGAGCACGAAAAUACGUCCUUAUAUUCAAAGCUAAAUGAUUUAUUCUGGAUAUUCAACUAAGUAGCCGGCAAUCCCAAAUUGCGUAUGGAUUUUUGUUGCUGAUGUUAUGAUCCAAAAGUUAAAACUGCACCAAAAAAAAACUAUUACAAAUACUAGGGUCUAGACGUGAAAGAAAGAAAAACAAUAAAAAAAAAUGCAUUUCCAUUCCCAUCGACAAAAAAAAAUUAAAAAGAAAAAAAAAACAACUGUUGUCGCAACGACUACCAUAUAGUGAAACCCCUUGAUUUUUCUAAGUCCUGGUUUCUUUCAUCUUGCCUUCAGGUUUCACUGAAAUAUGAAUUAACGAUAAUUAAAUCUUGAUAGACGGCUGAAAUUUGGAUGGACAUCACAAUGGGACGGACAAACAAAUAUGAAAUAGAAAUAGGGGUUAGUUAUUAAAUCUACCCUCCAAAAAUACCUUUUCCUCAAUUUCUCCCUUGAGUAUUAAAACCACAAAUCUCCCCCUUGCAUUAUUCGAUUUUUUCCAAUUAGGUACAAUCAGCAUACAGAUCCAAUUUCUCUUUAAUUUGUUGCAUGUAAGAUGCAUGUGCUACGGUCAAAUGACUCAAAUCAUUUCCAAAGAAGUCAAACUUGACUGCACUUAAAUGCAUACAGGACUCGGGCAGGUGCAACCGUUCCUGACGGUUUUGGUCAUUUUUAACAGCGCGUAAUUUUGAUAGCACACGGUAUAACUUUAUUUGCAUAACGUGUAAUUUUAGUACAAAAUUUUGCGGGUCCCACCUACGGAGUGAAAAUCGAUGUACAACUAGUGAUUUGGAUCACGCACAUUUUUUUUUGGCCAAAAUCUGGCCGUGAACAGUUCAGGAGCGGUCCUGCCCCUCACCGAUGCAUAUAACUCUUCUGCAUUUUACCCAAAAAAAGAUAAAUAAAAAAAACUAAAUGAUAAUGAUUCUUUCAUAUCCCCCACCUAUAUUAACCAAAAAAAAAUAGGCUAAAAGAUUAAGGGUUCAGUCUACAUAUGGAAGAGGUUAAAAAGUUGUUCUGUAUAUAAUCUUGUAUUUCUUUACUAUUUUUUUUCAAUCAACUGUAUAUGCAAUAGUUCACUGCCAAAUUCAAGAUUCAAAUAUUGAAUUUCUUAGUUGGAGAUAACAACGAUACGGGGACAGGUGGGAGGUAAAACAAAAACAUAGUCAUACAUGCAAUAGUUGUAUGUACAUAUAUUGAUUAUUAUUUUUUUUCCGGAAACGAUAGAAGAUAUAUUAUAAAUUCUCAAACUGUACAAUAUUUGAGCAAAGGCUCAAGCAUCUUUACAAAGUGUACCUUGACACUUAAGGAGGGCCAAAAAAUCUCUCCUCAUCCAUAAGUAUGCUCAGGGCAUAAUAGCUAAUUUGGUUACUUAAAGACAUAUUACUAAUAUUCCUAGCCUCAACAGAGCACAUUUGAAACAGAUUAGCUAACACAUUUAUGUCUUCGACCAGUGUGGCAGUAUUCGGAUUGUCGCCUUUCCCAGCUUUUAGCAAGGCAAUGAGUUGCUUGUUGGCACUAAUGAUUUUGAUUCGUUGCCAUCCUUGUAGAUUUGCUUUCAUUAGUGCCAAUCUUACUGCCACAGCUUCAUCUUGACUGUCCCUCUGCGCACUUCUUUCCACUAACGCCCACUCAGCUCUGAUCCUCCCUCUAGCCUCCUUGGCUACGAUGCCAAUCCCCAAUUUAUGUCCCACUGCUGCUUUCUUAGUAGCUAUCUGAAGUUCCAGCAGCUCUCCCUCCUCCCUUCCUCUUCCCCUUGCACUUCCAAUAGCUCCAUCUGUUUCUGAUGUACUUUUCUCGUUCUUUCCUUUCCAAGCUUCCUCAUAUUCCAUCCAUUCUGAACUGGCUUUUUGCACAAUUCUCAGGCUCUCUCUUUCUUUCCCUUCAAAUUCCAUUUCAUUUCUAUCCUUCCAUAUCUGCCAUAGCAAGUUAGCAGUCAAGGCAAUAUGCUGUCUUCCUUCAGCUCUACUUGUAGCUUGGCUUAAUGCUGCCCACCACUUCUUGAAGCACCCUGUUUGAUUCUGAAUUCCAUCCCACUGGAUUGGUGCUAGCUUCCAAACCUUCUGAGCCUGAUGGCAAUGAAAUAGAAUGUGUUCAAUCGUUUCCAUUCUAUCUCCACACCUUGAACAGAAAGGCGAUCCUUGUUUUGUCCUCCUGAAGAUUGUUUCCCUGGCUGUUAAUGUGUUAGUAAUGCACCUCCAUAUAAAUAGCUUGAUCUUAUGCUUGAUAUUCAGACUCCAAAGAGUUUUCCAGAUUUGUUUGUUGGAAUCAUCAUAACUCGAUCCAGCUUCUCCUUUUGCUCCCCUCUCCAUACUUCUAUCCUCCUUAAGCAGUAUCUGAUAGCAUGAUUUAACUGAGAACUCCCCAUUCUUGCAAUGAGUCCAGAAAUGCAUGUCCCCUGAUCUUGACAGACUGAUGGGUAUCUUCAAAAUGUUCUUAGCAUCCUCCCUAUUGAACCUCCUGUAUAUCUCACUCCUUUUCCAUCUGGAAUUUGAAAUCAGUUCAUCCACCUUCUGCUCCUCCCCCCCUACUGGCAUUCUAGUAGUAGGCCUUCCAUUUAGAUUAUUUGGAAUCCAUUGGUCUUUCCAUAUUCUUAUGCUCUUCCCUGAUCCCACUCUUUUCAGUAUGCCCCCCUUGAUUGCCUCUCUUGCUGAUAUGAUACUUUGCCAAAACCAAGAAGCAUUCUUGGGGGUCUCACAAUUCAAAAUGGAAUCCUUGGGGUAGUACUUAGACUUUAAGAUUCUACUGACCAACAAAUUUGGGUAUCUAAUCAACCUCCAAACCUGCUUCCCCAGCAUUGCUUUGUUGAAACACAAUAGGUUCCUAAAUCCCAGACCUCCUUCCAUCUUUGCCUUCAUCAUUUUGGCCCCCGAGCACCAGUGCACUUUGCUUCUCCCUUCUGACUCCGCCCACCAACAAUUAGCCAUCAUUCCUGAGAUUUUCUUGCAGAGAGUAGCAGGUAACUUGAAACAGGCCAUCGCAUAAGUUGGCAUGGCCAUUGCCACAGCUUUUAACAUCACCUCCUUCCCAGCUGCACUUAGGAGCUUAUUCUUCCAGCUAUUGAGUCUGGCUUUGAUAUUUUCUUUGAUGUAGGCAAAAACUUGUCCUUUUGUCCUUGAAAUUACCAUUGGGAGGCCCAAAUAUUUACCUUGAUUCACUGUCCUUACUCCUGCUAGUGGCUCACAUGAUUCCUCCUUGUCCCUCUCUUUUGUAUUCUUACUAAAGCAGAUAGAUGAUUUGUCCAGGUUUAUCACCUGGCCAGACCCUCUUUCAUAUUGAUCCAGGAUCUCUUUUAGCUUUCUUGUUUCUUUCCCCGCAGCUUUACAGAAGAUUAAGGUAUCAUCAGCAAAGAAUAAAUGUGUUAUAGCAGGCCCAUGCUUGCUGAUCCUUAGUCCACUGAUGUGUCCCUGUCUAGCUGCAUUCCUUAGCAGAUUAGAGAGUCCUUCAGAGCACAAAAGGAACAGGUAAGGUGACAGAGGGUCACCUUGCCUAAUGCCUCUAGAGGGGAUCACAUAUUCUUUAGUUUGUCCGUUUAUAUUGAAGGAGUAUGAGACAGUUCUAAUGCACUCCAUAAUCCACCCUAUCCACAUCUGGUUAAACCCCAUUUUUUCCAUCACUGCUUGCAGGUAGUCCCAUUUAACUUGAUCAUAGGCCUUCGACAUGUCCAGUUUGAUUGCAGUAUAGCCAUCCUUACCUUGCCUCUUGUUUUUAAGAAAAUGAAGGCAUUCAUGGGAGAUGAUGAUAUUAUCCAGGAUCUGCCUAUUAGGGACAAAGGCUGAUUGGUUUUUACUAAUGCAUUGUUCCAGGACAGGUUUCAAUCUAUUUGCUAGGACUUUGGAGAUAAUUUUAUAAAGAACAUUGCAGAGGCUGAUUGGUCUAUAUUGUUUCAAUUCAAUAGGCAGGUCCACCUUAGGGAUAAGAGUAAUAAUGGUAUGGUUCAGGGAUUUGAGCAUAUGGCCAGAAUGAAAAAAAGCUGAAAUUGCUUUCACCACCUCUUCCUUAAUGGUAGUCCAGAAUUUUUGGAAGAAAAGGGGUGUCAUCCCAUCAGGCCCUGGAGCCUUGUUAGAGUUCAUGGUGAACACUGCUACCUUAAUCUCAUUUUCCUCCACAGGCCUGGUUAGAUUAGCAUUGAUCUGGUCAGUAAUAGAUCUAUGGAUUCCCUCCAGCAUCUCCUCAAGCCCCUCAGUCCUAGAAGACCUAAACAACUGUCUAUAGUAGCUAGCAACUUCUUCAGCUAAAUCCUUGUCAUCAGAGGUCCAAGAACCAUCCUCCCUCUGCAAAUUCCCAAUCUUAUUUCUUUUUCUUCUCCCCUUCACCACUGCAUGGAAAUAUUUAGUAUUCUUAUCUCCUUCUUGUAACCAAUUUAUCCUAGCCUUCUGAGUCCAGUAUUGUUCCUCCUCUUUAUACGCUCUCACCAGCUGGUUCUUCAACCCAGCAAUUCUACCCUUCCUACCCUCAGCAUCAGAGUCUUUCUCCUCCAAAAGCUGUUGUUUCAAGGUCGAAAUCUUGUUCUUAGAAUUAUCCACAAAGUCAUUCCUCCACUUUAGCAAGGCCACUCUACAUCUCUUAAUUUUGUAAGCUACCUUAAACAUUCUAGACCCCCUAGCCUCCUCCUCCCAAGCCUUCUUAAUCACCUCCCCCACUCCUUCUCUCUGGACCCAUCUCUUGUCAAAAAAGAACUUCUUUCUCUUCCUCCUUUCCCCUGGAUUUGUGUCCAGGAUUAACAUACUAUGGUCAGAGGCUAAACUUUCAACAUGAGUGCAUUUAGGAUGUUCAAUGAGGUUACUCCAUCCUUCACUACUAAGCCCUCUAUCCAGUCUUUGUUUAAUCUCCCCCUCUUGCCACUGAUUGCACCAGGUCCAGGGAUUACCAUCAAACCCAAUAUCAAUCAGUCGAUUUCCCUGGAUAAACUGCCUAAAAUCCAGGAAGCUCCAAUCCUCUCUAGCUCUUCCCCCCCACUUCUCCUCAUUAGAACAAAGAUCAUUAAAAUCCCCCAUGAUAACCCAGUCCUCCCCCCAUAAAGCUUUCCUCCUACUGAUAACCUCCCAUUGCCCUUUUCUCACCUGUUUAUCACAGCUAGCAUAAAUCCCUACCAACCACCACUCCUUCUUCACAUCCUCAUCCUCCAGAAGCACCUCAAUGGUAAAGGCAGAAUGUUUAAUAUCUUUUACCUUAGUAUCAUCCUUCCACAACACACACAUACCUCCAGACUUAUUCAAAGCCUCUACCACAAAACAAUUGUCAAAGUUCAGAAUCUUCUUCACCUUCUCCAUGUACUUAGCCUUGUUCUUUGUUUCACUCAAAAAGAUCAAAUCGAGGGAGAGGAGGUUGUUAACCUCCUUCAGGUGGGGAAUUGUCAAGGGGCUCCCUGCACCUUGACAAUUCCACACCAUAGCUCUCAUUGGUCCCUUGGGGACCAGUGCGGGCUGAUCCCUCCCCCUUCAAACCCUAUAAAGUCUUCCCCCUCCUUCUGGACCCCUCUCAUUCUUUUAUCCAAGUGUUCCUGAUCCCCAGCCUCAUCCCUAUCUUCAUCUCUCAGCUGGAAUUUCCUUUUGAUACCAUUUAUCUCCUUAAGGGGAGUCCUUGACUUCCUUGCACCAGGAUUCACUCUCUUAAAUCUCCUCCCAUCUUUCCUGGGUUCUCCUUGGUUUUCUUUACUGAUACAUUCAUCAGUUUCCAUGCAGUCUGACUCCCCUCCACCCUUAAUCCUGUCUUGUAUUCUCUCUUCCUCUCCCUCGCAACUCUCAAACACUUGAGGCUUCUCCUUUCCUAAGACCUCCUGGUCCUCCAGACCCUUCUUAGAACCCCCAUUGUCUGAUAAGACAAGAUAUCUAGUUCCCUCAGAGCACUCCACGUUCAUAUCAGUGCUUAUGUUCCUACCUACUUGCCUCCCUCCCUCCUUCUCAACCUCCUUAUCAGCACUCCACAAAGAUUUUAUCCUACCUAAUCUCCCCCUUUCAGCAUCAGAAAAUCCAUCCUUCAGCUCCCCAAGUUUCUGUAUCUCUUGCACCAUUACAUUAUCUGGCCUACUACUCUCCCUCGCUAGAGUUAAAUCCGCUUCCUUAUCCUGUCUCUCUAUCUCCUCUAACCUAAUCAUCUCCCCAUUUCUCACCUUCCAGGCCUGUCUAUGUGGUGUCCAGAUCUUGGAACUCCCCUCUUUCUGAGGAGAGCUUCUACCCCCAAACACCCUCAUCCACGCCCCAUAUUGGUUCUGAGCCUGACCCUUCUUCACCACCGUAGGAGACUUACAAUUCUUUUCAGAAUGUCCUAUGACACCACAACUAUAGCAGAAGUCAGGACACUUCUCAUAUCUAAAAGAUAGCCACUUGCUCGUCCCAUUAAUCUGCACCAAGGUUCCUCGCAAUAAGGGUUGCUUAAUGUCUACCACCACUAAAAGUUUCAUAUGCUUCCCUUCCUUCCCUCCAUUCUGAGGAAUUAACACCUCCUUGACCUCAUGAAAUACGGUUCCCACUUUCUUUCCAACUGCCUUAGAUAGGCAGUGGAUGGGUAGAUUCCACACUUGCACCCACACCUGAGCUAAGUUAAACGCAACUUCGUCCUCCUCAAUCCCAAUCUUCCAAUUCCUAAGCACUAAGACCUGAUUGUCUAUAAUCCACGGGCCCCCCUCUACAAUCCUAUCCUUAUCCUUAGAGUCUGGGAUAGUAAACUGGAAGACAUUAGGUCCUAAUUCUGCCACUUUAAGCCCUUUCGGGUAACUCCAUGCCACAGAGACAAAAUUUUUAACUCCUGUAAAAUUCACUAUUUUUUCCCCUCUUAUUUUGCCUAUGACACUACCCUUGCAAUCCGUGAUACCUUCCUCUAGGUCCCCCAGGUCAAUAGAGGUGCUUCCCACCUCCUUCUCAGAAAGGGCAAAUUUCUUCAGCACCUCAGCCAGCUCCUCCUCCAUAACCCCACUAGAGAAACACAGAAAGAACCUAGACUCUUACCACUAGAUCCUCACUACCCCGGCCACAAUGGAGGAAAAAAGAUAGAUAGCCAAACCAGAAAAACACACUAAACAGAAACUAAAGACACAGAGAGGCUACACUAAGCAAGAACAAGGACAGCUAUACUACCUGGACAAGUCUUCUUCCUAUUGAUAAAGAUGAAGGAGGCUCCUGCCAGCUGCUUGGAAAAUCACCCGCAGACGAACUUAAAUCUUUUCCUUUACUUUUUUUUUUUUUUUUGUUUCCUACUUUCCGACCAGCUCCAUCUUCAUGACACCCUUUAAUGCUGCUUCUCAAAGGUGUCUUUUAUCCGACAAUGCGUUGAGAACUUGGCUUUAAGAAUCCGCCUGGCACAUAAACAUAGAAUCUGGCUUUUAGUUCAGCUACAAACUUUGAGCUUUGUUCAUUGGUUGCUUGAAUUUUUUCAAACUUUUGGGUUCCCACCAAGGGGAAAGAAGCUCUCUUCCCAAGAGAGAGAAAAAGCCUCUACACGUGAGAGGUAGGUUUCAGAGUUGUACAUAUAUUGAUUAGACUCAAGGUAUUUAGAGACCCAAUCUUUCUCAAUACGUAAGACGCAUUUGCUAUUAGCACAAAAACAAAUCGGACUUGAAUACGUUUCUAAAUAUAUUGAUUAGACUCAAGGUAUUUAGAAACGUAUUCAAGUCCGAUUUGUUUUUGUGCUAAUAGCAAAUGCGUCUUACGUAUUGAGAAAGAUUGGGUCUCUAUGUUGAUGGUGCCUAAUUGGGAUAAACUGAAUGGGAUAUGGGGAAAAUUGAUCCACUUCAAUAUUUAUGGGGCAAAGUGAGGAGAAGGUACUUUUGGAGGCUAGUUUGGAAUUUACUCUAAAUUAACCAUACAAACAUAAAACACAUGUCGACAAUUUGAACUACAAAUCUCUAUGAUUUAGGCUAUUAAUUACACAUAAGGAUUUUUCUGCAAACCUUUGUUUCACUGAAACAACCACUACUUCUUUUUUUUUUUUUCUUUUAUAAAGUGUGAAGUAGGCCAUUAAACUUUUCAAAAUUCUCAUUUCACCCACUAAACUAAUUUUCGUGUCAAACAUCCGUCUGAUCUCUAAAAAGUGCUUCAUUUGAUUGCUUUGUUAACUCUCAGUAUUACGACACACGAAAGUUAGCCCACGUGAGAAGCAUGCCUGUUACAAAUGGACACUUUUGGAUGUUUCACAUGAAAUCCACCAUUUUAUUAGCUUUUUAAUGUUUUAUUGUUUUAUGUAUAUUAGUCAUAUCUUAGAGAGUGUAACACAUCUCGAAACUGAAACCAAUCAUGAAUUCCUCAACAUUAAGAUAAUUAGUAAGAAAAUUAAUUGCAAAGAUCGACUUUUCUUUAUGAUUCUUUCAAUUUGGUUGAAUGAAAUUUCAAAAUCAACAGCUAAAUUUAAAAGAAAAGUCUCAAAUCUUGAUAGCCAAACUAAAAUAAAAGCACCCAAAAAAAUAAAAAUAAAAAUAAAAGCACCAAUAUGUUGAAGGGUUUCGCUGCGUUCCAAGGAAAAAUGGAAAAACAAACAAAGUUUAAUGUACAAACAGAAAAGUUAGCCGACACAAACUUGUAUUCAUAGGGAAACAAAAUAUCAAAAAACACAAAAGAGACAGUUCAGGCAUGGAGAGGACAACAACACACAACCUAGUUUAUAACACGCUUUACUUGUAAUCAACAGGUUACGGGUUCGAGUUAUCAAAAGGGUGAGUAAUAGUGCGGAAUUAGGACCCAAUGUUAGGGGGACAAUUAUGUUUAAGGUAAAAUUUUUUCUUGAAAAACUUUAACAACCAAUAUGACAGUUGUGUGAAGUUUGUAAAAUUAUAUAGUGUUAUAUAACGAUAACAACUAGAUGACAAUUUUUUUCUACGGCGACAACUAAAUUUUUUACGUUUAUUUUUAUGUACCAAAAGUUUUAAAAAUCACUUUUUUCCCCUAAAUUUUCAACUAGUACUUAGUUUCAUUUCAAACAUGCCAUCAUUUAUAAACUAAAUGACAAUUGUAGACUUCAGUAACUUAGGGGGCCAAAGUAAAGGAAUAUAGGAAAUUUUAGAAAUUUUAGGAGUUAUAAAUAUAGGACAAGAUUGAAAAUUUAAAAUUUUUUCAACCUAAUUUUGAAAAUUCUUCAAAGUUGAGAGGGGGCAACUGCCCACGCUCGCUUGCAUGUGUUUCUGCCAAUAGUAAGCGAGGAAACACCCUUAAUCAUCUUUUCGAAGAAAAAAAAAGGUUGAGAAGGGGCAAUUGCCCAUCCUCACUUGAAUGUGUCUCUGCCACAGGAAACACCGUUGAUCUUCUUGAAAAAAAAAAGGCAAGGAGAAAAUAAGUGUUUUAAAGUAAAAAUACCUAAGCAAGAAAUAGAUCAUGACUCAGAAGCUGAGGUCUCGAAAGGCUGAUAGUUUCAGGGGAAAUGUCUAAAUUGUUCAUUCUGAAUAGGCUCGUCUCUCAUGUGGGCUAAUUUCCAUCCAUCUUAGUUGCAAGAGCUGAUGCAAUGGUGAAGAUGAAAACCCUUUUAGAGCAUCCACAAUGGAGUGUAAUGAUGUGUGUAAUAACUGCCAUGACACAGGUCCAUUAUACGGAUACCAAUUGUAGCCGUGUAAUGCUCAUUACACGCAUCAUCAGAAUGAUGCGUGUAAUGGGUGGGCCAGAUGUAAAAUCCGGCCAUGGAUUCAAAACCAAACUAUGAAAUACGGUCAUGGAUUCGAAACCAAGUUGUGAAAUCAGGCCAUGAAUUCGAAACCAAGCUAUAAAAAUUAUUGAGAGAUAGAAAAAGAUAUAUUGUUCAAACUUAGAAAUUAAUAAUAUUAUUUUUUAGAAUAUAAAAAAUUCAAAAGGUAAAAAAUUUAAUGAAAGUUAAUAAUUUAUUUUUUAAAAAUAACAAAAUUAUUUUUAAAAAAUUACUUUAUUUAUUUAUGGAAUAUGAGUUAUACAUUAUUAAAAUAAAUGUUUGAUUUAAUUGUAGAUCCAUGCUAUUACACCUUGUGAAGUGUAAUCCAUUGUGAGUGAGAGUAUAAAGGAGAAAGGGGAAUGUUGACGUGGCACGUGCAUUACACUUCAAAGAGUGUAAACCAUUGUGGAUGCUCUUAGGAGUUUAGAGGGUUAUUUAUCACGAAAAUUAGUUCAAAAGGCAAAAUGGAAAUCUUGAAAAGUCUACUAUGCUGCACACUUACCCUUCUGUUUUCUUUCAUUACUGUCCUUUUUAUUAUUAUUUUUUUUUUUUUAUGAAGGAAGAAGAAAAAUCAGUAUGUUAGUUUAAUGCAUUCUUAGGUGGUGGUUUACAGAGAAGUUGAUGGGAGUUGGAGCUGCUGGAUGUGGUGGAUGAUGGUCGCUGGGCAAGGGAGGAAAUUGUUUCUUAAGUUUUGUUUGAAAGCUUCAAGAACAUGAUGGUCAAUGUAAUCCCUUUUUAUGUUACAAGAAUAGGAAAACAACAACAAAAUUCUGCUGAUAUUAUCUUUGUGGACAAAAAUCAAAAUAGGGAGCUAAAUGUAAUUUUUUUUGAUAAACGGAGCUGAAUGUAAUAUUGAAGCAUUGCAAUUCGAAUCCUCAUUUUAGCAAGAAGGCAUCUUUGCUAUAACCUCCUUACUUGAAUUGAUAUGAUAAUAAAGUAAAUUGCAUGAGAUCUUGCAAUUCGGUUCUUUUUCUUGCAAGAAGACAUCUUUUCUGUAACCUCUUUAUUUGAAUUGAUAUGAUAAUAAAGUAAAUUACAUGAAAAAUUCAUCUUGUAUACAAACAAUUCAAAGCCAUAUGCCACUAUAUGAGAUUGCUGGAAGCACAGCUUUAUCAACAUUGACAUUUCCCUUUCUCCUAUAAAACUCUUGAAGAAAUGCUACACACCGUUGCAUCCUUGCAGACAAGGAAGUAACACUUUUCCAGUACUCUCUCCUUUAUCAUCCUAAGGGAUUGGAGAACUGAGUCCCUCCUGAGAAGACAGUGAGUGAAGAUUGUAAUGCCUUCUGGAAGGAAAAGAUGGCUUUCGUCUAAAUGAUGGUCGCCUCUUGAGAUAAUGAAUGGUUCUCUUCGCGUAUAGAGACCGGAAAAAUGGUGUAGUUCUCUCCUUCAGCUUGAGGAUAACAAAGAAGAGAACUCUAUAAGUGAGGAAGAGACAGUAGAGUGCAAAUAAAUCCCACCACUUAGAAUGAUCCAGCGAUAACCCGAACAUGUUUUUCAAGACAUCCUCGCCGUUCAGUCUUGGAUCACCCGGCCAGAGGCCAUCAAACACUACUCCAAUCAAAUCGUUCUUGUAUCCUCCCUGUAUUCGCAUUUAUACAUCAUUAGAGAACUUUGAAAUAUUCUUGUUGUUUCAUGAGUAGCUAUAUCUGGUCCCAGAAAGGUGUCUUCUAUAUAUCUAAAGGAUGAUGUUCUCAGAAAAUAAAACUGUGUUGUAAUGUAUAGGGUCUAAAUUAGUACACCUGCAACUGUGAAUCUAGUCCGACCAAGAAUUAUCUUCAGUAACAGGAAACUUCUACACUCAAGUUACUGUCAAUUCUACUGUGCUCGUGCAGAAAUUAAACGACCAUGGCCGGAGUAGAUAAUAAACAUAUACAUGUUUGGCAGAGAACAAAUUGUUCAAGCAAGCAAACGUCUCUUAAUGUCACUCAUGUUAUUCAAAUGGUUGUCUAUUUGUCACAAAUGGCAUUUGAUAGAAGGUUUAUUUUUUCAAAGAUUCAGAUUUACUGUCCACUUGGGCUUGCCUAGUUUCCAUGUAUAGCUCCUUAUCUCAAGUAUUUUCUAUAAAUUUUAACAAAUAUCUAGACGAACUUUAUCUGUAGAGUUCUCCUAAUAUUUCAUUUAGAGGCCUGGAAUGUGUGAGCUUGAAGUUUACGCUUCUAAGGUUGAGAUCAUAUUUGCAUGAUCAAGGAAGAUUCCACUUCAAACCACUUAUGUCCCUAAUCUGUGAAAAGGUCUAAUGCUCUUGAACAGGGAAAGACAAGUCAUGGGAAAUUUAAUUGUUAAACCCACGGAGGUCUGAUGAUUAUGUUCUGUGGAAAAAAAUAAGGUCACGCUGCUUUGUUCCAAAAUUAUCAAUUUGAGGAUAACCUCUUCUGUCUUAACAACAACAUGCCUACAAGGUAAGUUUCUGUGUGAUCUUGUUUCAUGGCAUUUGAAAUGGAAAAUUAGUACUAAAGGAAUCCACAUGGACACCCUUGGCAUUGUAUCACUAGAUCAGCAUGAGGCUACCUAUAAUAUUUUUCAAUUGGUAGUAAACAACUGCCAGGCCUUGAUUAACAAAAUGUAAGAUGUCAAAAAUAUAUAUUCUGUGGAUUUAAGUGCAGGUUAAAGCUUCUUUAGCUUGUGAAUUUGUGGCAAUGAUAUCCCAAACCAACUAAUCUAUUUUUCCUACCAUAUUUAUCAAUCCACAGUGAUUAACGAUUGCAAAGGAGAGGUUCCCAGAUCAGUUGCUGCAGUUAAUAAUGUUUUGACUCGAUUUAACUGUUGAAGCCAUAUGUAAAUACUCUUUGGGGGAUAUGUGAGCUAGUUCUUUGCAGAUUCACCAAUCUAAGAUCUAGGUUCAGUCUAGCAGUCAAGUUAUUCAACAGGUAGAAUGCCUAAAAACUUGAUUGAUUGCAAAAAAAUGAUUGCUCAAGUGUCAAAGCUUUAAAGUAGCUUUAUUUAUUUAUUUAUUUUUGACAGAAGUCCAUGUCCCAUGCUUAUCACUGAUCUAUGUCUAGAAAAAUAUCAUUACUAUGCACUCAACUAUACCUGCAUGCAUUUGUUUCAAUUCUUCCAUUAUUAUAUGAUGCACGUUCGGUAACAUCACUGCUGAAUUUAUACAUGUACACUCUAGUGCAAGCUUGAAUGCAAGUAUAAAGGAUAAUCCAAUACUUAUCAGGCAAUCAUCACUAUUUUAACUGAUCAAUUUAAGCCUUUCCCCCUUAUUGACAACAAAAGAUUCAAGCGUAUCCUUUUUCCUGCCAAUAAUUUCUUAAAGAUCUUCAGUCCUGAAGCCACAGUUGCACGGUUAUAGAAGAGUUGUUGUAAUUUUGGACGUACAAUGUGUUAUGCCAUCCUAGCAUGUCCAAGAGCUAGGUUCAGAAAAUGUUAUCCAUGGUUAGUUUUUCUGCACUAUAAAAUCUUAGACUCUCGCAUUUUGUCUCAUUGGACCCAAGGACCUUCUGCUGCAAUCUAGCAACCAGAAAUGCUCUUUCAUAGUCAGAAAUGUUCUUAGUUUUUGAGUUACCCCUUCCUCACCAUGUAAUGAAGAAGUACGACCAUAAACAUUUUUUUUUUAUCAAGAGAGAUUUCUCACAUAGAACAAACACAAUACUUGUAACACAUGAUUAAUUGCCUCAGUUUUGACACUAGAUUACUCUAUAUGAUGCAUUUUCGAUAUCAAGCUAUAUAGUUUUUCAUGCACAUUUUGGAUUAAUGUUAUCAUUAUCAGGAAUAACAGCAUCCAAGAUUUAAUUUGCAGAGUACCUGUAGUGACCAUGAUCCAUAGCUCAUCAAUGAAACUGGAUAUCGCCAAAAAAUCUUGGGAAGAUCGGGCAGCAAACGGAAAAAUCCAGCAGUCAUCAUCAUGAUUCCCUGAAUAUACAUUUAUGAUACUGAUUAUUUACCAGAAAAUAAACCAAGGUAACUUAUUUACUGUGGUUGAACAAUUUUAAGUAAGUUAACUUACUAGAACCCCAGCUCCAGCAAUGAUUCCCAUUAAGAAGUUAGGAACCAGUGAAGCUACAAUCAUCAUGCAGCUUUCUACAACAGCAAUACAGCCAAAGAUAUUUAAGCAAUAGUACACAUAGUGAGAAAAUUCAGUCCGGGAUUUCACCAUGUAAAAAGUUAUAGUCCCAGUAAUGACUGAAAUUGCAGCCAGGAAUGGAAAGGAAGAGAGGAAAUUUGAUAAUACAAAUACAGCAACUCCAUAAUGUCCAUUUAGUCUUUCCUUAGUGAAGACCUGAGGAGAGAAAACUUUAGAUCAGAUACUUUUCCUGUAUGUAGCUCUCUUCAGCUAAUAUUUUCUUUCAAAGAAAAGAUGGUUCAUUCACCUUCAUUUCUUCUAUGAAAGAUGGGAACCCCCCAAUAGACAUGAAAGUCAUAAAGCCUGUUACAAAUCCGCCACAUGCCCCCCGAGCAAAGAUUGCAGUAUAACUGGUGCCAACAUCAUAAAAUAAAGUACCCACGCAAAUAGCCACAAUUACAUAGAUGCCUAGCCGUGACCAGUAAUAGCCUACAUCCCGAGACAUGUUGGCAAAGGAUCUCUGAGUUAAUGUUGAAAGUUGAGUCCACCAUCUUGCUUGACUUCCUUUUAUUCUCUCAAUCUCAAGCCCUUGCUGCACCCAGGAAUUGUGUUAAUUAUUUGCAUUGAAUCAUUCUAGUGAAAGUUUGAUAGGAUCGUUAAGUAUAUUAAUAUUUGCAAUUUUUUUUCUACCCCAUGAAGAAACAGAAUGAUUUUCUGUGUUAUGAAUCAGAAAACAAUAUUUUAGGCAUAGAGUUGGUUUUCCUGACAUAUUCACAUCAGUAUUACUAGUUAUUUGCAUACUGAAAGGUUUAAAGACUCACAAAAGUCCAGUUGAAUGUGAAACUCAUCGUGCAUAGCAAGAAUGCAAAGAUGGAGCACUAGACUUAAAUGUACUUACAAUGGUAGAGAUUUCUUGAAUCCUGGACCUGGUCCGUGAUGCAUAUUCAGAAGAGUUGUACUUGUAGACAAGCAUAGCUUUAAUAUCUGAUGUUGCUAAAUUGCCAAGAGGAUCUGCAAGCUUGUCUGCUUCCUGCCAUCAAAAAGCCAAAAAAUGCCUUGUUUAGUAUGCAUACUUGUCAGAAGAUUAAAAACUUGAUUCUUCGAUAUCUAGAAUUGGAAAUACCAUAAAAGAUUAACUGAAGUUUUCAACUGAACCACUGCAUCAGUAGUAUCCAAGCAUUUUGUGGGGUUCUGGUUAGUUCAGCAUAAAUCUUAUAUACAUGCACAUUACAUUUGCAGUUUUUUCUUUUAUAACUUUACUUAGAGCGCAUUCUAAGAAUUAGUAUCCGCCAAAUCCUUGCAAGGAGAAGUAUGGAUUAGCACCUUAAUAAGGAAGAUAAAUCAUGCACACAGAAUCGGGCAAAGAAAGGACUUCUGGGCUGAUCUCAGACUCAUGUUUGAAGACAAAAGUAGUGCAUUAGACUUAAUGAGUACAAAGAGAAUAAAAGGUUAGUAACCAACUGCCAUUAAUGAUGGCUGAUAAUUGUGGAUAUUACUCUGCCAACAAAAUUCGUCCUUUUGCUGUUGAUAGAGGUGUUCAACCAUGGCAGUCUGGUAGCAUGAUCAAAAAAGAUAAAGAGGAUUUUUUCACAUAUCAAUUACUUCACCUUCCAGUAAUCAUUUACUGCUACUUCAACGGUCAUUAUAGAAACAAGAACCCCUUGGAAAAGCAUUGAAGUUCUAUUGAAGAAUAUUAACAGCACAUAACUACUACUACCACAUUUUAUUCAGUAUGCAAAUCUUGAGUAUCAAACCUUCUGGGAAUCACAUUGUUGCGAAAAUUAUAUGAAUUGAUGCGAAUCACAUCAUUCUGUACUUCUUCAUUCUGACUAAUAGGUGGACUGACAUUCUGAAAUGGUCAUUGCUCUUGUACAUCCAUCUAAAUGUGGAAUGUACAAGGGAAGUCAAUAAAAAUGGCUACCAUCUGUCAUGGUCUUUUACAUGGAAAUUCAUAUAAAACUCUUUCAGCAUCAUGGACUUACUUGAAGCAAAAUGAAGGACUAAAGACAGAAGUUUCAAAUGCCAAAAACAGAAGACCAGAAGUUAUUGACAAAACAAAAUGCAAUGCUGAAAGAAUAGCAACUGGUAAAUUCGGAUGAAAGAGAAAUUCUGCAUUUUCUAGCUAAGCUUACGAAUCCAGAAAUAGAGGGAUCAAAUAGACACAAAUUUAAGAGUGACAAAGGAAAAACCAGAGUGAGUAGAAACUAUUGCUCAUACGCGUAGUCUUUGAGAACCUCUCAAAGUAGCAGUAACAACAUCGAAGUCAGAAUUGAUACAGCGGAGGAAGUGGUCAGACGGGUUUCUUCUGCUUGGACAUGGAAACCCUGCUUCUGCAAAAAACUGGAGACAAAAAGUUCAAAACUCAGAU